GUAAGAAGAAAGAUAGAUAUAUAGAAUUGGGUGGGCAGAGUUGGCUUGCUUCCAAGAGAAUAAACACCUGGCGACUCGAAAACAUGAUGCGCUAGGUUUCGAUCAGUUAAUCGAGAUAGGUUGUACUUUUCAUUCGAUUUUGUUACCACGUGCUUUUCACUUCAUGAUCAGUUAAUCGAGUGCUCAGUCAACUUCCUAUAAGAGUUCUGCUUUUGCUAAUCAAAGACAGACAUCAAUCCCUCAUCCUACUCUGUCUGUCAGUCGGUUACUCAGUUCUGUUAGCUACUCACGUGUCUAUACUAAGCUAAGAUAUUCCUCAUUCUUGCACAGGACAGGAGAGGGGAUUGCCUUAGCUACCGGUACCGAACUCUGAUCAAACUAAAACGAAAAGCUUAACCGAUUCUUGUAGAGUCCUUAGCAUUAGAUAAUGCAUGCGCACACAAGAGGAAUGAACUUGCCUUCUAGUGAUUUGGAAGGAUUGAGUCGGCUGCCCCCAGCCUCGCCCCGCAUCGCCCUCCGGGGGUAGUUACGCCAGUGGAACCAACUCACAAAGCAGCCCAAAAGCAGGAACUUUUCUUGAUUGAAUUGGUUUAAAGGUAAUUCAUCAAUCCUUAAAUUAUUCCAGGAUUCUUUUGGGAUGCUAUCCACCCUUUGAUUUACGAAUUGGCUAUAAUAUUUACUCUGGAUCCCUUCCAGCUGCAAGUCAAGAACGAUCCUUUGAAACAUUUUAGGAUUAUACUCACAAUUGGUUUGGGGGUUUCGUAUUGCAUUGCCCGCACUAUCCAUAUCCUGGAACAGGAUUGAUUUGGCCAUGGAAAGGGCCAGCUAAACGCCUAAGCUCUGAAAGUACGGAUUGCUUCCCUUCAUAGAUUUUAUUAGUUAAUUUGAGAAGUUCCUCUGGGCUCCUGGUCCUUUCCAGAUACUGCAAACUCAAAUUAUGAAAUAUGAGAUCCCUGCUACUCAGAGUCAGAGACCCGAAAGGACGUGGUGGACUCCCUGGUUCCCCCUCAUCUGCAGGAGAAAUUGAAGAAGGUGCAGCCCCGCCCCCUGCGGAGUGACUCGGGGCCGGUGGUGGAGUAGUACUUGACUGGGUCGAGUAGGCACCCUCCUCAGGGCUAAGUGGCGGAUCUAGAAAAUAGUCUGAGCCGUCAAGAACUAUUUCAGGGGGCAGACCCGAGUGCUCUAUUGGAGCUUUGCCCUUGCCCUUAUCUUGGGCUUGAUAGGUAGACUAUAAAGAGAUUCAGUACAAUAAGCCUGACUUUCAUAUUUAUUAAUAUAAUGGGGACCCAGGGAAAGAUAAUAGAGAGCCAUCUGCCAAUAGGCAGAAUAGAUUCCACACUCACUUCAGAUUCUGGGUGGGUAAAGGGAAACAUGAUCUCUAUUCUGAGAGGGAGCGCGGUCGAGCAUAGACUCGGCAACAACCAAUACAUCCAAUACCACAGUAGGCCCACGUACUACAGCUUAAAUGUACUGUAUGUGCCAUCAUAAACCAUUUCAGUCGUAGUACCUAACCUACCAGGCACUUGUUUGCCACCAAGAUAACCUAAUUAACGUGAAACCAACUGUAUUUCCGCUGUAGUACCUACCAGGCUUGUAACCAAGCUAAGUGAAAUUGAAAAACAUUUUCGCUGUACUACCGCUCGUGUAACCGACGUAAUCGGUCUUAAACACCUAUAAUAUAAGGAACUCGUGUACAACCAUAACAUUUAUAUAUUUCACAGGUGUACCACCGUAACCAAUUUCACUCGUGUACUACAAAGAAGAAAAGAAAAAAAAGAAAAUUAUAGCUUUCUUUUUUUUGGUGCGUGCUUUUCGCCUGCCUUCCCGACCACGGAUAGGCUACGGGGCUUUGCACUUCGGCCCCUGUGAAUACCACAUCAAGGUGACAGGAUUCGAACCUAUGGCCCUCUGUACCCAAAACUGAUGCGCUGACCAGACUGCGCUACACCUCGUCUCCCCCCGGGAACAUAUGGUAUGGAUCUACCCAAUCGAAAAAGACUCGAACCGCAGUCGCCCACCCCGCGGCACAGGGAGAUGGAUCUCUUGUUACCAGAAAGGAACUGAACUGGCUUGCCCGGAAAGAAUGGAUUGCUACCCUUGGAGAGCUAAUGGUACUGGACUGAUAGCGCACUGAUUGAACCGACCCCGGACGUACCACUGGGGAACCUGUGGCUGGAGAGAAUCUCUCGCGAUGGAGAAAUGUAAAAUGGGAAGCUCUAUGGAGGAUCGUGUCGUUCGUCAUCGAAAUGGGACUGACUCGCUCGGGAACAGGCAUAGGAUUGAGGAACUUUCUGGCGUAACACACCCGUAAUGGGGCAAUCUGACUAGCUAGUCAAAACCCUUUCCGCAGUGAGCUUUCAAACUUACUUUAGAACUUGCUUCACAGGCUUUGAGGCAUUUUUACACCCUCCCGUAGGCGUAGGCUCACUUUGUUUCAGGGCUUUCCUUUCUCUCCUAAGAUCCCAUCCCAACCAACAAACGAGAGUCUGAUGGGGAUUCUAUUCUGCUUGAACGUUAACUAGACCUGCGCCCAUAUUAGCUUACCGGAAAACGAACUAAAUAGUGGGGGAAGCUCAAAGGAAUUAAGUAAGCCAACUUCAGGCUAUAAAGAUAUUUUUAUUGAGGCUAAACUUAUCUGCCUUUCCUGGUACUUCAAAGUCGAAUGCCACUGCUACUACAUACAAUACAGGAGAAGAUAGAUGCUAGAGGACGGAUACAAGGACGGGGUCAUCGCAAAGAAAAAGAGCUAGAGGUGAGUGAGCCUACGACCACCAAUUGCUUAUCCCCUAUUACCAAUUGCAGCAGACUUGGACUAAUGGAAUUGCUUGAAGUGAAGACCAGUGAACAAAAUGACAAAAAAGAAUUGUUUACCUCUUUCGGGAUAAGGCCUGGAAGAAGCAGGGAUUGAACCAGGGCUUGUUGACAGAGCAGAUAUCAAAAGCCUAUGUUAUCUCAUUUUCAGGGGCCGAGCAAGGGAUGAGCGCCCUCUGAUCUAACGACCAAACAAGCAAGCAACGGCCCGGCCCUUGUUACUAGAAAUAUGAAGCGUGCUAGCGCGCACUUCCUAUUAACCAAUUCACCAAUUUGAAGAUUGGUAAACAAAGAUAAUAGGAGCCGAAGUCAAUCCCUUCUCCUCCCCGAGGGGACGUUAUCGGUCGCUUCGUUCCCUUGUUUACUGAACUCUUUUCAAGAGAUAGGUCUACCUCAUCUGCUUGUAAAUUCAUUAUGUAAAAUAACUCGUAAAUUCAUUGUGCCAGAAUUGAUCACUGAUCAGGUGUGAUCAGUCUCAUCCGUCUAAGAGACUGAUCCGGUGCGAUGAGUCUAUUCCGUGUAAUAUUUUGGAAUUCCUCUUCCAACUCGUCCCGGAAUGGGCGUUAUGGCAAAGAACAAGAAGAAAAAGAAAGAAGAAAUUUGUCCAAUAGUAACAAAUGGUGCCUCCACAGGUUGACAUCUGAUCCAACCUAGUAGUAAGCAAUCCGCCAAAAGCAACCAAAAUAUUCCUUGGUGAAUCGGUCGAAAACUUGAACUACGCACAUACAUUUCUUAAAAAAAAGGUAAAGCCAAGAGAGAUAUAAAAACUGGUGCUAUUGCGGCUACACCCCCCGCUUUGUCAGGUAUACUGUGAAGAAUGACAUGGAUCAGUAGGAAAUACCAUUCCGGCACAAUAUGAGGCGGGGUGGGCAUCGGAUUAGCAGGUAUAUAAUUGUCGGGAUGCCCCAAAACAUUUGGAGCAAAAAAAUCCAAAUGGAAAAAAAGAUAGCAGAAGCUACCCGACCUACAAGAUCCUUUACAUAAAAAUAAGGGUAAGAAGCAAUUUUAUCCAUCUCAGAAUGUACACCCAAUGGAUUAUUUGAUCCAUAUUGAUGCAAUGCAGCCAGAUGAAGAAGACUGGCGCCUGCUAAAAUAAGGUGGAGUAAAUGAUGGAGACUAAAAAAACGAUUUAAGGUGGCAUUGUCCACGGAGAAACCACCCCAAAGCCAAGUCACUAUGGUAUCUCCUACUACUGGUAUGGCGCUAGCUAAGCUUGUAAUUACUGUUGCUCCCCAAAAGCUCAUCUGACCCCAAGGUGGUACGUAUCCUAUAAAAGCUGUCACAAUCAUUAAUAGGAAUAUGACAACUCCGAGACACCAAACAAAUUCCCUAGGACUGCUAUAACUCGCAUGAUAUAGACCACGAAAAAUAUGAAGGUGAACCACAAUGAGAAACAUACUUGCCCCAUUAGCAUGCAUAUAACGGAGCAACCUGCCCCCUUCAACAUCUCUCAUAAUGUGUUCUACGCUGUUGAAAGCUAGAUCCACAUGAGGUGUGUAAUGCAUAGCUAAAAAAAUGUCAGUCACUAUCUGAAUGACUAAACAAAUACCAGCUAACGAAUCGAACCCCCACCAAUAACUAAGAUUGCUCGGGGUUGGAUAAUCUAUUAAAUGUUGGUUAAGUGUGGAGUAUAUAGGUUGUUUAAGAAGAGAGAAUCGUUGGUUCCUUAUAGUCAUUUCUCUUUUCUAUCGUGACAACUCCUCUUCCCCCUUAUUUUAUUUACCCCCUUGCCUUGAUGCUUCGCAGCGCCCUGAAUAAGAAAAAAGCGGCAUGAGAAGAUUCAUCCCAUUUUGGUUUGGCGAGAGGGAGGCAUCGAAUCACCUGGGCUACAGAUUUGUUGGUUAGUUGAUUCUCGAAAUCAGGUCAUUCGGAAAAAAAACUGCCGCUUUGGUUUCUUAAGGCUUCAGACGAACGACUAGUCAUUUUUUAUGAUGAAAUCAAAGUCUAUUUUUGACCUUUCAUGAAGAAGCCUGCGUGCAAACUACCUAGCCCUUUUCAAAAGAACGUCGAUUUCCAUCUCAACAAAGAAAGAACUCAAAAUAAAUGAAAGCAAGAUUGCUUGUUGUCCUAUUACUCUUUUUGUUAGCCUUGUGGAGCUUUGGAAAGGAGAGAACUUGAAUAAAGUAACUCUCGGAAACUCUUAUUGGACGGGAGAGAGUCAAUAUGAUAUUGGGCGUGGGUUUUUCCAACGAAACGACGAGUGAGAAAGAUAAAGAACGCGACGUGGUUCAUUGAAGUAGAGGUUUGACCGAGGAUUGGGUGUCCUACGCUACUUCCGUUCAUGUUCAAAAAAAAGAUAAUUUAAAAGACCUUGGAAAAACCAACGAAACGAAGAAGUUUAGGAUUGUCUUUUUCAUGCGGAACCCUCUCCGUAUUAGUAAGCGGGCCCUCCUUUACGCGAUCGUUACUGUCCGCAUCCUCUUGCUUGAUUUCCUGUGCAUAUUCCUUUUUCUAAACAUACUGUCUGCAUCCUCUUGCUUGAUCCAAAGACUUGAUCAGGCAGUAUCAAAUGAUAGGUGGCACGCAUAAACUUAUCUUGUAAGUUAUCCAGAUGCCUUGCUAGCUUGUAUUUGUGAAGGAUAUGUUAAUCUAGGUCAAAGAUACUUGUUCUCGAUGAGUGAAGAUUCUGGUAUUACGCCUCGAAUGGAGCAUUACGAGUGCAUGAUUGAGUUGUUUAGUAAGCAUGGUUGAUUUAGAAUCAUAGCCAAACCUUAAGGGUUGUAUUCCCCAUAAACUUCUAGUUAUUCUCCAGUAUGAAAGGUUCUAGUGACAUUGCUGCUAUUGCUGGAAGUCCAGUUUCAUUUUGGCUGGGAGUUCUCUGUCAGCUAGUGGGAGUCCCGCUAUUCUCAUUGUAGGCGUAGUUGCUUCUUUCAUCCAGCCCAGCACGCCAUAUAAUCCCUUUUCCAUGCCCGUGCUUUUACCUCUUUCUACGCAUGUCGAUCCAAAGGAAGCCAUUUAGAUCUGAGUUAAGGAAGGAAGUGAAUUUAAGCAAGAGAGCGAUAGGAUAGAUAUAAAGCUUAGACCAAUAGGCAUCUUAGGUUUUUAGGAAAAAAAGUAUAUUAGUAUACUACCUCUUGGAGUUUCAGUUGCUAUCCAUUCUGUUCUGUUUGAGUGCCAUAUAGCUUUUCCUAUUCAGUUCUAGAACUAGUGGUUACAGCGAAUGAGCAAUCUUGUGUAUAUCCAAGGUAAAGGGCAAGAGACUCUGUCAAUUCAUCCAAUGAGUAAGCAGGACAGUGAAGUUAGAAAUCCUUUAAGUCCCUCUUGAAUUUAAGUAAACUCCGGCCCUCAAAAGUAAACAAGUUUUCAAGGGUAGGGGUAGCGUUUACUAGCCAGCAAGUAAGAUAACAAAGCUCUUUUUUUCAAUAAGAAAAAGUAGUAGUUUUCCGGGUCUCAAUGGAGGAGAACUUUCCUGUUCAUCCUACACUACAUCAUAGGCAAGAUCUCAUCCUUUGACGAAUCUAGGGGCUCAGAAGAGUGUCACCAACGACGUCGGUGGGCCAGGCUAGGCCAAAGAAAGACUGUCUCUUUAACGACGUGGUCACGGGGAUACGAUCCGACAAGAGAGAUGCUGAAGAAUGUGCCCUCCUCAAGGGGUCAAGCACUCGAUCAGAACUAAACCAUCCUGCGGCACUCACAGCAUGAGCACACAGGGCAAGAUAAAGAGAAGGAUAAACGCUAAAGAGAUCGUCAACUUCACCUUGGCAUGCUUCCAUCAGUGCCUCAAAACAUUUGCUAUUCUUAUCUCUAGAAGGGUGCUUCUAUUGUUGUAGUGUUUCUAGCGAAAGAAGUCCCACGCCAGCAGCCUGCCAGAACCAUUAAUACAGGGUUUGAUCCACUGAACACUUGUUUUUAUCUACGAAGAGCUGAGUUGGCACCUCGAGGUGUCGACUCAGCUAUUUGCCGAGAAAUAAGCACAGCCUGCCUUCUACCCAUUAUGUCGACGAUUAGGUAGAGCUCUUACGGGGGCUAGGUUACCAGGAUAUGACCGUUCCGCAAUAGAACAUGGCACUAAUGUAUCCCCUAAGGUCCCAGCACCUUUUGAUCAAUACCGAAAUCAUAACAUUUCUAUAUGAUAAUUUGAGAUUGCUCUACCAGACCUGACUACCAAGAUUGACCUCUCCAUGCUCGUCAUUUCUAGUGCUUGCACAACCUCCUGGCGCUUUAUUUACUGACAAUUUCCCGGGUGUAAGCCAACACUUGCAAAUGUCUUUUAUUUCAUUAAAAAACUCCGCUUUGUCGACAUCGUCUUUUCCAAACAUUCGAGGUCUUAGUUGCAAGUAUGAUAAAUGUUGGUUUUGGUUAAUAACAAUGAAACAUUCAGGAACAAAUAAGCCUUUACUUAAUUCACGCUCCGCCCUCAACUCAAAGUGCCAAUUUAAAAGCGAACAGCUAGAAGCUCCCGCAUUAGAAGCUAGAAUUGACGCCACGGCAUAAGGCAUCGCCUCCAUGCUAUGUGCACACGACCCCGAAGUGGAAUGGCUAAUUUGCACAAUCUGGGAAGCCCGGCCUUCUCCCUCUCAGUUCCUCCGCAAUCGACUUACCAGAAAUCGUCGUGGCAACUCCACUUCAACCCCCCACUCUUUCCCGGUGCCUAUACUUAGCCCUUUGAAAAGUCUUCCAGUACCUCCCGCGUGGCAGCCCAUCAGAAGCAUGCCUCAUAAGAAUCUUUGUGGCGACGGUCGAAGCCUCCUCACUCAACUUCUGAAUCAAACCACCUUCCGGCUUCGUACUACUACUACCUCCUAGGUCGUCGUUCUUUCCAUUGCUUCUGGUUCCUUCCUCUGCUUCGGCGCUGCCAAACUCCUUCGAAUUUACGUACACAAAUUUGCUCUCUGGACCCAUCUCCUGGUUCAUCUUUUCGACCAUCCUCUUCAAUUUCUUGUUGUAACCUUCAGUGACUCGAUUCGCGGAUGCUGAACACUCCCCUGUAGGCAUGAACUCUAGAGCACGAACGUAUGGUAUACAACCGAGCGACGUCGGACACAACAAACUUUCGAGCACCCAGUUCAUUUAGCCUCUUAAUCGAGGGAAAGAAAAUAGAGGUCAGCAGCAAACAAGAGCAAGCGACACCAAACUACAGUAGGGAUAAAUUGGCAGAACCUUCUGAUAAAAUGUCAGAUUGGAAACCAACACGUCCAGAAAGUAUGAAGGAUAAGGCUUCUCUUGUCCAAAGAACGGUACUGAAGGUGUUGGACACCUCUGGCCAAUAGAGAGAGAUUGGACUCGAGGCAGUGGAAGACGACUACCUAGUGGGUAUCUACCAUCAUUCCUCCUUUCAGAUCGGACUGGCCCAUAGAUAUGAGAUCAAGAAACCUACGGAACCAAGUGAUCAUCCCCCGGCAAAUAGUCCUGUUCCUUAGCUUAUGUUACCGAACUAGCUUUGAUCUACUUGCUGCUACUGAUCCGUGACGCAGGAAUCCAAUCCGGACUUGUUCCCAAUCAACGGAUUAUCCUGUUUCGUAGAAAUCCUGUCUACUUGUUCUACAAUUCCAUUCCAAAGGAACUUCUUCUCCAAUCCCAAUUAGCUCUUCUCCUAUUCCAAUUCCUAUUUAGAUUGAUAUAUCUAUCAAUCUCGGAAUGGCGCUUUUAUGCUUCCAAUUCGGCCGGGAAUCCCAUCCCUCGAGUCCGGCACUGCCCACUCAUCUAGUGAUGGAGAAGGCGAGUAAAUGGGGAAUGCCGAAUUCCCUAUUGGAAUAGAUCUUGCCCUUGAAUCGAAGCGAAGAUGGGGGCCGUAAAAAAAGCAACUAUUUGAUUGAUGAGCAUUUCAUUCUUGUCGCCUACUUAGCUUCUCAGAAACUCAAGGAUGAGAUAUUUUUUCAAAACAGCUUUUGCUUUUGAUAUCUGCUUUUAUGACUCUAUUGACCAUAGGCCAACGUUUGACUUCCUGGAAAAGAGUGAUAGCGCCCCGUCUCGGCCGAAAUCCAUGCGAAUGCACGAAAAAUAGAGGAUCAAAUAACAGGUUAAAUAAGUGGGCUAGUCCUAGCCCUCCAUUACGAUCCUAUCUCUCUCCGCAGGUUGAGUUAUAGGUCGAAACAUUCCCGGUUUGUUCGCUUUUGGUAUGAACGACCGAAACAUUGCCGAGAAGCGAAAGGUUGAUGUCAACAACUCACACUGAAUUUCCUCCAGUUCCUCCCUUUGUGGCAGAGCGAGCGCCUUGACUAAGAUAGAUUUACUCUUUCAUUCUUGCAGCCUAUUCUGGUUCCAAUCGCGUUUGAGGAAAACCCCCUUUGGCAUCAAUGAAACUCUGUGAUAUAGGAGCUCAAAAACCUCAUUUCGUUUGAGAGAUAGUGGAAUUUAUUCUUUCAACACGUACAUCGACGAGGGUGUCGAUGACUUGAGUGAGGAAUGGUCAUGUGCUAGAGGCCGUACCGUUGGAGUAAGACCUCAACAAGGGGGUGUGCGGUUUAAAUGUAAAUGACGAGCAUGGAGAGGCCAAGGUCAUUUGUAAUUAGGUGUGGCUGAUGCAAGAAGACUGGCGAGCUAUCCAUGGUGAGACUCGUUGUGAUGCUACUGCAGGAGGCAUCCUGGUUGAGGGCGCAGAACUUCUGUGCGGGUACAACUGGCACUUAAAAGACCUUCCGUGUAGAUGAGUUCUCUUGAGUGAGACUAAUCGAGUUGAGUUACGAAGAAACCUUUGCGAUGGUGCUGUGCAGUUGGGUUCUCUAUGGAGGAACUUCGUUGUGGGGACCAAGGCAAAUAAGGAUACCCGGUCAGUCACGCGAAUAACGAACAAAUAACGAAUGCGCACAAACCACUUUUACUGAUUAAAUUCUGUAUAUAGCGCUUCCUUAUAUUAUAUUAUCUAUACUCCCCUCCCUUUCUGAUUAUUCUAUUUAAUGCAAGAGUAAGGAUAGACGUCUUAUUCUUUAGUGUUGAGAUAGAAUGACUGUAGACCCUCUUCUCUCUUUUAGUAAGCCUUACUUAUUUAUUCCAUUUCCUCAGCUGGAAACAGAACUACCAAAGGGAAGAAGACAGAAGGCAACAAAGGCGCGUAUCAGCUUCAAGCAUAUAGAGAACUUGACUUACUCACCUACUUUAAUGCCUGCUUUUUACUACUUGAAAUUGAAAGCUCGCUUGGCUCUCAGACCAAUUAACUUGACACCUGCUUAGCGCCCUCACUGCUACUUCUCUCAUUAAGCUGCUCUCUCCUUUUAUCAACUUAUGAAAAAACAGCAUAUUGAUCUUCCGUCGCUCGCUAUGGAUGGUUGCAGUUGCCAAAAGGCUACCUUUUCGCACAACACUUAAAUGAGUCACUGACUGGUUUUGAAGUACGUAAUACUUAACCUUACAAUCGGCAUUGCCCUUCUUCUUGCAACAGAGGAUUCGUUCUCUACGCCGAAAGGACUAAGAGCUCUUAUUCCGCAGCCUUUAGCACAUAAUGGAAUUGCUCCUUCUAUGCCUCCUCAUCUAUCUCGCCUGCAAAUCCUGCUAACAGCCUAGUCUAUUAGGAAACAGCUGAUUCAAUUGCUAAAACUAUUGUUCGAGAAGGGACUAACGGCACUGAUUUCUAGUGCUAUAACAGAAACUGCCCUUAACGCGCAAAUGAAAGCCCUCACAACACUCUUUACCUGCAACUGCUCCCGCUUAUGGUAGUAGAUAAACAGGUGGUGGACAUGUAUCUGCAGCCUCUACUGCUGGUAGAUUGACUAUUUUAUAUGGACUGAGGCUGCAACUGAGGGUAGUGACUGAGAAUGCUACUCUAUUCCUGGAAUUAGCCAUCCCCUUCUUUGACUAUUCGACCUGCUCCUCGAAGCAAGGAAGGGAAUUCAGAUGGCAUUGAAUGCCCUUUCCGCAAGAAGGAUAGGAGUUGGCUUACCGCAUCUACCUUCUCAUCGCGGGAUAAGGGCUGGGGCGUUAACUUAAGUACUAAAGCAGCUGGACCGGCUGCCUUCGUUGAUUCCCCACGAAGGAAUCAGAAUAUCGCUACUUCCCCUUACUGUCCUAAGCAGGGGAGAUGGAUUAAAAACCUUGUGUGAAGGAAAGGCUGUAAAUGUCGUUGACCAUUAAUCCGGUUGAAGGACAAAUGAAAUGGAGAGUAAAGGAAAAUAAGGUCAUUCUUCUGUCUAGCUUCUGGUCGGUGCCCCUUCUCCAACUCCGCCAGCCAAGACUCUGUUACUCGAGCAGGAAAGUUUUCCGUGCGUCCUGUGUUCUCCCGGUUCUUACGUCUCUCAAGCCGGUUCACUUGCCUGGUCAUUACUGGACUACCAUACAAGAUUCUAUACUGAGCUGACCUAUCAACCAGACGGACUUGAACAACUGACCUGUCUGCUAUUGUUAUUGCCGGGCUCAGGCUCCAGGGAAGGGAUGAUCAGAGAAGUCAAGUCUUGCCUUGGGUCAGAGUUCCAGUUCUCUCAGAAGAAUCUCCGCUUUCCAAUCCAGGUUUACGGCUUCCAUAGCGUAUGUCAUUGGCCAUUCUUGCUUCAUAGACUGCGGCACCAUUGAUUUAUGGCCCAGAUCAUGAAAAAGAGAAGGCCUCAAAAAUGGGAUGGAGCCAAUGAGUAGAGUAACUAGCGGUUAGAUUCGUCUUUAUGCUCGUUAUACGUGAACUAAUCUCAUUUGUUACGAAUCAAACUGAUUGACUCUGGUAGAAUGAUCCAGCGAACUCUUCCACACUGGCAUCAAUACUACUACUCCUCGGUGGCAGGCAGCAUGCAUAUUGCAAUUCAUUCACAUCUGCCAUCCAUCUGUCUCUCUCCUCAGCUCUAUGCCGCCCUGUCCCUUAAGGAAAGGAAACUAGACUAGAAAUCAGAAGAACCAAAAGAGUGCCGCAGUAUUCUCAUAAGAUCAGAUCAAUGCUCAUAUCUCUUGCUCGAGGUUCUACCUCAUUCCUUGCUGCUAGUGCUAGAUAGAUUCUUUUAUUUGAGGAUCGCAUUCCUUUCCUCUUGCUCGAUCUAGUUGCAGGGUCUAGAUCGCAUUCAUUCACUAAAGUUUGCUUUUUCUACUCACUUCUAUGUGUUCAUCUAUUGACCUGGCCCGAUGCAAUAUUGAGUAGGGCUUUCAUAGGUGAACUUUCCGAACUAGCUUUCCAAGUUGUUUCGUUAUCUUGUGAUGUGCCGGAUCUCUCUUGAAUAGCUCGGUUUCUUGCCUUCCGGUUUCGGUUCUAAGUUGCUGCCCAUUCAUUUCCUACGAAUAAGGAGAUAUGUAAAGCCAGUCAUUCUAUGAAAGAGAACUUGAACUUCCAUGAGGCAAGUAGUUUAUCGAAGGUAUGGAGAAGGGCUUCACUCGCGCCUUGGGGACUGAACUAGAGUACAAAACUAUCACUAUCUUCACUAGAGUAGAGAACUCGCUUCCUCCUUCCUUCUUUUCCAUUCCUAACCUGACUAUUCCAGCUUACUAGUUACCAGCGUGUACAAUUUCCAGCCCUACGAACACUGAAAGAGAAGGCAUAGAAUCGAUUCUUUGUUGGAUCCACUCGGAGGUUCCUUCUGACCUUAUGUGAACACACAAAAGCUAGCGGCGCACUUUCUUGUCAACCUACCGAACCUCUCCUCUGCUCUGAACCGCAUCACCAAAAGUACGGAUAUCCGGAUCUGGUUCCAUACUGGACUGGCUAUAUGAACUCCUCUUAGACAAACAAGGAACUAAACUAUGAUACGUAAGAACCUUAGCCGCCUUACCAACACGCAAGUAAUAUAACUAUAGGUUUAUUAUCUUUGAAACUGGGGAGCCCAUCAUCAUAUUCAAAGAAGGAUGCUUCCCACCUGGCACUACGGAACUAUUGUAUUGAGGAACGGGCCAAUGUCAUAAAAUGCAAUUCCUGCCUAGAAAUGGACUAGACUACGUACGAACUUGGAACCCAGUGGCAGGACAGCUAGAAAAGUCCAAUGGUUCGAAUCCCUGUUCUCGGGGCAAGGCAUCUAUUCUUGAGCUCUUAUGUGAGAAGGGUUUUUCUUAUUGAUACCCACAAGAUGACUCCACUUGUUAUGAAAGUCCUCUUUUUAAAGCGAGAUCACUAUAAGGAUAAGGAUAAGGCCGGCGGGCCCUCCCAAGGGUGGGUGGGACCGACACAAGCGAUAACACUUCGCCCUUGGAUUCGUUUCGCAAAGGGAGACAUCUUGGCUAAACACUGACACAAUCUACAAAUACCACUUCCAAUACAAUUUGUAGAAACUCCGACUCCCGUUCAGAAAGAAAUGGGACUUCCCCGAGAGGGGAUUCACUACUUGAUGAUGGCCGAGCCAACUCAUUAAUGAGAGAACUCGGACAAUUAAAGAAAUCAGACAAAGAAUAUAGUUAUUAGUUCUAAAAGUCCAAUUUUCUCCUUUCUACUUUUCUAAAACCUAAACAAAGAGGCGUUAGCCCUGUGCUCCUAUUGUUGAAGCAGCAAUUCCCAAUCUACAGAAAGCCCGUGCCCCAAUCCAGAACAGGAACAGACAAGACAGCGCUAGCGAGGAAUAGCUUUUCAGGCACUAUCCAACAGAUCAGAUCGAUUGGCUUUCAGGAAGGAUAUGUCUCCAGCUCUACGGCACUCUUCACUCGUUGUGGAGCGGGCAGUCUACCUCCUAUAUCGCUCGUUUUCUAGUUGGUAGUGACUCGAGGUGCUGGAUGCGUGUUCAAUGCAGCUCUAUUGUCCCCUUGUCGGUAGUGGCCAUUGAUUGAGCUUCUGCAGUUGGUGGGCGUGGAAAUUCUUCUUUUUCAGUGGAAGUUUCAUAGCUAGCGAGACUAGAAGCAAAGAGCACAGUGCUAGAGCCAACAGGCAUUAAGGAAAAGAGUGCUAUAAGAGCGAAAGUCAAGCACAGUGCGAAGGAAUGCAUUUUCUUUUUAGAAGGGUAGAGAGUGGGGGAGGAAUGAUUCUCUGAAAAAGGGUAGGGUCCAGUUAGCUCGGAAGGUUUGACCCGGUAUAUUUCCCGGAAAUAUUUAGAGAGAAGACUCCAUUCAAAAAAUGCAUCCUUGGUCCUACUCGGGCCGGUCUUAUUCAAUUAAACCGAGAAGGGCAGGCAGGUGACGCAAGUGUAAGGUGUGACCCUCGAUCUGUCUGUGAACCGGAAAGGAGGUAUGGUACUCGAAAUCAACUUGUUACUCUGCCUUCCUAUCAACAGGAAAUGGCUUGCAUGGAUCCAAAAAUAAAACGAAUACCAACAACGUUGCAAUGGGGAAGGGCGUAGCUGGUGUAAAACUAAAGCUAUAUCUUUUCUUCUUUGCUUGUAACAAACAGAGCUAUCUAAAGCUUGAAAGUAAGCAACAGAGCUAUCUAUUCCAACGUAUUGGUCCAACUCCACAGUUCCUCUCAUCUUUCUUGUCGGAGAAAGCCUGUCUUCUGAGACAUCCAUUAAUCAAAUUUGAUCAGUAACAAAAAUCGUAUGUAAUGAAAGAAGAGUCAGCCCUUGGGGUGGAGCACGAGGGGGUCCCCUGUAUGCAGGUCGCUACUUAACUUGACAAGCAGUGUUGCUGUGUAAGAUAUUGUGUGGGUGCCAACUCCCGGUUCGCGAUCUCUUCUUUCCUUUCCCAACCUAACUAAAAAUAAAGAAAUGCAAAAACUACUAAUUCUAGACCAGAAGAUCUUCUCAUGUUGGAUAUCAGAAAUAAAAUGGGUGAUCUUUCGGGAGGGAGUGCCAGUAGCACCAGUUCAUCGUCUUUUUUGUCUUGCAAUUCUAGUCUACACUCUCAUAGUCCUUCUUCUUCAGAAGGAUUCAUUUCUUUUGGGACUCCCUCGUCCUCUUCCUCUAUCAAUCAACCAUCGCCAUUAGCAUCCUCUUCCUCUGUCAAUCAACCCUCGCCAUUAGCAUCCUUUUCUGUGAACCAGCCAUCCCCUUCUUCCGUGAAAGGAGUAUUCUUAACGGACAGUGGUACUCCCUCUUCCUCUUCAUCCGUAAAUCGGCCAUCCCCAAACCCGACCGAUGAAAGGGUCGUAGAAUAUCAAGGGGCUAUAUGCGAGGAAAUGGCCAAAUUAAUGCCCGGCAGGGAUCACCAAGAGAUUCUAGUUGCAGCCGAACGAAUACAUGGGGGGAGUGCUAAUAUAGGAUUUCUUCGAUCACAGCUCCGGGAUUUAGUAGCAAAUGGCACUGAAAGUGAAGCCUUCAAGUACGGAAUGGCUGAGCUAGCGAAUGAGAAUUUAGCGGCAAAUUUCGCUGUGAUGCAUUUAGCGGAGAGUCCUUUGGAUCAAUUUGGCAUUCACCCUCUCGCUCUCGCUCUCGGUCUCGGUUUGUUCCUAUUUCUAGUUUUUAUUUUUCUUGCGCUGCGCGAAGUAUGGAAAAACAGGACGAGAGCAGCAUAAUCGUUAGUUAGGGGUAAGAGGGGAAUCUUAUGUCCAUAUUAUCUAAAAAAAUAUAUGAGUGUUAAGCUUGUCCGCGUUGUUAUUUGUUGUUUAUGUGAGGCUGCAUGCGCUUGUUAUUUGUUGUUUAUGUGAGGCUGCAUGCGAAUGAUUAACUCGUGUCUUUAUGUUGUCAGCCAUGUGAGAAGGCUAAUAAAUUAUCUCUUUUCUUUCAUCAGGGUCCGGGAAAAAGGAAGUAAGACCCUCGAGACGAGAACUACAUAUGGUCUGAUACUGACUUCCUUGAAAAGAGGAAGACAAGUUAUGUAGGCAGUAGCCGUUCCAAAAAUGCAGCGGUACCACAAGUGCUCAUUCAUUGGUCCAACCUAGAAGCUACUUGGGAAGACUAUGAAUUGAUUGCAAGUAAGUAUCAUGGACAAGGAGGAUUUUUAGGAGAAAGGAGAUCCUCUCUCAACCCAAUAGAUGCAAUGUAGGAAGACUAGUUUAGUCCAUGGGUGUAACACCAUAAGAUGGGAUUGAUGGUAAUCUAUCAUAAAUUGUUUCCCUUUUUGUCUAGAUGACGUCCCCACGGUGUCUAUAAUUUAUGUCAACCAAUAAGAAAUACCCGAAAGAAGAUGCAUAGGCCUUCAAUCAUGGUGCAAUGAAUAUCGUAGAUAGAGUGAUGGAAGAAGUUCGAUCUCAUAUAGCUAGCUGGAGUCUUUCUUUUCAAAUCAAAGUGAAACGAUUUUCCUUUUACGUUGAGAUAUUUGAAUUGGAUUUUCUUUCACCACUACUAUCGUAACGCACAGAAAACACUGACGUUUCCGCUCGCUUUCAACCACUGCCACUUUACCUGAGCACUGUGACACAGUCGGUCAAGUAUUGAGGCUAGUAUAUCAAGGACUUAUGAGAACUGAAAAGAAAAAAACUAGGCAAAGAAAUUCUCAAAGUUCAUUGAGUUAAGGGAGGACGGACCAUUCGUGGCGGGUUCGUGGAAGAGUUGGGUUCGAUUCCCUUUAUACGCGAUGUGGCGAAAAAGACUGAUUCAACGAAAUAUGCCUGCAUUAAGAUUUAAAACGUGCCGUCUACUUCCAGGAAAUGUUCGGAACAGAGAACUUUCUCUAAUCCAACGCCGCAUUCUCUGAAGAUUGAGGAACAAGAGGAGAUCCAUUAAAAGAAAUCUUUCUCAGAGAGAAAAUCUAAACAGUAACAUCAAAUCACAAACUACACGAAAGUUGUCCCUUUAUUAUGGGGAUUUACCCAUAAGGGAGAUGCACAAAGGAAGAGAACGAACUUCAUAUAUCCCUUUUUUUACUCAAUCAAGAAACAAGAUCGGACGUGAUUUCGGUUCGUCUCCGUUUUAGUGACACUCUUCCUCAAGCAAGGCAGCUGAUAAGUCAUCGAAGGGUUUGUUUGAAUAAUGGACUGGUAACCAUUACUCAUUUUAAAGUUUCCCAUGGUGAUCUAAUAUCUUUUAAAGAAAAUGACGCGAGAACCCGCGGUGAAGAAAUAAGGAGAUCUUUCUAUAUCGACAUAUCAGUUGGAAAAAUCAUAGGCAAAUUCCUACCGGUCAGAAUCUGGAGAAGAACAAAAACAGAAUGGUUCCGCUUACUCACAACUCAGAGGGGAUGCCGCUUACUACUAAAAUCCGGGUUUUUGCAAGAGUUGUGUUCUUAUAUGCAAGAAGAAGACUUAGAAAGAACAAAGAAGUUUGGAUCCGCAAAAGUAUGCUUAGGCAGUUCCUUCGCUGAGCACAACAGAAUGAAGAGGAAUUUGUUUCAUUUCAAAUACUUCUUCUUAUGGAAAAGAAGGAAGGAGGAAGAGGAAGGGGUAGAGGAGAUCCUCAAAGUUAUCGAGCAAAACGAAAACCGAAAAAGAGCAAUAAGCCCUUUUGUUUACACAAACAAAUUAUAUAGAAAUUCGACCUAUUGCUCCGGAUCCCCGUUUACUAUUACUAGGAAGAUAAGAAUCAAAAGGAUCGAACUACCUACUCAUUAUUCAGAGGUGAAUCAUAGAACACUAAAAGCUGUGGUAUCUUAUGGACCUAACAUAGGUCACAUCCCUCACGACAUAAGAUUGAAAGAUCCAAACCUUCCUCUUCGGAGCGGAAACGGACCUGGCCAAAACAUAUAAAAAAAGAUCGGCCUAGUCGCUCAUAGGGACAUAUCUAUCCGGAUAGAGGAGAGGAUAGUCUAGAUCAAUUUUUAGAAAAAUCUCUCUAUAUAUAGAAUAGAUAGGUAUCUCUGUGGAUAGAGAUAAAGAUAGGGAUCCCUCGAAAUAUAUGGAAAAAGUGCACUUUUUGACUACUACUACUAUUUCUUAUUCUUAGACGAAACAUCGUUUUUUCGAUUUUGACUGAAUUGGUCGGAGCGUAGACGAGCGAGCAGAGCCCAGGAAAGAGGUCAGAUCGUCAUUGAGUAGUCGACUAUAAGUAUAAGACUGCUGGCCUGAGAGAAGGCAGUCUCUCUCGGGAAACAUGGCCCAGGGUUCUAUAGUAUAGUAUAGUAUAGUAUAGUAGCCAGACUAUAGGAAAAUCAAGUCUCAUGUUGCUCCUCAGAAAACGCGUAUAGUAUAUAGUAUAUAGUAUAUAGUAUAUAGUAUAUAGUAUAUACUAUAUAGUAUAUAGUAUAUAGUAUAUAGUAGUAGUAGUAUCAUUGGCCAAAGUAAAGUCGAUGGGACAAACACUGUUCGUUAGAACUAGCAUUUUGUUUUGUCAUGGAAUCAAGUCUAUUUGUUCGAAUGUUCUUUUUUUCGUUUCGUUGGAAAAACCAACGCCGACCCCUAUCCUAUCUCAAAGUCUCCCUUUCUCUUUUGGGAGCAGAGCUGAAAAAGAUAAAUAAUUCCUAUGCCGAGGAGCCAACGCGAUGUACGAGAUUUCGAUCAGUUCUCAUUCGAAUCUUAUGAAAGGGAGCGCCUUAUCUUUAGAUUUGAUGAGGCGUCUCUCAAUUCAACCGAGACUUCUGUUAAUACAAUCGCAAGUUCUGUCAGUAUUAGAACGAUGACUAAUGGAUCUAAUACAAGUAAUGCUAAUGGUGUUCCGAUUCCGAGGGUGGGGGGUUCAACUGGGAUUUAUGAGGACCACCCAGGUCUGAACCCGACCGAUGAAAUGGUGGUGGAAUAUCAAGCCGGUAUAAGGGAGCAAAUGAGUGAAUUAAUGAGGAUGGACGGGGAGCACCCCGAAGUUGUGGCUGCCGCCAAACGUGUGCAUGGAGAAAGCGAUAAUAUCACAUUUUUGCAAGGGCAGCUCGAGGAUUUAAGGGCGCAUGGAAGAAAAGUGAAGCUUUCAAGUACGGAGUGUCGAAUGACGCGGAUCUUCCUGGAGGAGGAAACCCAGCGGGAAGCUCAAGAGGAGUUGACCUAGCGAAUGGAAAUGAGGCGGGGAGUUCCGCAGGAGUUGACCUGAUGAAUGUGGAUGAUGCUGCAGGUUUUGCAGCAGAGAGCCCCCUGGAUCAAUUUGGAAUUCACCCAAUUCUGGAUCUGAAUAUUGGUGAGUACUAUGUCUCUCAUUCACAAAUCUAUCCUUGUCUAUGCUACUCACUCUCGGUUUGGUCCUACUUCUGGUGCUGCCAAUGCUUCUUCGUUCAUUAGAAUGUCGAUUCCUCACAAUCGCUCUUUGUGAUGCUGCGGAACCAUGGCAAUUAGGAUCUCAAGACGCAGCAACACCUAUGAUGCAAGGAAUCAUUGACUUACAUCACGAUAUCUUUUUCUUCCUCAUUCUGAUUUUGGUUUUCGUAUCACGGAUGUUGGUUCGCGCUUUAUGGUCGCGUUGCCCAGUUUGGGCUGCUCGCGUUUUCACUCUGUUGAGUGUAACAACAGCACUUUUUUAUUAUUCUUCUUUGAUGACCACAGCGGAAUGGGUAAUGAACCUGAUCAGAAUGCGGGGGGGAUCCACUGCGGGCAACCCCGAUGGAACCUCUAGCCCGUCCUCGUCGUUUUUCCAGGGGCUUUCUCGGGAGAUACCCGGGGCACCUGUGGAACCUAGGCAAGAGGUGCAGCAGCCGGAAAUGGCUUUAGCGGUGCCUAAUCCAUCAAUUCAGCCAACUGAUCGGGGAGAGCCGUCGAGUGCUCCGCUUGGGCCGGACCAGCCAGAGGACAGCAGUGCACCUUCAAGGCCGCUUACCGAGCAAGAUAUCAGGACUAUGGAACAGUUAUUCGAUAUUGAAGAAGAAUUGAAACCAAUCAUUAUUGGUUUUUACAAUGAAUUGGGGUCGAAGAAAGUGGGCGAGUUGCGCCCACUUGGUGGAUGAUUUAACUGAGCGCCACGGGGCGGAAAAGAUGCCCGAAAUCUUACAAAGUUUUAGGGACCCUAUUUCACUUAAAUUUAUAAGGAUUUCCGGGACCUCCGGGCUUCUAAAGGGACGGAAGCUAAUCUCGAGAGAGAGGAGAUGGGAAUGGACACCUCAGAGGUCCUAGACGGAGAUAGGACUUGAAGGCGGAAAGUAUGGAAAAACAUCUUGUAAUGUAUUUAACCAGAAAACGCCUUUCGUUUUCCCUCCUUCCCUAGCCGCCUUCCUUAACAAGCCCUCGAGCCGUACAUUUUAGAAGAGGCGGUUCGUUCCUAUCUGGACAAAGGAAUGGAUAAUCUUUCUAUUCUCCGGGCAGCUUAUCAAGAUCUGCGGGAGAAUGGGGAAGGAUCCAUCUUCUUUUUGGAGGUGGUUUCGCACAACCAGGAUUACCUGGAUGCAUAGACCACUUCCAGGAGGUGCCAUGAAUUGGCGCAAAGGAUCCGAUGGGAUGGAAUCACCCACAGCCGUGCUCAGCUCGAAAGGGCUGAGUAUGAGCAUGCGCUACUAUUGUUUCAAUAUGAAGAUCUCAAAAGGGGGCGGGGGCAUAUUUAAGCAUUCCUAUUUUAGUUUAGCGGCAAGCGCCUUUAUGUGACCUAACAGGACUUUUGAAUUAACUCAGUGAUUUUGCAGGCAGACGGAGGAGAGGAAAUGAAAGCAGAAGAAGUUAUCGAAACACAUGUUCAAUCUUUUUUUAGCGGUUUCCCCAGAGAUCUUUCUCAUUAACGCAACCUUCAUUUUGCUCAUUCAUGGAGUUGUAUUUAGUACCUCUAAGAAAGAUGAUUAUCCACUGUUAGUUAGUAAUGUGGGUUGGCUUGGAUUACUUAGUGUUGCGCGCCUAGGAGGGCAGCGCGCUUGGGAUGCGGAGGAGCUAUUAUCGCCCAGCUCCCUAACCUAAUGCGGCCGGACCGCAGGGAACCUUAGCAUGGGGGGACGUCCUAAUCCUUUUGCCGCUGUAAGGCUGGCUAAUCGUACGCAGCAGGAGCAAGGGAACUCCCCUGGUUCAGGAAGGCACAUGAGUCCGAACGCUAUUAUGAAUGUGCGACCGACACUACACUACGUAGGUACCUAUGCAUGCAGGUGAGGCGUCGGUCGGUCCUAAAAACGGCGGCAGCUAGCGAGGAGUUAACGACCGGACGUGCUGCAACCUAGGGAUCACCAGGCAGCUCUUUCGCUCUAUAGGGAUAUCGGGGGGGGCGUAGCACAAUUCUUCUUGGAGGAGGGUUGGUUUGCCCAGGUGACUGAUCCUGCAUAAUAUACUCCCGCCAAUUCUAUUGCACCGGCAACCGAAGUCGAACAUACAUAUGACGAUCUUCAUGCGUGAAGGGACGGGAGGAAAGAAAGGGCGGUAGAUGAUAAUGCGAAAGGGCACCGCGUCUGGGCGGGCGGGCUUGAUAGUAAAGCCAAAGAAAGAUGCCCCAAGACAAGGUACAACUGUUGGGAAGGGGACAUGAUCAAUAGAACCCGGCUGGAUCCGGGCUGGGAUAGUGGCGCCCAUUCCUAACCAGUUCAUAAAAGGUUCGCUCAUGCUGGAGGUACUAACCACUUAGUGAUCGGUCCGCUAGUUCACGCAAAUCCGAAGAAGUUAUCACGGACGAGCCACAUGCAGGGAAACUUGCACGUGUGGUUCUGGCCGGGCUUUCCUUCGGUAUCUAAUAACCUUGCUUCUGCUCGCCGCUGGCGCACCUCUCCUAACUAUUGCCCAUUUAUUCUGGAAUAAUUUUUUUAGGAGGGACAAUUUUACAUAUUUCUGCCAAAUCCUUCUAUUAUUAAGUACGGCUGGUACCAUUUCGAUGUGUUUCGAUUCUUUCGAAAAAGAGAGGUUUGAUGCUUUUGAAUUCAUUGUAUUAAUUCCACUUCCUACUCGCAGUAUGCUCUUAAUGAUCCCGGCUCAUGAUUUAAUUGCCAUGUAUUUAGCUAUUGAGCUUCAAAGUUUAUGUUUUUAUGUGAUCGCAGCAUCAAAAAGAAAGUCUGAAUUUUCCACAGAAGCCAGCUCAAAAUAUUUGAUCUUAGGUGCAUUUCCCUCUGGAAUAUUAUUGUUCGGGUGCGACCGGACUACUACCGAUCAAUUUUUGGAAACUUCUUUAUAGACUUGUAGAGACCCUCUAUGUAGUUGUAAUUCUUGGGCAAUCACUCUACUUUCCCCAUAGCCCUAAGGCUGUGUCUCGAUCUCCUACGUGCGAAAGAUAAGAUACGGGAGACGGGGUCCUAUGGUAUGGGUCUUCAACCCUUGGUCUAAUUCCACGACGGAGAGUCGGCGUGGCGUAAAGUGAAGAUUGGGGGGAAUAGAGCGAAAUCCCCGUCUGGGGUAUUCCGAAGGUGUAACCUAGGCAACGAAAAAGGGGCCCGAUACUUCAACUAAAGGAGCGACAUGUUGGUUCACCAAACCCCGACCCAGUGUCACACGUUCUCCAGGUCCGAAGGGAUCCAGUGCCCAACUACCGACUCCUCCCGGAAUUGCGUUAUCGGAGCGGAGCCAGGAAUAGCCGUUAGUGGACACCUACCACUUUUCACCGGUUAGAGAGGCCCUCUUUAAUACAUUAAGAAAAUAUGUUCACAGGGGCCAGAAAGACUCGGUCAUAGGAACUUCAACCACCUACGCGCUGGUAAACGAAAACCACCUCGACCGGAUCUACCGAACGAAGAAGGCCGCCCGAAUUAACACGCCAAAAGGGCCACCAGCUUUCCCCAAAAAAAGGGGAGAUCCGCUGCUUACUGCUCACGGAAACAUCCGACCUUAUCGUCAAGUCGUCUACCUAUCUUUCUGAUCUCAUUCGUUUUCCGAUCGCAUAAAAAGAUCAAAAAAGAAAUGUGAAAAUGUAGUUACAGAUGUGAAAAAAGUAAAUAUCUCUCUGUCUGUGUUCUUAAAUCAUUCAUUGGAUGAUGUGUGUUUCAUCAAGUAUGAACUUCUUUCUUUUUUUCUAUGCAAUUUAAGUACCGGAUCGACAUCCAUUUAUUUCAGUGCCCUCAUCCGCUCCGCGUGUAUGUCUGUGUUAGAUAGGCUCUGGAAGGCCUUACUUUACUAAUACUAACAGGUAGGGCGCGUUACUUUUUUUCUUUUUUUGCGCAUGUUUAGAUUAUUUACUUGCCCUUUCACUUUUUCUUCGGCUGUCACCAACUUUGUUCAAUGCUAGUCCCUAACCCAUGAAUAAGGGCUCCGCUGGCUACCGGGUUCAGAGAAGUUUGUAAGCUCUUUCUCUUUUUUUGUUUUUCGCCACCUCCUGUGUCUUUCCGUUUAAGGUCUUUAAUUCGAUUCGGCAUUAGCUUCAUUAGAGAAAGCCAUGCGUGAACUACAAAGCACGGGAUCCUGAACACCACGAAAGAAAGCGUACUACUUUUCAAUAAGGUCCGCCUUACUUUUCAGAGAGGAGAGACAUGAACUUGUUUUAGGUGUAGAAAAGGUAUGAAAGAUUUCUUGAAAAGAGGUAGGGACUGGUCUCGCUGCUAAGGGAGAAGGAGACCUCUGUCGGAGCAAGCUAAAGAACCCACUUUAGAUCGUCGAUUUCAGGUAAGGCACUCGAUCAAGCCUAUACAUCCGGGAAUUUCGCUCCAAACCAAAGACGACUUGCUUUGCUGCAUUUCUGGCUUUACUUUAUUUUUUGGCGAAAGAAAGGCCAUAUGAUCUACUUUCUGGUGCCGGUCCCUUCAAAAAGAUAGCCCCUUCUUGCUCUUAUUCUUAUUCGGUGGAAUACAAUAGUUCUGAAGCUCCUUUCUUUCAAUUGAAAGUUGCCUAUCUUUGCUUUGGAAUCCAAUCCAGUUGAAAACAAACAAUUGCCCGAUGUAAAAGUCAGAUGAAAGGCAAGGAGUGUAAACCACGUACGAGCGAGCGCAGAAAGCGAAAUGUUUUGCAGCGAGUCAAGCGUAAUACGAUCAAAAGGAAAUGGGGUCAAUGCUAAAACUCAAACAGUUCCGCAGAGGGUUGAAAGAGCGAGCUACAUUCUUUCAUAGAAGACAGAAAAAAGAGGAUUGAUGCUUUCUUACUUCAUCUUAAUAUAGGGAUGCUUUAUGUAGCUUCCAAUAAAUAGGAAACAGACCCAUGGGGCACUCAGUGACGUAUCUAAACCGUCUAUCCAGUACUGGCUUUUCACACUCGGGAAUAGAAACUGUCGGCACUUGAAGAUGAACGAAGCGAAAUUACCCCCCCAAAAAGCCCUUAGACCCACCUUGGUGGGGACUGACUGCUCUCCCCUACGAAAGUAGCAUCGCGAUGCAGAGAUCAACAACACAUAUUCACAUACCAUGCUUAUCUAUUGAUGUCGCAGAUCAGCGGCAACUCCCAUACUAAGUAUGAUGUCGCAUAUCGGUUGUCUAACUAGAAGGGUGGAACCUUUUCUUUUUAACUAGUCUUAAAGUGGAUGUCGCAGCCUUGAGUUCUUUUUAUUGAAUUCGCGAGAUUGAAAAUUAGGAUUGAAUGAAUAACCUGGAGAUAUAUUCCUUUUCUCAAAUAGUUCUUUAAGGGGCCUCUCUCUAUCCUUGGCUUAUUCAAUAGAGCUUUCCUUCUUUUCAUUAUUCGAUACUGCUGUGAGAUACUACGAGAGCUCGUAGGCAAUAUGAGAUAGAGCUGACUAAGAGAAAGAACUAAGCGGAUCUUGCAGCUGUUUUCAUUCCUUUAUUUAGGUCUUGAACCUAUUAAGUAUAAGUAGAAGACAAAGCACUGAUCUGAUGGAUCAAAUGCUUUCACUACUCGAUCAAGGGCUUCCCAAAAGUCCUAUUUACUAACUUCUCUUCGUUCCAGAUUUCCGAAUCGUUUUUUAGUCAUGUUAGCACCACGCUUCGCUUUCCGAUAUCUGGUAUUAUGGCUUUGCGCAGACUGACCACUACCUGUACCGGUCACAGCCCAAUCGAGGGCAUACUUUCUAAUCUUUCUUUCGGCAAUUCAUCUUGCACUGCGUAUUUGGAUCCGAUCCCUCCCUUAUUUUAGCCAACAUCCUAUUAAGAUUAAGAUCUGCAAUUUGCAAAUAUGAGAAAAGUGGACGCUGUACUUGUCUGAAAGCGGAAACUAAGAUGAAGUGCUUAUUCUCAUUACUGCUUACUAUCCUUACUUUACUUUACUUUACUUAACUUAACUUUACUUAACAUACGCGUUUUCGUUAUGGACAAGCUCUCCUUCUAUGCGCAUCGAUCGACCGACGUAGGGAUUUGCAUGGGGCGUUGCGCGUCGCGUCGGAGAUUGUCAGACAAUAAACGUUUCAAUGGGUGUAGGUACAGGGGGAGGGGGUGUGGCGUACGCCACUUACUUUCUGGUGUGCAGGAUGCACUUCCCACAUGAUUGUACAGUAGGCGUUGGAGCCCUCAUCUUUAGGUACAUGGAGGUGAUCACAUAUGCGGAGCAGCUUCCUUCGAGAUGCCUUUGACCCGGGACCUACGCACAAGAGCGUUAACAUCAAGGACGAAAGGAUUCCCAUGCAUGAUGCGUACAACUCUAAUCGCGAAGCGAAGUAAAAAAACAAACCGAUGAAAGGAGAGAAUGCGGGAGACAGAAUGAUGUCGGGCCAGCACAAGAAGUCAGACUAAACAACCCAUUCGACGCGUCGGGGGUACUCGACCACCGGGAGAUAGGGAUUUAGUGACUUACCAACCAACCAGACAUUGAGGGCAAGACAUACCAUACAAAUCACGGCUUCGGCUGCUGUAGUCCUCUAGCCGAGCCAAGCCACUACUAGCGUGUGUGUAAUUCAUGGCAGUUCACUAUUUUUUUUUGUUAUGGAGCUAUUCUCUUUCUUUUAUUUUUAUAUAGUAUAGAGAGCGGUAAGUUAGCGUUGUUCUAAGGAUAAGGAAAAGGAAAAGGAAGUGGUAGCUGUUCCAGUACACAAAGAAGGGAGAUUUGUGUAACCCGAGCUCUUUGAUCAAGACGGUGUGGCCAAAGUCAAUCCUUUGAGAAAAAAGUCAUUGAUUUUCGUUGGCUAUAGUGAUCAGCACAAGGGGUACUGCUGUUAUGAUCCCCGCACGUCUCAAGACAUGUCACAUUUGAUGAAACACGAUUUGCCUCGCUACCCCAUGCGCCUCUUCUCGGGGAGAGAUACACACACGCGCGAUGACUGCUUUGCCACCGCCCACUCUAUGUGCUUCGAUUAGCGUUCCGACGCCUGGCAUGGCAGUGCACACGGCUCAUAUUCGAUUGACCACGCUCACAUCCGCUUCAGACAUAAAGGACCAUUGAGGUCCGGCCCUAUCGUACUGGAAGUCCCAUGCUUUUCGUUUUUCUUCUCGUGCGUUAGAAUUGAAACCUAAGCUAAUUAAGCUACUAUCUCUGGCUCUGGAGAAUGGUAUCUGUUCAUUUCUGCCUGUCCAUAAGCGUAUAUAGGAUGAAGUCUAAACGAAUCAACGAAAAUUACGGUUAAGGCAUUUGAGAAUAUUAGCAUUGGGCACUCUAACUCAAAGGAAGAAGCCGAAGCCAGUCCAGUAGCUCGAACUCUGAUUAUCUACGAAAAAGAUGGCAUUCUCCCUUAAUCUGCCUUGUUUUGAGAAGCGGGGAGGUAGUUUUGUCAAGCUCGUUAAACGCAACGACAGUCAAGGCUAGGAAGAUUUCCCAGGCCAGCCAACAAAGUGGGAUAUUCUUUGGAAGAAAGCCUGUAUUGUUUGACAAGAUCUUUAGGUCGGUCUCAACACGUUGGCAUCUUCUAUUCCUGACUCAUUGGGGAUAAUAUGCCUUUUGCUUGUCAGAAGUAGACCGACGAUACAGACUAAAGUAAGUCAGAUCUCCAAAUAUUUCAUCAUACUCAAUCCUGAAAGAACAAGCAAGGGAUGAGCGCACGCUGGUAGUAGAAGGAAGCGGAGAUGGAGGCAGCUAGGCAUCAGUUUGAGUUCGAGAUCGAGACCAGCUUCAGCCACUAUUGCUAGGACGGGCUUACUUAGACUGAGAACAGAGAUUCUUUUCUCUGCUAUGCUACUUUCCUCUUUCUUCCCUGAGGGCAUUCCUUUCCUGAACAUAGAGCCAAACAGUCUUGCCCGGAACCCCCGAUUCCUUCCCUUCUUGAAGAAAACGAUACCGAGAAGGCAAUAGCACUUGAAAAAAUGAAAAUACCGUCAGAAAAUAUUCUAUUGCUAUUCGGGAGAACACAGGCUUUGAAUACUGCCCGGCCAUGCUACUCUGUUUUGGUUGAAGUACCUUCUGACACUACUGAUUCCAUCUUUAUAUCGUUCGAGCUAGCCCCAUGACUUCUUGGUCGAGCACAGCUCUUGUUCGAUUUAUCUUUCUUUGAUCGAGCGCAGCGAGAAGCAAGUCUGGCGAACCUUGUGCUAAAAUUCCUUCUUUUCUUUCUUUCUUGGUUUUGGAUCGGUUUGUUAAAGGUGGGAAAGGUUUGUUUACAAAGGCAUGACUCAACUGCUGCAAACUUAUCAGGAUUGUACCUACCGUGAAAUUCGUGCCGCCUGGCAGUCUUGCAUGUAAAAGGUAGUGGUGGUUAUAUAUCAGGCGGGAAGCGCCAAGCCUAUCAAGUGGGAAAGACCCCUAACCUACCACCAACUUACCUUCCAACCAAGCAAGCCCUUCGAUCCCGCGCUGCUGCUGGGUAUAUAAUCUCGGUCCUCCCCUUACUUUGAAGCCUACAGCUCCACAAUUCGUUUUCCUGUAAUUAAUGGCAGGAAUCCAAAAGAUACUAUUUUUUUCUUUUUCUUGUCUUUUUUCUGCUUUUUCAUGGCAUCGAAGCUACGCGAGGGAAUGCGAUGCUGCCCACUCUGCCGCAAAAGGGGGCGGCUUUCUUCUUCCCCAAAAUGACAGUUCCACCAUCACAGCAUGCAACAAAAUUAUGUGGAGAGGCUGCACAGCAAAGCGCCUUGUGCCAUCCGGCGCUAAUCUUCUACAUCACUAGGUUAGCGGGACCUGAAGAAAGACUAAGUCCGUCUGUCGAAAGCUCAGUUGUUGGUUUGGUGAUACUAGUGCUUUCUAGUGUUUGAGUUGUUCAGGAGUUGUUAUAAGUCAGAUUACCUCAUUGUAACGCAGGUGUCCCCUGCUUUCCUUAUUUCCUUUUUUAUUGUAUGAACUUUGGCUUUCUUAAUAAAGCUCGGCGUCUAUCCUGAGUGUGAGCAUUCAUAGUUGUGAACUUGUGAUACUAUUGUUUAACUUGCUGCAAAGACUACUUUUACUUGCAAUUGGUUCAUAAAAUGGUCUGGUGCUUUAGGAGGUCUGCUCCCACAAUUACUUAUACUUAAGAUCUAGUGCUGUUCUAAAGUCUAAACCAAGGAGCAAAUGAUAUCUGUAGUUAGCAGUUCGUGCGGCUCAUUCACCUUGGAUGGAUCGGCUGGUCCUGGCAUUCUUUUGACACUGGACACUCAAGGAGGUGCUUGCCUACUAAGAACUAGUCCCACUGUCUAUUACUCGGGUGCUGAGGCAACUAAUAAGAAAGAAGCUUGGGGAGGAAUCCAUUAGCUAUCUUCACUAGAUGGACACAGAUGGCGCAGAUUUAGGCAAGGAUUUUUUGAGAAUGAUUAUUAGCCUUCUUAGAAUAUCCGCCUAUAUUAAUAAAGAGUUUGAGAUUGACCACCCACAAGACAAGAGUUUGACCACGGGGUAAGGUUACCAUUCCCAAAGAAAAGACCAGUUACGGACUCUACAACAUAAAAAAAGAGGACUGAAUCGGCGAUCCUUCGAAUAGUUUACUCGACCUUCAAUUCAAAGUCUUGUUCAUCGCCAAGUAGGCUUCCUGAAAGGCGAACAGGGCAAGCAAAGUAAAGAAGUUAGUACUUCGCUACUGGACAAGGCUAUUAUUACAAGUCCAAAAAAUACGUUACUCACUGGAGCGAUGAUUGAUUCAAAUUUGCCUAAAGAUCGUGGAUUUACAUAGGCGGCUCACAAGGGAAAAACAAGGUUAAAUGCCCCAGGGAUUACAACCAAAGUUUCAGGUGUGAUCUUACAACCCCUACUAAAGCAAUAGGACUCUAUUUCCAACUGAUGAACUGUGUAGUGGAACUACGGGAACUAGUAAGCCUAUAAGUGAGAGUGAUUCUUUCCCCAAAAUUCAAUAAGCUAUAAAACUUCCUUGGUUCCAAUCCAAUUCAUGAUAAAAGGAAUAUCAUAUCAUAUCAUAUAUAGUAAAGCAACAAUAAUGAAACGUGUGCGUUAUAGUAUAGUAUAGUAAAGGCAAAUUCCUUUGCCAACGCCUACGUCUUGCUUUCAGUAUCAUAUAUUCAGUAGACUAGACUUUUCUAUGUGAAUUCAAAGAAUAUCCUAUCUAAUAAUGAUUUCACUCUAGAUGAAGGCUAUUCCUCCUGUUAUAGCUGAAGCAAAGCAACCGUGUCAAGUUUUAUUGUCCCGCUAUUUCAGCGGAGCCUAUCCCUCCUAAUGUGUUACAUCCUGGCCAUCUUUUGCUAUCCAAAAUCCUGGCUGAGGUAGGUACAGUGUCUGUUCGGCUCGGCAAUCCAAGAUUAGCAGAAGUAAUAGGUGGGGCUUAUAUUAUAGUAAAGAAAAACUACUUGAAUAAGCGCUCAGCCAAAGAGGUUGGCAGAGAGAAAAGGAAAGUAAAUGGGAUGUUCAAGUAGGUAGCGAGUUCAUCACCGGGGAUGUCUGUACUAAAGCAAGCAAAGACCUAGUCUGCUUUGAAUUAAGCAUUUCAUUGUGGAAUUCGCCUAACUUUCAAUCUAGAAACUAGUGAAAAGCUAGCCGACUAUUUCAAACGAGUAAAGAUAAGCAGCAAAGCCAGGAAAUACAGUAAGCGAGGAGGAGUAUUCAUGUCUCUUUCUCCCACCAACGUAAUACCCGACAACGCGUAGUCAAGUUCACUUUCUCAUAGCCUAUUUGUUCACACCAGAUCUCGACCGAGUGAAUGAGAAGGAGUUUCAUCACGCUCGCCCAAAGCGGAUUUCCCCCGGUCCGCGUGCACAUUGAAUUCAUAGGGGGCUUCAAUAUCUCUUCAAUUAGCCCAUCCCAUCAAGCCCUUAUUAUUCUGAUGUCUCUCACGGAGAGUAUAGAAGUUGGUCCUUUAUUAAUUAGUAAAAGCAAGCUAUCGCACUGGGUAGCUACUCCUUGUUGGGUAGCCCCUCGGAUAUGGUAUAUUGUAGGUCUCCAGCGUUGGCGCACUUCUUCUUUCGACAGAAUCUCUCUUCUCGAGUGUAGCUGGUACUUUGAAUACUUAUUUCACCCUUGGUACUGGAUAAGAAGGCUAUGUAUGUAGUCGUACUACACCAGUGUUUAAUAACAAAUAGCAUAUCAAAUUGAUCCGCAUCUUAACUCCAAUCUUAUUAUUAUUAGUAACGUAUCCGUGUUCUUUCUUUACUGCGAACUACUUUAUCAAGUCUUGGUAAAGGAGCUACUGUGGAAGUCCCAAUCCCAAGUAGGACUCUGUGUCUUUUCUUAAAAGAAAACCAGCGGGUACAAUUCCCAAUCUAAUAGAAUAUUAUAACUCUUGUACAGUGGGGAAGGCUCAUCUCAACGGAACCCUACCCUAACCCUAACCCUAACCCUAUAGUACAGUACCCUGUGUAUAGAGUAAUGCGAAGUCACCUUGGGCAAGUACAAGCAUUCAUUCUAUCCGUAAGCUAAGGUAGUGAAAACCUUUAUUGUGUAAGCAGUCGUAAGUCGGUAGGUGUGUGAAUCGCAGUAUGCUUAACAAUGUCAGGACGAAAACUCUAAGAACCAGCCAGAGAAUAUUAAGUUAGUAAAAUAAGAGGAGUGUCCGAAGUUGCCCUCCAUUCUAGUGGAACCAUCUAAGUUGACUAUUCAAUUAGUGGGCUUCUUUCACUUGAGUUUCUUCUGUUUACGGAGAUCCUUAAUCUUGCUGUAUCAUCGUCCUGGCACAUAGCUAGUGCGGCUUCAACGUCUUCUAUUCUAAGCCGUGGGAAACUUCAGUCUGAAGCGGAGAUACCUAAAAGCGGCGUAUGGACACUUCUUCUAGCGCCGAUAGGACAACCAUAAUUUUGCAAACUGGCAACUAUCAAAUUGACCACACCUGAUCGGAAGCGCUUGCUCCACGUUCUUUCCUUUCAACAUAUCGGGGCAUAGGAGGCUGGUCAUCUCACACACUUUUCGGGAGACGGGUGCCAUGCUCUUCUUCUGUUUCAAUGCCAUGCACCACGUAGUACUGCGCGUAGCCUCUUAUUCUGUUCGUAAUUUUCUUCAAACACAGGUUCAAGGUCGAGGGCACCAUUCGGUUUUCACGUAACCAAGGUCCCGGGCUCGGUAGGAAGUGUCGGCGUCAAUGACAUAGAAUUUGACCAAGGUCGGAAAUGAACCGAAUUGCAUGGGCAGUGUAAUUGCCCCUAGAGCUUUCUGAGAGUUUUGAUUGAACCCAUGGACCCUAUAGACUUGCGCUCACUCAAUGUCAUUUGUGAUUUUCUUCAAAGGGAGAAUGUUUAUGUUUGUAGACAACCUGGAUCCACCAACUUAAGUGAAGUUAAGCUCCGUGACAUACAAGGGUUUAUUAUGAUUAGCAGAUCCGUUUAUCAGGUCCUCAUCCUCAAAGGUAAUGGUCGCUACUUGGUCGAUGUGCAUUGUUUCCAUCAUUUUUCUUUCGGGGCUUUAAAUUCCUCUGGUUUUUCUAGUGCUUGAAUGAGGACUUCUCGUAAUUCCCGCGACAAAUGAUUUUGCAUCGAAAACGCUAAGAAGUGCGGCGAGCACAUCCCUCUAUUGGCUCUUUGACCUGUUUUAUCAUCUUUUUGAAAUAAAAAAGUCCUUGCUUUGAUUCUUAGCCUCUGUAUUCGCCUUGGGCCUUUCAGGAAUGCGCCCGAUCGUGGGUUAGGUUAGUAUGACAUACAUCUUCGUUGUCUUUUUCAGGCUCCUCCCAACUUGACGAUUUCUUUGUUUCCUCUUUCGUCCUAUUCUUCUUCGUUCUCUUGGAGGUAGCUAGGAAGCUCCUCCCCCUCCCCCUGGGGUCCCCGUCUUGUUACUCCUCUUAAUCUGAGGCCCAUUUGAAUUAACACCCGAAACUCAAGUGAAAGAAGCCCGCUAACCCACUCUUCUUUCCCCCCACCUACCCGGUAGGUAAGUAGGGGCCUCGUCAUCUCUAUUUUCCUUCCCAGGAAGACGGAGAAACUUGUAACACCCCAGGUGUUACCUUGGCUAGAGCCACCUUGACAUUAGAAGCUAUUUUCACAAAGGUAGAAACUUAGGGCACCACAUGGGAACUUUGGAGCUCUUGUGCUAAUCAAGUGGCCAAUGACAUAAGAAGCAUUACCCUAAUCCUUGCACACUUGCUACCUUGGGUAAUAAGGGGAGAAGAACCCUAGGCCUCUCAAAAGCCCUACCUUUCAAAGCCCUAAGUAAGGGGGGAAAGAAAGUGAACAAGUGGGCAAAGCAUGUGUAACUUUUACCCAAACCCUAAGCAACAUUAUAACCAUCAAUUAAGGGAGGGAAAUAUUGCAAAAAGGCCCCUGGAGAAACCCCAAUUCAAAUCUCCAAGUGGAGAGAGAGCUAGAGCUCUCAAUUUUUCCCUCUAAGUCACAUUUUAGCCCUAAUUCAAAGACCAGCCGUGUUCACUUUGAAGAUGGCGCCAAAACCACUUGGGUUCUAUACCAAAAAUGUGCUAUACCACUUAAGGCACCCCCUGGAAAAAUUUGAGACCGAGACUCAGACGUUUGACAACACUUGACAUCAGUUUUGUCGCUGAGCGGGCAGGGAGACAAGCCAGAUUUGGCGCCCGUCUAUCUCCCUAUCUAGGGCGUAUCAUCCCUUGGAACUCACACAUGUGAGAUAGCCCUAGGUGCCAGGAGGAGGUCUGCGCCGGAUUCAUGGCGAGAUUCGCACGUUUGCGAUCUCUGGAAGCGUUUGAACAUUGGAAGAAACUCACUGCCACGUGUUCGACGCCUUCUGCCCACGCCAGAGCACGCUCGCGCGCGCCCUCGCACGCCCCGCGCCACGCCCGAGCCAAACCCGCGCCAUGGCCCGCGCCCGAGCUUAUAAAUCCCUCCGAGGCUUCGGCUACACCCUUCCGCACACCCUCCACACCUCACCGGAGUUAGCUCGUCGCCGUUUGCCCGUGCGCAGCGAGCCCGCGGCCGCUCAACCCCUCUGCCACCGUAGACCGGCUAGCAGAGCCAUCCCCAACCCCGUCCUACCCUCGGAGAAGCUUGUGCACACCUCUGUGAAGCUCCCCGAGCAAGGAAUCGGAGUUCCCUUCGCCGGAGAAGCCAGUCCACGCUCGCCGGAGCUCUCACCCCCGCCGGAGCACGUGGACCGGGUAAGCCACUCCACCAUCCUUCGAUUCCUUGUGCACACAGUCGUUGCGUGACCCCGUGAUGCUCACCGUGCCCUCGGAUUGCGCCAGUUCGCCGUAGUUUGGCCGGUAUACUCGCCGCCGACGAGGACACCCGCCUGCACGCGUGGACCGGGCGAUUCCGGCCACCUCCGACGCCGAGCCGUACCUCGACGUGACUGCCAGGGUCUCCCCAAGCCGACCCCACCCUUCGCCGGACCUCCCUCGCCGCCGGUAAGCCGCGCCGCCCUUUUCUUUCCCGCGGUUACUGUUUCAGUGAGGGGAAGGACUGCGGGUGAGAGGGAAGAAAGGUCAGGGGGUUUUGUGUAAUGUCAGCGACACAGGGGAAUAGUGGCGUGGGGGUAGAUUUGUGAAGGUGGAUUUAGUUUAAACCCAGGGACCUCGGUGUAAACUGUUUUUUUAGAAAACCUUAAUUAAAUCUGUUUUAAAUUGAACAGCAACUUUGAAAAUGCAUAACUUCUGUUUAAAUCAUCCAAAUUUGGUCAAACCAAUUUUGUCAGACUCAAAUUAAUGUGACCUAUUUAAGAAAAAUAUAAAACCCCUUGGUACUGUGGAAAACUUAAAAGUUCUAAUUUAAUGUUAGUUUUGGCCAAAAGCUAAAUAGUAGUAAGAAAAAUAGUUAGGCUAUUUGACUAGGGUUAGGAAAAUUUGGAGAAGUUUAUAUUUACCUACUAACCUGUUUAAAAAUGUUAAACCCCUCUGUCCACUCCAUUUAAGUUAGAUUUACCCCUUAUUCUAUAAUAUGCUUAAGGAUAAGGAAAAUAGAAAAUGUAAUUUAAUUGAUGAACCAGAGGGUACCUCUAUUUUUGUUAGGUUACUUAUUCAAUAUAGUUCACUGGAAAAAUAUAUCAUACCCUGUUUUAGUGUAAAAUAAAUAAGAUCCCUGUUGUUUUAAUAAAACAAGUGAAACUUAGAAAAACUCUACAAAAAUAACUCCAAGGUAAAAGCACCCCCACCCUUGGGAUAACUACUGUUUUAUUAGAGAGAACCUAAGAAAAAUAUGAAAUCUGCUGUUUGACAUUUUUCAAAUAAUAAGGUAGUAGAAAGUGCCUUUUUGACAUUAAACUUAAGAAAAUCAUAACUAAAUAACCACCCCUUAGUUUUCUGUGAUUUUUAGCACAGAGGCCUAUUAUUACCAGAGGAUGCCAACAAAAAUAACCUUUAGGGCAGAACCUACCCCUAACUAGGAGGUGUAGUGGGAAGUGGCCCAUUUUGCCUAACUUUUGUUAUUUUUGUUUAAAGCCUAACUUUUAUACUUUAAGCCUCAAAUUCUUAAAGCAAGCUAGAAUAGCCAGUGGUAGCCCACUGUAAUUUUUUACAGAAUUUUUGAAAAUUAUUAAAACCCUGUUGUAGUUCAAACCUACCCUGGAAACCCUAAAUGGAAAUCAAGGAAAGGAAAAUGAAUAAUGUGAGUAAAUGUUAUCCCAAAACCCUUGUAAUCUGUCCACUAAAAUAUAUCAAGGCAAUACCAAUCCACUAUGUUAUCCUAAAAGAAAACCUAAGCUUAAAAGGUAAUAAGUCUAUGUAUCUAUAUAUAUACCACUAGAAGCCCCGCAUGACUAAGAAAACCCUAAGUUACUUCUUAACUUAGUUUAUUUAGCUUAAUGUUCUUAAAUCUUGCAUAAUCAUGACAUACAUGUUCAUUGCAUUUUGAUAGACUGUAAUCUUGCUGACGGAGAGUACAUGUUGGGGGCCUUCGGCUUCCGAAGGUCCUCAAAAGCAUGAUUUAACGGUGUUUUUAGAGUAUAAUGUGUGAGCAGGUAUCUUCGGACUCGUAUCAGAAAGGGAGAAGCUCAAAAGAUACGAAGGUUGACACAGCGCCGAAGCUGUGAAGCAGGAAAGCUUCGGCAUGUUCGCAGAAAAGGGAACCGACUUAAAGAUGAAAAGGCCAUUUAGACCUCGAUAGAUUGCUAUAGAAUUAUCACCAAAUGUAAAGGGCAUGUAUGUAAUUUUGUAUGGGUUGUACCCCGUGCCUAUAAAUAGGUGAACAGUACCUCCGUACUGUUCACGCUGACUUGGCAUUCGCUUUUUGGGUCACGCUUGUAUUGUCAUUUCCUUCCGAUUGAAGGUAUACUUGUGAUUCAACAACAUUUUUAUUUAUGUUCAAUAACAAUACAUGAUUGUUCAUGUUUUCUUUUAUAUUCCUUAUAUUUCAUCCUUCGUCAUUGUUUUUGAUGAACUUAUGAAGGUAUGUCCUUCAUAACCUUCGUCUGCAAGUCAUUACAUCCUAAGGGAAAUAAUGCUUCGGAGGACGAAGGACAUUAACGAUUAACAUUUUCUAUGUUGCCUUGUUCUUAACUCUUAGUAUUUGAGAACAAGUCCCCAACAUUGGCGCCCACCUCCGGUGAACUCACUUCCAUUUCUUGAGCUUUUCAACACCUUCGGCAAGCAUCACCUUCGUCAUGCCGCCGAAAAAGGCUUCAGCAGCAGGGGCUGGCACGCUGCAGCCGCUGGACCCCAAUCAAGACGUCCUUUCUCUUAGAGAGGCACGAAGCCAGAAGAGGAAGGCUCCCAGUCCAACACCUCCGGAGGAUGAUCUAGAUCAGGAGAUUCAAAAUCUGGAAAUCCUUCAGCAGCAGGUUCAACGCAAGAAGGAGAAGAUGGUCAGGCUAGCUGAACUGCAGAGGCAGAUAGACGAAGCCUCUGAAGAAGUUCGUCAUCUUGCUCAGGAUGAGCAACACCGAAGGCCUCAGCAACAAGACCUUCAUCAGGAGGGCUUUCCCAACGAAGAUGACUGGUAUGACAAUUUCCAUCAUGGGAAUUUUGUUUUUGAUGAUGCUUCUCCCUUGUCCGCUGAGCUACAGGCCACACCUUGGCCUCCAUCCUACAAGCCGCCUCAGCUCCCUGUAUUUGAUGGCCACUCAGACCCGAAGCAGUUUUUGAUGAGCUACGAAGCAACAGUGUCUUCGUACGGUGGCAAUGCUUCAGUCAUGGCCAAAUCUUUCGUUAUGGCUGUUAGAAGUGUUGCUCAAACCUGGUAUUCCUCCCUUCGACCAGGAACGAUCACUUCAUGGCAGAAGCUGAAGGACUUAUUGUUAACUAGCUUUCAAGGGUUUCAGACGAAGCCGGUCACUGCUCAGGCUCUCUUCCAAUGUACCCAGGACCAUGAAGAGUACCUUCAGGCAUAUGUCCGAAGGUUUCUACGAUUGAGGGCACAGGCGCCAACAGUGCCCAAUGAGAUUGUCAUUGAGGCUAUGAUCAAGGGGCUUCGGCCAGGGCCGUCAGCACAGUAUUUUGCCAGGAAGCCACCACAAACGCUGGAAAAGCUGCUCCAGAAGAUGGACGAAUACAUUCGGGCUGACAAUGAUUUUCGUCAAAGAAGGGAGGAGGCUUUCAGGUUUUCUGAAAUGACCAGGGGCUUCGGAGGAAGGUUUUACCCGAGGCAUGUCAGGUCAAUUCACAAUUCUACUCAGAAUGAUGAUAAAGGGAGUCAGCAACAAAGGCCACAAUACUCCUCACAGGCUUCAGGGCAACAACAAAGCUCUUUCCGACCUCCAGCUCCAAGAGGUAGAGGCGCCAGGGGCUUCGGAGGAAGAUUUGGAGAUCAACCGAGAAGAAUCUUUUGCUUAUUCUGCGGUGAGAACAAAGGCCAUACUACCAGGAUGUGUCAUGUUACUAUUCAGAAGCAAAAGGAAAUAGCUGAAGCAGCAGCACAACAGGCUCAGCCGAAGCAGGUCAUGCAUACAGCUUCGUAUCAUUCGCCCUACAUCCCAGAAUAUGUGGGUAAUCAUCCUGCAGUUUCUGUUGCUUCGGCGAGUCAGCCUCAAGCUUCCUGGCAACAGCCUCCACCUCCACCUCCGUUGCAACAGGGCCAACAGCCAGAAGGGAGCCAGUAUACUCCACACCAGAGGGACUUCAGAGAGCAGUCCGAAGCUCGUACAGUCAAUAGCACUGUGCCAGAGUCAAAGCACAUCUAUUGACGAAUAUCCUACCUUAAUAGCAAUCUUUUUCAUUCAGUUUUAUUUUCUGUAAUAAAGGACAUUGUUUAGAUUUCAUAAAAAUAGCUGUUGAAGUUUAAGGAUUUAUCAUGAAAAUAAAGGACAUAUAUUUUCUUCACAGGCUUCAGUUGUUGAAGUUUAAGGAUUUGUCAUAACUCAUAACAAAGAGGACCUUCGAAUUGUCGAAAAAAUUCUUCGAAGCAACGAAAAGUCGUUCCAAGGAACGCAGAGUAAGUUUGACGAAGUCACAAAAAGUCGUUCCAAAGGGAGCGCAGUGUAAGUUUUCUGCUCCAAAGUCGUUCCAAAAGGAAUGCAGAGCAUACAGCGAAAAAUCAACGCUGAUACCACCUAAGUAAAAGGCGAAGAAGCUCCAAAGACGUUCCUAAGGGAAUGCUGAGCUUACAGCGAAAAGUCAACGCUGAUACCGCCUAAGUAAAAGGCGAAGAAGCUCCAAAGACGUUCCUAAGGGAAUGCAGAGCUUACAGCGAAAAGUCAACGCUGAUUCCGCUGAAGUAAAAGGCGAACAAGCUCCUAAGGGAGGCUUAUAGCGAAAAGUCAACGCUGAUUCACAAAAAGAUUAUGUGUUUUAUCACGCAGAUAUGUGUGUAUCUUCGGAAUAUCACCUUACAUAGCAUAACAUCAUCACAUCAUCUUUGCAUAACAUAAGCAUCAAACAUCAUACUGCAUGUGGCAUAAGAAAGAAAUAUGAUAUCAAUCUUCGGGAAAACGCUUUGAAAAAGGGGCAAAUCAUGCCAAGUCACAAGGAGAAACAAUAUUGAUCUCUGAAGUAUAGCCUUGAAGAAUGUUUCUACGAAGCUUCAACACUUUUCAGGAUACUUCGGAUAUUGUUGUGAUAAAUGAUAAUUCUUCUUCACGAAGCAUGAAAAGAAGGGAAGGUGUUUUUUCGCCAAAGACUCAAAAACGGUACGUAUGUAAAGUUUCAUGCAUCGUAAAGAAUUGAACCAUAAAAAAAUAAUAAAACAAAUAUAUUACAUACAGGAUUACAAGAUAUUACACAUGUUACAUUUAAAAUGUUUUUACAAUAGCAUUUAGUCUUCCCUAAGUACCACUUCUGCAGCUUCGUUCAACAGUCGAUCGACAACUUCAUCCAUAAUAGCUUCAGCCAUCUUUUUAAUCUCAUCGUCACCCUUAGGCCGUGCAUCCGGAGAUACUUCAGUAGGAUCUGAGGAGGGACAGGACACGGCUACAUUGCUAUUACAAAUCGCAAAUAAAUCUUAAAGCCUAAGAUUACAACACGAUAAAAACUAUUAUUUAAUACCUAAUUGACCUUCGGCCUCUGCGCUCUUUUCAGUAGCCUCAGCUACUUCUCUAGCAUCGUGGAUGCCCUUUUCACUUCUUCGAAUAAUUUCUCCGGCCAUUUCUCGGCCACCAUUAUCCCAGAUAUCGGUAAAAAACUUUCCACCAAUUAUGCUAGCUUCGGCCGAAGGAUCUCUUGUAUCUUCAAAGGACAAGGCAGCUUCGGACUGUGCUAAAAUUUUUACAUGUUCGCAGCCCUUCUUCUCUAAGAUGGUGGCAAUCCCUCUAGCGCCAGAGAAGGCACAUAUAUCUCCUCGGCUAUUUAAAAUUUCUUCGAAGGCUUCAGCUUCGUGGUCAAUCCAUUCAAUGACACCUUCGGGAUUGCCUCUCGAAAAGUUUUCCUCACUUGAGAACGCGCCGACCUUAGCGAAGCUAGCCUUUAAUUUCUUAACACAAUCUAUAGAUUUGUUGUAGCAUCUCUUUUUGGACGAACGAAGCUCUUCAACAGUCACUUCUAGGUGAUCUGCCCAUUGAUCGCUGAGUUCACGCUUUGUUUCUUCAAGUAUGCGUUCUUCCUUGGCUCUGGCCAGUUGUUUCCGAAGGUCUUCAAUUUCGCGUUUCUGAGCUUCAGCUUGACUUUUAAAAGCAGCUUCGUCUUCCUUUAUUUUAUUUAUCAAUGAGUAUAAUAUUUUAUCUUUUUCAAGACCUUCAUUCCUCAGUUCAAUUACUUCGGAACGAAGGUUGCUCAGGGCUAUAGUACAUCCUUCGUCCUCAGCAUCUUUCUGUGCCCUGAGGGCAUUGCUGAGUAUCAGGCCCUGCAAAUAGGAAUAUGUCUGUGUCAAUAGUUUUAAACAAACGAAAAAUUUUGAACUCAACAAAAAAUACAAGAAUUUCAUUUGUCGCACCUUUAAGCUGUUGUAAGCUAGGCUGUCAGCCAGAUCGUUCUUUGACAGCACCGAAAGUCCGUCUUCUAAAGUUGGGAAUCCGAAGCUUCUGCUCAUCUCCCGACAGAUAGAAAUUUCCUUGCUGUCGGGGAGACAGUACAAGAAGUCUUCUUCUCCACUGCCAUUAAAUAUUAACGCCCCCUUUGGAUACUUCAGCUUUUGGGCGUAAUGCUGGGCCUCUUGCUCCUCUUUUUCUGAAAGUUUCUUCCCCGAAGCAUGACGAACAAUAUAAUCACGAACUCUGAUGGAUGCUUCGGGGGCAAUGACUUUGAUCUCUUCAGCAAAAGUUGGCUUUGUUAUUUUUUCCUCAGUUUCCAAGGAUUCUAUCUUCGCGGGCUCUGAGGACCCAGCUUCGGCUUCAGUCCCUUGCACUGGAGUGUUGUCAUAAGAAAUUUCAGUUGUUUCAGGAAUGGCAGCAGCCUUCUUCGGAGGCGUGCUUGAAGUUUUAAUUGUUUCUAGUACAUCUAGCACAUUCGCCAUUCUUCUUCUUUUUGGAGUCACUGCGGGCACUUUUUGAUUUUUUGUUGUCUCAACAUUUGCUGCAGGACUCACAAUUUCUGGUACUUUUUCUUCAGUUGGUUUUUUCACUUCUGCAAUUUUUUCUGUGGAUAGCGCUUCGGCCAUUUCUUUGGUUUCUGGCAGCGAAACCUUCGGUUCUUCUAGUUCUAUCUUUUUCGCCAUUUCGGUUAUCCCUGCAGCUGCAGGUGGCGUGACUGGUCUGGUUGGCUUUUCAGCCUCGGUAGCCGAAGAAGAUUUUUCGGUAAACUCCGGCACCGAAGCUGGUUCGAUGUAGCGCGGCCGGUGAGUGAGGACUUUUAUUUUCUUUCUUUCAGGCUCUGGCUCGCUGCGAGCAGUUGCAGCUUCUUCUUUUGCAGAGGUUAUGUUCUUUCUUUUCUGCCUUCGGACGGGGUAGCAAUAGUCAGGGUAAACAAACCCAAUUGCAUCAAAUACCCGAUUCAGCCUCUUCUUUUUUCGGCCUCCGAAGGCUGCUGACAUCGCAGUAUCUUCGGCCUUCGAAUAAGCACCAAGCAAUUCGUCACUUAAAUUUUCAAUACUCUUUAGCCAGUCGUCAUCUGGCUCAGUAAAUUUAUCUCCAAACUUGAAGGUGUACUUCAGUCUCACAAGCCCACCUUCGUCGGCCUCUUUUGUGGUUUCUUGAGGCAUUUCCCAUUUCUCCGCAAGAGGCCACACCCGAAAGGCAAUAUGCUCUUGUACUAAAUCUCUUGUCCCAAUAAAAGAGCAGAUGACGCCGAAGGCCCUCUGGCAUUCUUCGGCAGCUUCAUUCAUUUCCACCUUCGGCCUCCGAAGGCCGAAGCUUUGCCAAAUAGGACGCAUAAUUAUACCUUUGAUGUCUUCUCGUGCUGAUAGGUCAUUCUUCACAUAAAACCAUUCUGUCAUCCAAUCCCCGGGCCAUCUCUUCCGAAAGGUUGGUACGGGACAGCUUGCCCCGGACCGAGAGACGAAGCUGUAGCAGCCAAAGUUAUUAUGGUACUGUUCUUUGCCCCAAGGCUUUGUUUCAUAUAAUAAUUCAUGUAUAUUACAGAAGCUUCUUGCGUCAGGCUUCAGACCUUGGCUUCUCGCGGCCCACACGAAGAUAUUUAGCCUUAUAAUUGCCUCGGGAGUAAGUUGAUGAAGAUAGACUUCGAAGAUUUUCAACACCUCCACGACGAAGCUGCUCAAGGGGAAUCGCAAUCCAGCUUUCAAAAAGCUUCGAUACACCACAACUUCAUUUUCUUCAGGGUGUGGACAAGUCUUUUCCCCUUCGUCCGCCCUCACAAUGGACAGAUCCCGGAAAUACCUUCCCCUCAUAUUGGCAAGAUGGUUUUCUUUGAUAGCUGAUUUGCCGAAAACCGCAUGACUUGGUCGCCAGGGGCGAUCUUCGGAGUCUUCACCGCCACUAUCUACAUCAAAACUGUCACUGUCACCAGUAUCUUCAGACAAGCCUUCCAGAAUUUCCUUGGUGAUUUUUUCCGUGUUUGUCUUCGACAUCGCUAUAAGAAACCCCAAGUUUUUCUCCUCAUCAAGAGACAGCUUCGUCUCAGUAACAGCUUCCUUGUCUCCAGACAUCUUCGGAAACACUAAAAAACUGUUUUCAAAGCCGAAGCUUUAAAACUAAAGACUCAGGGAAUCUUAGCGCGCAAAAGCUAAAAAUCGAGCGAGCGAGAGCAAGUGGCAAGAGAGCGUACCAAAUGAGCUCACGGUAUGCUCUUAUUUAUACGCUCGGUGCGGUAAAAAUUGAAAGACCCCGCCUGUCAGUGAAUGUUGCUAUUCUAGCAAAGGGAAGGUGUUUUUUCGGACCUUCGGCUUAAAGCCUUCAUCCAUGUCGCAAUCUAAAUUUAUUAUUUUAACAAAUUAAUAUUGCGAGGGGCUACUGUUGGGGGCCUUUGGCUUCCGAAGGUCCUCAAAAGCAUGAUUUAACGGUGUUUUUAGAGUAUAAUGUGUGAGCAGGUAUCUUCGGACUCGUAUCAGAAAGGGAGAAGCUCAAAAGAUACGAAGGUUGACACAGCGCCGAAGCUGUGAAGCAGGAAAGCUUCGGCAUGUUCGCAGAAAAGGGAACCGACUUAAAGAUGAAAAGGCCAUUUAGACCUCGAUAGAUUGCUAUAGAAUUAUCACCAAAUGUAAAGGGCAUGUAUGUAAUUUUGUAUGGGUUGUACCCCGUGCCUAUAAAUAGGUGAACAGUACCUCCGUACUGUUCACGCUGACUUGGUAUUCGCUUUUUGGGUCACGCUUGUAUUGUCAUUUCCUUCCGAUUGAAGGUAUACUUGUGAUUCAACAACAUUUUUAUUUAUGUUCAAUAACAAUACAUGAUUGUUCAUGUUUUCUUUUAUAUUCUUUAUAUUUCAUCCUUCGUCAUUGUUUUUGAUGAACUUAUGAAGGUAUGUCCUUCAUAACCUUCGUCUGCAAGUCAUUACAUCCUAAGGGAAAUAAUGCUUCGGAGGACGAAGGACAUUAACGAUUAACAUUUUCUAUGUUGCCUUGUUCUUAACUCUUAGUAUUUGAGAACAAGUCCCCAACAGUACAUCCUCGUGCCGGAGCAAGGAGCUGCUCAGGAGGUAGCCCCAGAUCCAGCACCCGAGCCUGCACCAGAGGACCUGCAUGCCACUGCUUUGGAAGGCAAGCCCCGGUUUUAUGCAUAACCGUUUAUAUAUGCUAUUUUACUUCACUCAAUGAUUGUAGGGUUGAUUGUGCACUUAAGUGUAGGAGUUGUAUGAAACCCUAGUUGCAAGAUCUCAGGAAUCCCAUUGAGAUGAAUACUAGUAUGCUAGGUCGAGUAGCUGCUUAUUUAAUUAGGAUCUCGGUAGAAGUCGAGUGAUUUUUCUAGCACUCGCGCGAGGUCAGGACAUUGAUUGUACCCACUUUCAUAUCAUACUGAUGCUGGUUUGUGGGCAACAAUCCAUGGGGAUUGGUUGUUCACGGGAUGAAAAUUUGAAUAAGGAUUAAGGUGUGGUACCGUGAGUCAAGCGUUUGAACGUACUAAGCACAUGCCGAGAAAUAUGGUAAAUCGGUAAGCCUAGUACCUGAGUGAACCUGCCCGCAGAUUGCCCUCCUCACGCGACCUGAGACGAGGUCUCCCAUUCCGGUUAUGGUGGGUACAAGUGCGGUCACUGCACGACGGCCAGUCGGGGUCAGUGAGGCAUUGUACGCCAAGGCGGUGAGCCCCUUUCUGUUGCCAGGGAAUCAAUGGGGACGGUUGAUAUGUGUGGGGACGGAGUGCCCCUGCAUGUCGUGUGUUUAGGUUUACCUUGCAAGGAUAAAAACUCGAUUCGAAUCGUCUGCUUCUCGCAGCUAAUGAGACUUCUUGAUCCAUGCUGCUACAUUGAGUAACAAGUGGAAUGAUGCGGAGAUGAUACAAGAUGUUGAUUGCUAAAAUGUUUGCUACUUUGUAUGAAUAGAUAGUACAUUUUUAGCCUUAAGAGAGUCACACUUAACCUUGACUAAGUUAAAAUCUUGAUUUAGAAACUCAGCUAGUGCUUUUGGCAACCAAACCCCACAGCCAAACAGCUGCAUGUCUAGAGGUAGAGGAGUAGACUCCUCACACCGGGUAAGUCUAGCUGAGUAUUAGUAUACUCAGCCUUGCUUGUGGCAUAAUUUUUUACAGGUUCUCUGGAGGAGAUGGUUGCUGGGAUAACUUGGCCGACCACCCUGCCACCGGGUUGGACUGUCGAGUGGGACCCUGCCUCGGCUGAGGAGGAGCAUGAGGAGUGAUGGGACAGGCUUCCCCAUCUCUCUGUUUAAUUAUCGUUAGUUUUAUUCCACUGCACUUCAAACAAUGAUGGUUACUUUUGCAAAAACUCCGAUGAUGAUGAUGGUGAUGUAAUAAUUUAACAUUAUGGCAUGUAUGGUUUUAUGCUUUAUUGUAUUUGCUCUGUGACUCACCUUCGAGUGAGAUUGUGGUACUUGAUCCUGUCAGUGGCCGUGUCGAACUAGAUCCGAGGGAUUGACGGGUUAUUCCCAUUUAAGUGUGGUCUAGCCUCUAUGGCGGGACUUGGACACUUAAGUUGGAAUAAUUCGGGCAGUUCCGCCACAGCUGGUAUCGGAGCUUGUACCACCACAGAGGAAUCAAUAAAAUGUAAAUACCAUCAAUUUUCCAAGUAAAAUUUGAUAGAAACAAUGUUGGAUAGAUAGUAGGGCGAGCAGGAUAGACCUAGGACGUGAAGCCUUAGGAUAAUAGAAGGGUAGCUAGGUGGCUAAGUAACUAGGCCCUACAGGCCACUUUUACAAGAUGGGAGUUCCUCCCUAUUCCUUUUAUCUUGUUGUGAGGCCGUGCAGGACGAGCAUGCAUGCAUUCAUAAUUAAGCAAUGGAUAACUGAGUAAAGGACUUAAAAAUAAGAUAACAACCAAUUAGGUCCCUAGUGCCUUUCUACUUAACUAGAGACAGGCUGAGUUUUACUUUUCCUUAUUCUUUUUUAUAAUUCUUUUUCUUUUACUUACGCUUAACCGUACACAGAUGACUUCCCACGGAUCCUCCGAUGAUGGAAAUGCACUGACCCACACUGACGGACUUGCACGAGAGGGCUUUCCCCGCGUUUUGUGGGAGGUACUUCAGGGGGCUGGAUACACGACACCGCCUCAGUACGCGGUGCAGCAGUUCGAGAAGCACCGGGUGCCCCGCUGUAGGGUGAGGAUGACUUUGGAGCCUCAUCCCCUGCAGCCAGGCUGGCGCUCCUUGGACUCAGAGUCUUUCGGGUACCGGGCAGAGGACACGAUCGAGGCGAUCGCUCUGCAUGGAUUGACUACCUUCUGCGGAUUCCAUCCCUUGGAGCUGGCUACCCACCCCAUUGGCUUGUUCCCCGCUGAGAAGGAGGAUGACCCAAUGUGGAAGGAUCGGGUGGAGCAUGCCAAGGAUAUCUGGGCCAUCUACCCAGGUCAGACUGCGCAUUUGACAGUACGGUGCAUGAAUGCUCUGUACCGUCUGCAGGUGAUGCGCGGUGAGGCAAUGUCCCACCUGAUGGCACUGCUGGAGGCAACAAAGAUCACGCUGGAUAACGGAGAGGAGCUCGUGGUUGACCUAUCUCAGGAAAUGGUGGAGAAGGACUUGCAGGUGGAGCAGCUAUCCACUGAUAUUCAGGAGUUGGAAGAGCUGGUAGGUACCAGGGAGAACACCAUCGAGGUCCUCGAGGAUCAGCUCAUUAACACUCAGCAGCAGCUUGCUGAGGCUAACGAGCACCUGGACAUGCAUCACCAGGAGAUCCAGGACCAGGAGGCCAACGAGGACGUCGACAUUGAGGGAGGAGAUGAGUCUGCCUCCAGUGUGGACACCGCUGGCUCGGGAAGACCACCUUCCCCCGAGUCAAGUGUUGCCUCGUUCGCUCACUAGGUGUCCAGGAUAGGCUUAGAAGUCGGAUAGUCGGACUCCUCUCAGCUAGCUUAGCUUUUGCACCCUUGGGGUACUAGGCUAGAUAGAGUUGAGUCAUUUUGGAACAAUUGAUGUAAUCGUGUUAAACUUUCUUGGGAGCUUGGUUGAUGGAUGCUUUUAUCAGUUUAAAAUUUGGAAGGAAGAAUUUAUGCCUCUUAAAAUCCCUUUUGCUGAAGCCGGAAUCUAUCAUGCUGUUUUAACCUUGUCCCCGUAAUAAAAAAAAAUCUUGAAAUUUGGAACUGUGGUGUUAAGUAAGUAUGUGGUUUUUUUCAGAUGGCCGGGAGGCAGCGUCGUGGCCAGAACGAGCACGUUCCACCGCCGCCCCCACCUCCCACUCUGCAGGAGCUCAUGGCUCAGCAGAAUGAGAUCCUGAGGCAGCUGGCUCAACGUCAGCCACCACCCCAGCAUUAUGGUGGUGGAGACCACUAGCGUCACCCCGCGGCGGCCACUUAUCAGGAAUUCCUCAGCACCCAGCCUCCACUGUUCACAAGGGCGGAGGACCCACUUGACGCAGAUGUAUGGCUGCGAGUGGUGGAAUCCAAAUUCCCACUACUCCAUGGAGUUUGCUCAGAGGUCACCAAAGUCAGGUUCGCCACCCAGCAGCUUCGCGGACCUGCAAGGACUUGGUGGGAUCAUUUUCUUGCUAUGCAGCCAGAGGACCGAGAGGUGGAGUGGAGGGAGUUCAAGGCAGCUUUCAGGGGACACCAUAUACCAGCCGGGAUCAUGGACAGGAAGCUCAAUGAGUUCUUGGCACUCACUCAGGGCAACAGGACAGUGUUGCAGUACGCCCAGGCCUUUAAUGACUUGUGCCAGUAUGCGGGAUAUCAUGCAGAUACAGAUGAGAAGAAGAGGGACAGAUUCAGAAGGGGGCUCAGCACUAAGCUCCGGGAUCGUCUCAACACCGUCAGGGCCAACAGCUAUAAUGAGUUGGUCAACAUGGCUAUCUCCCAAGAGGACUGCAUUACAGCUAGGCAGGCAGAGAAGAAAAGGAAGACCCCUGUGGCAGGACCUUCAGCUCAGCCACAGCGCUUCAGAAUUGUGUCCGACACCCAGGGCAGGGGACCCCAGCAGCAGCAAGGGCGAUGGGUAAUCCGACCUCAGCAGCAGCAGCAGGUACCCAACCGCAACCAGUUUCCAGCACAGAGGAAUAACCAGCAGCAGCAGUACCGCCAGGCAAAUGACAAUCGAUGCUUCACCUGUGGCAACACUGGGCAUUAUGCCAAGAAUUGCCCCCGGAACCAGCAGAGGCCGGGGCAGAAUGUCAAUCAGAACCAAGGCAAGAGACAGAAGGUGCAAGUGAGGCAGGGCAGGCUGAAUUUCACCACAAUGGCUGACAUUCUAGAGUGAGCACCCGUCAUGACUGGUAUCUUUACAGUUUUGAAUUAUCCUGCUAUUGUUUUAUUUGAUUCGGGUGCAUCGCAUAGUUUUAUCAGUGCCAAGUUUAGUGCCAAAUGCCAGUUGCCCUUUCACCAUACCGAUGGGGGCAUUACAAUUUCAACACCAGGAGGCAGAGUUGCCACUUAUCAAAUCAACAGGCAAGUGCCUAUAAAAUUUGGUAGUCUGGUGAUUAGAACCACCCUUCUCAUCUUAGGAUUGGAUAGCGUGGAUAUUAUUUUGGGAGCUGACUGGUUGACCAGGCAUCAGGCAGUAUUGGACAUUGCAGCCAGAGCCAUUGAAAUCCAUUCCCCUGCUUAUGGCGAGACUGUGUUGUAUUUACCCAACCAGGGUUGUACCCAAUCUUGUGCCUUUGUUAUGUUAGAGUCCCCAGUGAAAGAGAUCCCAGUAGUCUGUGACUACCCGGAUGUGUUUCCGGAAGAAUUACCAGGGAUGCCACCUGACCGAGACAUUGAGUUCGCAAUUGAGUUGCAACCCGGGACUGCUCCGAUCUCCAAGAGACCCUAUCGGAUGCCUCCCGCGGAAUUGGCAGAAUUGAAGAAGCAAUUGCAAGAGUUGUUGGACAAGGGGUUUAUUCGUCCCAGCACUUCACCAUGGGGAUGUACAGCAUUAUUUGUGAAGAAAAAGGACGAGAGUUUGAGGAUGUGUGUUGAUUACCGCCCUCUCAAUGCGGUGACUAUUAAGAACAAAUACCCGCUGCCCCGCAUUGAUGUUCUGUUUGAUCAAUUGGUUGGAGCCAAAGUAUUCUCCAAGAUAGACCUUCGCUCGGGAUACCAUCAGAUCAAGAUCCGUGCCAGCGAUAUUCCCAAGACGGCUUUCUCUACCAGAUAUGGGCUGUAUGAGUUUCUGGUGAUGUCUUUUGGGCUGACCAAUGCCCCGGCUUAUUUUAUGUACUUGAUGAACUCAGUAUUCAUGCCAGAGUUAGACAAGUUUGUGGUCGUUUUCAUUGAUGAUAUUCUGGUUUAUUCCAAGAAUGAAGCCGAGCACACCAAACACUUGCAUACUGUACUUCAGAGACUGCGUGACCAUCAAUUGUAUGCUAAGUUGUCUAAAUGCGAAUUUUGGCUGAAGGAGAUCAAGUUUUUGGGUCAUACAAUUUCUCAGGAUGGGAUAUCGGUUGAUCCUGAGAAGGUGCAAGAGGUAAUGGAUUGGAAACCUCCGACCACAAUAAAGCAGAUUCGGAGUUUUCUGGGACUGGCAGGGUAUUAUCGACGAUUUAUUCCGGAUUUCUCCAGAAUUGCCAAACCGAUGACUGAACUGUUAAAGAAGAGAGUCAAAUUUGAGUGGAGCCAAAAGUGUGAAGAUGCCUUCCAUACCUUGAGGCAGCAUUUGACAACAGCCCCAGUGCUAGCUCAACCUGACAACACCAAGCCAUUUGAAGUUUAUUGUGAUGCUUCUGGUACUGGUUUGGGAUGUGUCUUGAUGCAAGAGAACAGAGUGAUUGCUUAUGCUUCCCGGGCACUCAGGCCCCAUGAGCAGAACUACCCUACACAUGAUCUGGAAUUGGCAGCUGUAGUUCAUGCUCUUAAGAUAUGGAGGCACUACCUGAUGGGAGCUCACUGUAACAUCUACACUGAUCACAAGAGUCUCAAGUACAUUUUCACUCAGGCAGAUCUGAACAUGAGACAAAGGAGAUGGUUAGAGUUGAUCAAGGAUUAUGAUUUGGAGGUGCAUUACCAUCCAGGGAAGGCCAAUGUUGUGGCAGAUGCCUUGAGCAGAAAGGACCAGUGUAAUUGUAUGAGCAUGGAUGUGGGAGUGACCACCCUGUGUGAUGAGUUGUGCAAGCUGAACCUGGAGGUUGUUUCUUCGGGCAACCUAAGCUAUAUCUCGGUGGAGCCCUCAUUGCAAGAACAGAUAGUCAGGGCACAGGUUGAGGAUAAGGGUGUUCAGGUUAUCAAGGAUAUGAUCAAGCAAAAGGCAGAGAAAUACAAGUGUUUCCGACAGGACAGCAAGGGAAUUCUAUGGUUUGGAGAUCGAUUGGUUGUUCCUAAGGACCCUGAGCUCAGAAAGAAGAUACUAGAUGAAGCUCACCUUUCCAAAUUCUCCAUGCACCCUGGUAGCACCAAGAUGUACCAUGACCUCAGAUCCUUAUAUUGGUGGACUAGAAUGAAAAGAAAGAUUGCCAAGUACAUAUCCGAGUGUGAUACUUGCCAGAGAAUAAAGGCUAGUCACUUGAAGGCAGCAGGCCCUUUACAACCCCUUCCCAUACCAUCGUGGAAAUGGGAGGACAUUUGCAUGGACUUUAUAGUGGGAUUACCCAAUACUUCCAGGCACCAUGAUUCUAUUUGGGUUAUCGUGGACAGGUUGACCAAGACUGCUCAUUUCUUGCCAGUGCAUACCACCCACAGGGCAGAGAAGUACGCUGAAAUUUAUGUUGAUCAAAUAGUAAGGUUGCAUGGUAUUCCCAAGACCAUUAUAUCUGACAGGGGAGCACCAUUUGUGGCACGAUUUUGGGAGCAAUUGCAAGAGUCACUUGGGACCCAUGUCAUCCGAAGCUCAGCAUAUCACCCCCAAACAGAUGGCCAGACAGAAAGGGUGAAUCAAAUUUUGGAAGACAUGUUGCGAGCAUGUGCACUACAUUAUGGAAAGGAUUGGGACAAGUGUCUGUCCUUGGCGGAGUUUUCUUACAAUAACAGCUAUCAGUCCAGUUUGAAGAUGGCACCUUUUGAGGCAUUGUAUGGGAGAAGGUGUAGGACCCCACUGAAUUGGUCUCAAGCAGGAGAAAGGGAAAUUUUUGGGCCAGACUUGGUACUCGAGGCAGAGGCAAAGGUCAGGGUUAUUACCAAGAACUUAGAAGCUGCUCAGGCCAGGCAAAGGAGCUAUCAUGAUAAGAGGCGGAAGCCUCUACAGUUUGAGGUGGGAGAUCAUGUCUACCUUAAGGUAUCACCCACCAAGGGUGUUCAGAGAUUCGGGAUCAAGGGCAAGUUAGCUCCUCGCUAUACUGGACCCUACGAGAUCAAGGAAGCUUGUGGACCCGUAGCCUAUCAAGUGGAAUUGCCACCCCACAUGUCGGCAGUUCAUAAUGUGUUCCAUGUAUCUCAGCUGCGAAAAUGCGUUCGUCUACCCACUGAAGUACUCCUAGAACCAGACAUUGAGAUAGAACCAGAUUUAUCCUACCAAGAGUACCCCGUCAAGGUGCUAGAUCAAAAGGAAAGAUCAACUCGGGCAAGGUCGGUCAGGAUGUAUAAGGUUCAAUGGAGUCACCAUUCAGCAGAAGAAGCUACAUGGGAGACUGAGGAUUUUCUACGAUCUCGCUUCCCCGACUUUCUACCCAAAGGAGUCGGUAUGUAACCCCAAAACCCCACCCCCACUUGCCCUUUGAAUCCAAUUAUAAGAAAAACUUAGAUAACAAGGAUAGUCUAAGUUGUGGAUUUAACUUAAGAAGGGCUUCCUUCUGAAGUUGCAAAGAGGAUGACAUUCGAAGAGCAGUUAACAAGAGAAACUUGAGUGUAAAGGAAAAACAGCACCACCACACUUUCAAGCACCCUCCAAGGGACUCUACCUAAAUCUCGGGACGAGAUUCCUUUAAGGGGGGAGGGCUGUAACACCCCAGGUGUUACCUUGGCUAGAGCCACCUUGACACUAGAAGCUAUUUUCACAAAGGUAGAAACUUAGGGCACCACAUGGGAACUUUGGAGCUCUUGUGCUAAUCAAGUGGCCAAUGACAUAAGAAGCAUUACCCUAAUCCUUGCACACUUGCUACCUUGGGUAAUAAGGGGAGAAGAACCCUAGGCCUCUCAAAAGCCCUACCUUUCAAAACCCUAAGUAAGGGGGGAAAGAAAGUGAACAAGUGGGCAAAGCAUGUGUAACUUUUACCCAAACCCUAAGCAACAUUAUAACCAUCAAUUAAGGGAGGGAAAUAUUGCAAAAAGGCCCCUGGAGAAACCCCAAUUCAAAUCUCCAAGUGGAGAGAGAGCUAGAGCUCUCAAUUUUUCCCUCUAAGUCACAUUUUAGCCCUAAUUCAAAGACCAGCCGUGUUCACUUUGAAGAUGGCGCCAAAACCACUUGGGUUCUAUACCAAAAAUGUGCUAUACCACUUAAGGCACCCCCUGGAAAAAUUUGAGACCGAGACUCAGACGUUUGACAACACUUGACAUCAGUUUUGUCGCUGAGCGGGCAGGGAGACAAGCCAGAUUUGGUGCCCGUCUAUCUCCCUAUCUAGGGCGUAUCAUCCCUUGGAACUCACACAUGUGAGAUAGCCCUAGGUGCCAGGAGGAGGUCUGCGCCGGAUUCAUGGCGAGAUUCGCACGUUUGCGAUCUCUGGAAGCGUUUGAACAUUGGAAGAAACUCACUGCCACGUGUUCGACGCCUUCUGCCCGCGCCAGAGCACGCUCGCGCGCGCCCUCGCACGCCCCGCGCCGCGCCCGAGCCAAACCCGCGCUGUGGCCCGCGCCCGAGCUUAUAAAUCCCUCCCAGGCUUCGGCUACACCCUUCCGCACACCCUCCACACCUCACCGGAGUUAGCUCGUCGCCGUUUGCCCGUGCGCAGCGAGCCCGCGGCCGCUCAACCCCUCUGCCACCGUAGACCGGCUAGCAGAGCCAUCCCCAACCCCGUCCUACCCUCGGAGAAGCUUGUGCACACCUCUGUGAAGCUCCCCGAGCAAGGAAUCGGAGUUCCCUUCGCCGAAGAAGCCAGUCCACGCUCGCCGGAGCUCUCACCCCCGCCGGAGCACGUGGACCGGGUAAGCCACUCCACCAUCCUUCGAUUCCUUGUGCACACAGUCGUUGCGUGACCCCGUGAUGCUCACCGUGCCCUCGGAUUGCGCCAGUUCGCCGUAGUUUGGCCGGUAUACUCGCCGCCGACGAGGACACCCGCCUGCACGCGUGGACCGGGCAAUUCCGGCCACCUCCGACGCCGAGCCGUACCUCGACGUGACCGCCAGGGUCUCCCCAAGCCAACCCCACCCUUCGCCGGACCUCCCUCGCCGCCGGUAAGCCGCGCCGCCCUUUUCUUUCCCGCGGUUACUGUUUCAGUGAGGGGAAGGACUGCGGGUGAGAGGGAAGAAAGGUCAGGGGGUUUUGUGUAAUGUCAGCGACACAGGGGAAUAGUGGCGUGGGGGUAGAUUUGUGAAGGUGGAUUUAGUUUAAACCCAGGGACCUCGGUGUAAACUGUUUUUUAGAAAACCUUAAUUAAAUAUGUUUUAAAUUGAACAGCAACUUUGAAAAUGCAUAACUUCUGUUUAAAUCAUCCAAAUUUGGUCAAACCAAUUAUGUCAGACUCAAAUUAAUGUGACCUAUUUAAGAAAAAUAUAAAACCCCUUGGUACUGUGGAAAACUUAAAAGUUCUAAUUUAAUGUUAGUUUUGGCCAAAAGCUAAAUAGUAGUAAGAAAAAUAGUUAGGCUAUUUGACUAGGGUUAGGAAAAUUUGGAGAAGUUUAUAUUUACCUACUAACCUGUUUAAAAAUGUUAAACCCCUUUGUCCACUCCAUUUAAGUUAGAUUUACCCCUUAUUCUAUAAUAUGCUUAAGGAUAAGGAAAAUAGAAAAUGUAAUUUAAUUGAUGAACCAGAGGGUACCUCUAUUUUUGUUAGGUUACUUAUUCAAUAUAGUUCACUGGAAAAAUAUAUCAUACCCUGUUUUAGUGUAAAAUAAAUAAGAUCCCUGUUGUUUUAAUAAAACAAUUGAAACUUAGAAAAACUCUACAAAAAUAACUCCAAGGUAAAAGCACCCCCACCCUUGGGAUAACUACUGUUUUAUUAGAGAGAACCUUAGAAAAAUAUGAAAUCUGCUGUUUGACAUUUUUCAAAUAAUAAGGUAGUAGAAAGUGCCUUUUUGACAUUAAACUUAAGAAAAUCAUAACUAAAUAACCACCCCUUAGUUUUCUGUGAUUUUUAGCACAGAGGCCUAUUAUUACCAGAGGAUGCCAACAAAAAUAACCUUUAGGGCAGAACCUACCCCUAACUAGGAGGUGUAGUGGGAAGUGGCCCAUUUUGCCUAACUUUUGUUAUUUUUGUUUAAAGCCUAACUUUUAUACUUUAAGCCUCAAAUUCUUAAAGCAAGCUAGAAUAGCCAGUGGUAGCCCACUGUAAUUUUUUACAGAAUUUUUGAAAAUUAUUAAAACCCUGUUGUAGUUCAAACCUACCCUGGAAACCCUAAAUGGAAAUCAAGGAAAGGAAAAUGAAUAAUGUGAGUAAAUGUUAUCCCAAAACCCUUGUAAUCUGUCCACUAAAAUAUAUCAAGGCAAUACCAAUCCACUAUGUUAUCCUAAAAGAAAACCUAAGCUUAAAAGGUAAUAAGUCUAUGUAUCUAUAUAUAUACCACUAGAAGCCCCGCAUGACUAAGAAAACCCUAAGUUACUUCUUAACUUAGUUUAUUUAGCUUAAUGUUCUUAAAUCUUGCAUAAUCAUGACAUACAUGUUCAUUGCAUUUCGAUAGACUGUAAUCUUGUUGACGGAGAGUACAUCCUCGUGCCGGAGCAAGGAGCUGCUCAGGAGGUAGCCCCAGAUCCAGCACCCGAGCCUGCACCAGAGGACCUGCCUGCCACUGCUUUGGAAGGCAAGCCCCGGUUUUAUGCAUAACCGUUUAUAUAUGCUAUUUUACUUCACUCAAUGAUUGUAGGGUUGAUUGUGCACUUAAGUGUAGGAGUUGUAUGAAACCCUAGUUGCAAGAUCUCAGGAAUCCCAUUGAGAUGAAUACUAGUAUGCUAGGUCGAGUAGCUGCUUAUUUAAUUAGGAUCUCGGUAGAAGUCGAGUGAUUUUUCUAGCACUCGCGCGAGGUCAGGACAUUGAUUGUACCCACUUUCAUAUCAUACUGAUGCUGGUUUGUGGGCAACAAUCCAUGGGGAUUGGUUGUUCACGGGAUGAAAAUUUGAAUAAGGAUUAAGGUGUGGUACCGUGAGUCAAGCGUUUGAACGUACUAAGCACAUGCCGAGAAAUAUGGUAAAUCGGUAAGCCUAGUACCUGAGUGAACCUGCCCGCAGAUUGCCCUCCUCACGCGACCUGAGACGAGGUCUCCCAUUCCGGUUAUGGUGGGUACAAGUGCGGUCACUGCACGACGGCCAGUCGGGGUCAGUGAGGCAUUGUACGCCAAGGCGGUGAGCCCCUUUCUGUUGCCAGGGAAUCGAUGGGGACGGUUGAUAUGUGUGGGGACGGAGUGCCCCUGCAUGUCGUGUGUUUAGGUUUACCUUGCAAGGAUAAAAACUCGAUUCGAAUCGUCUGCUUCUCGCAACUAAUGAGACUGCUUGAUCCAUGCUGCUACAUUGAGUAACAAGUGGAAUGAUGCGGAGAUGAUACAAGACGUUGAUUGCUAAAAUGUUUGCUACUUUGCAUGAAUAGAUAGUACAUUUUUAGCCUUAAGAGAGUCACACUUAACCUUGACUAAGUUAAAAUCUUGAUUUAGAAACUCAGCUAGUGCUUUUGGCAACCAAACCCCACAGCCAAACAGCUGCAUGUCUAGAGGUAGAGGAGUAGACUCCUCACAUCGGGUAAGUCUAGCUGAGUAUUAGUAUACUCAGCCUUGCUUGUGGCAUAAUUUUUUACAGGUUCUCUGGAGGAGAUGGUUGCUGGGAUAACUUGGCCGACCACCCUGCCACCGGGUUGGACUGUCGAGUGGGACCCUGCCUCGGCUGAGGAGGAGCAUGAGGAGUGAUGGGACAGGCUUCCCCAUCUCUCUGUUUAAUUAUCGUUAGUUUUAUUCCGCUGCACUUCAAACAAUGAUGGUUACUUUUGCAAAAACUCCGAUGAUGAUGAUGGUGAUGUAAUAAUUUAACAUUAUGGCAUGUAUGGUUUUAUGCUUUAUUGUAUUUGCUCUGUGACUCACCUUCGAGUGAGAUUGUGGUACUUGAUCCUGUCAGUGGCCGUGUCGGACUAGAUCCGAGGGAUUGAUGGGUUAUUCCCAUUUAAGUGUGGUCUAGCCUCUAAGGCGGGACUUGGACACUUAAGUUGGAAUAAUUCGGGAAGUUCCGCCACAAAACUACACCUUGUUUUUACGAAUUAGAAAACGAAUGAGAUCAGAAAGGCCAUCAUUGGGGCAAACGAUGCAAUAGCUUCGGUUAGAGCAAAGCCCAAAAUGGCAUAACCGAAUGAUUGUUUAGCCAAUGAAGGAUUUCGCGCCACGGAAUGAAUCGAAGAACUGAGAACGUUUCCAAUACCGACAGCAGCUCCCGCUAAAGCAAUUGUAGCAGCUCCAGCACCUAUUGAUUUAGCUCCUUCUAACAUGUAGAGUUGAGAGUUGACAUUGUCGGGUUUCACGCUUUUCCUUCGCAACUAGAAAUUUCGAGUUCGAGUAUAGUAUAGUAUUUCUCGUUGAUUUGAUUCCUUCCUCCUCUCCUUAUCCUUAGUUGAACAGAUGAAAGCGAAAGGAGUUGCUUCAAUGAAACUGGAAAACCUAAAACCCACAUAGUGGAAUAAUAAACCCAGCCCUGCCCUUAUCUUGGGCUUGACAGGUAGACUAUAAAGAGAUUCAGUACAACAAGCCUGCGCAGGAGUUCUAGCUAUUUCCAAUUUGAAUAAAUAACCCGAUCAUAUCAUAUCAUAUCUUGGAAAACCCUAAGACUACCCGAGGCUGUACCCUAUAGUAAUUUCCUUCUACCUCUUAUCUCUAUAGUCUUUACGUCGUCUCCUGGGUCGGUUAAGCUAUAACCUAGUAGUACCGGGAACAACUCCUCUAAGCAUCAAGUCAAUUAAGGAACCCGAUUUGUUGGGUUUUGAACUGUUAAAUGGUUACACGCCCGACAUACUGUCUGAUAGGGUGGCUAACCCGAUUCAUUCCUCGAAUCGUAAAUCAUUACUAUUUUUGCUUGCUCGAGUAGAGUCGAAAAGUGGGGAACCUGGAUUCCCAGCAGGUGAUCUCGAUCACCAUAAUAUGAUAUUUUGCAUUCCCUUAAUUUCUGAGAUGGAACUCUUUUCCAACAUAAAAUACAAGUCUAUCAGUUCAAUAAAAGUAUGGGUUAACCAUUCCUCCUCUUAAGUUAGGGGUUUGGGAUUAGUAGAGUAGUAUAACUACAGCUCUAGUAGUUAAAGGCGGGAGGGGUCCGACCUGACUAUUGGUUCUUUCCUCUAAAGAAACAUAGCUAAAAGGUGUCUGAUCUUGUCUAUAUUGUCCGAAGUAGCCUUUGGUUGUCAAAGUAAGUGAAAAAGGGUUUCAAAAUACUAUACUGUAGCUCAAGUAUGCAUGGAAUAGCACAGGGUUAUCCGCUUUAUUAUCUGGCUUAUCUGCUUGAGAAAAGUGAACUCUUAGCUUUAAACCUACUUUGUCUUUGUAUCUUAGCCCUUCUAGCUCUAGCUUAGGGGCCCUUUCCUAGCUUAUUCAACUCUUUCUUCGGCAGGAUCGAAUGAGGAUGAUGGGGGAUGCUUUUUUUCAACUAAACAACGUUCAUCUGCUUGCUUUUAAUUUUAUGACGCUGAAUGUGAGAAGAAAAAUUGGAACUACUUGCUUGCCUGUGUUAAGCAUGUAGAUAGAACCUGGCGGGCAUAGAGUCAUAAUAAGCUUCUCUUCUCCGCUGCGCGCCUACUGUACCAAGCUAGCUAAAAUACCAAGCUCCUGUGGGCUAAUCUCAUUUCCCAUAUCAUGUAACAACCUCUUCGCCCUUUACCCAUGAGCUUUUAGAAUCUAUUUCCUAUUUCUAAGCCGAUUUUAGUUUUGAAAAUGCGCUGAGCAGAGUCAAUUUCUCGAUGGCACUUGCUAAAGAUCGUAUCAUAACUACCGGGCCUACAACACAAACGUCGACUACUUCAUUUCACUUCCCACGAGAAUCGGCUACCAAAAAGGAAGGUUGCGAUAGUGUGUAAGCUGUAAUAUACAUAUUCUAGAUAGGCUGAAGACAGAAGGAUAGGCUUGCCGAGAACAAGAGCUUGCAUUCGUAUUUUGUUGUUGUGUUUGUGUUGUGAUCUAUUGGCUGCCUCGUUUCUGGUCAAUCUUUCCUGUGGCAGAUAAGGGCCGAUCUAAUAGAAUCGACUCUAAGAAGAUUGGAAGUGGUGAACCGGAUCUUUUUUCUAUAUAAAGGGAUCAAUCCUUUUGGCUCUAAUAGCAGUGAAUAGACUCCGUCUAGAUUUGGAGGAGUUGUCAAUAUGCCUCUGUCUGGUGCUGCUUCGCCGGUAUCAGCUUGUGCUAAUGUCAUAGAUCACCUACUAGGAGCUUAAGUCGACUAGACUUGACUCGAGAAUAGAAUCGAAGAGAAGCGAAGCCUCGCCAAGAUAAAUACAACCCUAUGGCUAUGGUAUGGCACUCACUGCAAUGACACGACCAGGUCUAUAGAAAAGUUGAUACAGAUCUCAUACAGGUAAGGUUCCGCACUUUUCUAAGUAACUACUAGCUCCGGAUGCAUCUUUCUCAUUGACUGCUUUCUUCAAAUCAAAGUAGGACGAACAAGGAAAUGGAACUGGUCAAUGCAUUUCUAACUAACAAUUGACCCUAUUCCUCGAAUGGCGCGUAGAGUGGAGUAUUGACUUGCCUUGAAAGGAUUGGUUCCCAUCUUUUUCUAACCUCGGGCAAUAGCUGCUUCCUGGCACUUCUUAACCCAUUCCCCCUUGCUGACUUCUACCGUUGCACUCUCCUUUUGGCACCUAAUCUAGGUUUUUAUAUGACAUUGAUCUCAAACCGCCACAUAUUGAUAGAAUUGUUCAACAAGUGCCGCUUCUGAAUUUGUCUCAAAUUACCGGAACAGAAUGUCAAAGCCAGUAGUUUGAACUGCCAGUGGAGUGUCGUUGUUUCGAAGUUGUUGACUAUUGUCCAGCUAUCAAAUUAGUGUAGACAGAAGCACUGUUUGAGCCUUGUCGAGGAUCCGUUCUGGCACUUAUUGUCUAUAGCAAAGUGAAGGAAUAGAAUGAUCAUCCUGCUCCUAUUUAAACAGAAUUCCAUGGAAAGUGUAGCAAGCCGAUUCAAUUGACCAGCUCCAUAGGGAGGAAAUGGUAUUCCAAAGAGCAAAACAAAGCCAGUUGGUUAUCGGCAGACAGAAAGCAUUUAUAUGUCUCUUUGUAGGCUCAAAUGAACACAAAGCCUAAGAGUUUUAACCGGUUAGCAAAUAUGACUAAUGGACUCCACCUUCUUCUAUCUCCGGGUCAAGUCAAAGAGUUUCAGUUCUAUACAGCACUGACUUCGGUGCCCGCUUACUACCCAUAAGACCUUAGAAAUGACUAGCAGGAGAGCAGUCACGGAAAGAAAGAUUCUGCCUAUUGAGAGAAAGCAAGAUCAGGGAAGUCUUAGUCACUAACACACCAUAGUACUAGUCAAGUCACAAGCAAAGCAUCAAGUCCCAAGCAGUGCCAGGUUGAAGAAAGAAGACUCUAUAAAAAAGCAAGUGAGCUCUGGCACCCAGAUAUUAAGAAGUUAGGAUGCGCCUAACUAAAAAUAUUUAGAAAGGCUAGUGAGCAAGUGCCACGGAUCCGUGUGUAUGGAACGGAUCCAGAGUUAGGAUGCAGCAAGAAAACGGUUGCGCUUCAGCGCAACGGAUCUAGCAAGUUAGGAUGCGCGUGACUAACGCGCAAAGGCUUUCGCGCUAGAAAUAGAAAAAAGAGCGCUAGAAAGAAAUCAAAUCCGUUGCUUUACUUUAAAGUAAAGUUACGAACAAAGGCUUCACUCUUUCCGUUCCGAGGCUAAAAAGGCCAAACGAUCCUACUCACAUCCAUUUAGGAAUUUUGGAAUUAUAUGACUCUGGGGUCAGUCCAGCAGCUAUAGGUGUACGCAGACAAGAAGAGAGCUUUCCUAUUUAAUAAAUACUCUCCUCGCCAAUCCGAUCUCCAGAACUUGACCCUUUUCCCUGCGCGCCUCUUCUUACUUUUCACUAAAGAAUGAACAAUCGGCGCAGGAGGUAGGAGAUCCAAGUCCAGAAAACAGACGUAAUUACAAUACUAAACUAAUGAUGAUCAAAACUUUCUAAAUAGAGUCAGAACUCCCCCUUCCUUGGUUUGGUAGAAUUCACACCUAGAAGAAGUAGCCCUGCCGCGGCCUUUUACUCUCUCCACAUUCGGGCUAGAUAAAGAAAAAUGAGAAGGUUGUCCAGAAUAUCAACGAAUAAACAGGGAAGGCGUUUUUCAAGCAUCUCAUGCUCCAAAUGAGAAGAUGCAGCGAGGCACUCUUUCUAGAUGAUUCAGUUAUAGUUGUUUGAUCAUAGACUCAAAUAAGAUAAUGAAAAUAUUAAGCAGAAGUGUUCUCAUCUCAAGCAUCUGAUUUCGGUGAUUCGCAAAUAGCUUGUCAUAGCUAGUUCUUACCUGAAUCGCAGUAGGUUAUUUGCUGCUGACAAAGGCCGCUAAGGUUCCACUCGAGAGGAUUUCUAUUCCCCUCACCGCUGCGCGCCUUGAAGAUCAUAUAAGUGAGUGCUCAAUUGUUAUACUGCUAUGGGAAGAAGCGGAAGAUGAAUCGGAACAACAGGAAGCCGCUACCUAGAACGGCGCAUACUCUUGACCGCUAACCCUUAAUCAAACGUUGAUAGUUGUGCUUUCCCUACUCGACUUUUGGGUACAUAACCUAAUCAAUCCCUUCCUUUCGGUUUCCCUGGACUAUCGAUCUAGAGACGGCACCUUUAGACCAGACCUGGAGACAUCACAAAAAGAGUUCUGAGGAUGACUAGCUGGAUAGCGAGCACCUGACCUUGGGUUGACUUGCCUAGAACCUGACCAGGCACCGGCACUGAAUUCUACUUGAAAUACCAGGCUCUUCUCUUAGAUAGGAAUCAUAUACUUUUAAGCCAUAGGAAUCAUAUACGAAGAACACAUAUGGCCUAGACUCAUGAGCCAAUAAUCUAAUCAAUAGUUCGGUACGCGCGCUCAAGAUGAACAUCACCACGCUGGGCCCCUUCCCACUUCCCCUCGGAUUUUCCUAUCAUGUCGGAAUGGAAUUCUUUCCAUUAAAGAAAGUAGAAUAAAUAUAUGAAAAGAAAUACACAUCCCUGAAAUCAAUCGGAUUUCAUAAAUACCAAUAGGCGCUAUGAAGGGAAGGCGCGGGAUCGCACACCGGAAGCAAAGCUGCCGUAAUAGUAGAACCUCAAAAAGAGACCAACAGUUGAGACAUAUGGACAUGGAAGUCUCGCAAUCUAUGCCCUCCCUCGAGGAAACGCCCCAUUCAUCCCUGGAGUCCGUACUCCGUACUCUGUACUAUCCCUUAACUUUCCUCCAGUAGCCAGUCUAAGAAUAAGUCCAAUCUUACAAGUGUGCUGUUCAAUGCACCACUUUCAGAUAUUCUGAGGACUCUUAAGGACAAGUCGUCCUAUUUAAAGAAACCAGAGCCAGGGAUGGAACACCAAAUCAGUGAACCAAAGCGCAUUCUAUUCUAACUCCGGCACAAAAGAUAGUCUGCUAAUCAAAAUCGUCUUCUGUCCUGGAUGCCUUAUUGUUCAUUGUAAUUUCGGCAGCAAGCGGCGAAAUUAAUUGGAAGCAGGCUAUGUGACUAGAAAGUAAAAGAGGCACGAGAAAGCCUUCACAGAUCGGAGUGCUUAACUGGAAAAUACUUUCUCUAUUAUACCGGCUACUCAUUUCUCUUUUUAUCGAACGUGGCUAAUAAUAUCAUAAUUAGCAUAACAACCAUUGCAAAGAGUGAUUCAACUUUGUGUUUUGCAUUGAGGAGAAAUAGAAAAAAAGACAACCUCGGUUCGUGCUCGUGCGUAUCAGCUUUCUUGGCUGUUCAAAGUGCAUAUUUAAAAGGUAAUUUGCUUCUCGUUGACAAAUCGAAAGAGGCCCUCACUGUAAUCUGCCAUAAAAGAUUGAAAUUACUUAUUUGAACUACGUUGGCAGGCCUAAAGCUGUGUUCCACUCAUAUCAUCCUCCAGGUCUAGUAGCUUGGAAGGGUUCAGCUCUUCUUUUAUUCAAGAGGUACACCUCUUUUCUAACAGGGCCCAACCUUGAAUGCGUAGAGCAGCAAAGUUCCUUUUAGAGACGUUAAGCACAGAGCAGUUAGGGAAAUCUAGCCAAGGUAGUGGUAACCAUACUCAGAUGGUGGGCAACUGUAUUCUUCCUCGAAGAACUAAAGAUUCUAUUCUGCUUUGGCUUCCUCAAAUCUGCCGUGCCGCUAUAGAAAGAAGGUGGCCCGGUUCCUUCGAACUGUAGAUUAUGCUCCUGAAGUGACUAGUCUAGUGCCGCUCUUUGAAAUUAAUAGACCAUAGCAGGUUAGAGCAGAGUCAUUAGCAUUUAAUGAAUGAGCCCGUGUCAACACGAUCUCAGUAAUGAUCAAAAGGUCCUGCGACAGCCGUACUUGUCUUUUUAUUGUCGUGCACAAGCGCCUCUUCUCUCUUAUGGUUGGGUCGGAGCUAGAGGUUUCCCCAUUUGUUGAUCCUGUUGCAAGUCAAGAUUGCGUUGGGUAGGCCAGAGCGGCAGGGCUUAUCUUGUUUUUUAUUGCUUUUGUUGUUUGGCAGAUGCAGAAACAGAUAAGCGGAUUUCAUCUCAUGAAUCUCCUCUCCAUAGACAAGUCGAUUUCACUUUCACUUUCACAGAGGGUGGAAGGGAGAGGUUGGCUUUUAUUGUGAUGGCCAGUAAAAGAUUCUCCGCGUUCUUUGAUUUGGUGUGACAGAUCAAAGUCAAGUCAACAAGCAUUUGGGUGCUUUUGGCCAAGGAGGGAGAGCCCAAUUGAAUCACUGACUUCAACGCUAGCCCCUUCCCUUAGUCAAGUGACCCAAUAAAGGAGUGAGUGAGAGCAGCUACAAGCUAGGGUAGGCAGGUUGUCCGACAAAUGGCUUUCCAAUCACUGAAAUUCUAUUUUAAGAAAGGAAAGAAGAAUGCGGUAGGCAGACACUUUUCAAAGCAGGAACCAACGGAGUGGAGUAAAGAAAAGCACGGCGGAUUCGGCCCCAAAAGAUAGACAAAUAGCAAAGAUCACCAACACAAAUUACACAUAAGUAUUUUUAGAUUCUAGAAAAUAUGACUUCUUCACUUCACUUCGACGAAAGAUGGAGCCAUUAAAAAUACUCAAAACCAACUAGCAUGAAAAUCCAACUAUUAUCUAACUCAUUAACUACUAGGUAAGCUCCCUCAGUAAACAGGUCUCAGCUGAUAAGUGUAGUAUCCCUCCAUCAUACGGAGUACUAGGCGGCGGUGCUGAGACAGAUGUUACCCAAUUCCCCAAACUCCAAGUGCAUGCCAAUUUGAUCUACGUGGCGCCGACCAACGCAGAACCAUACCUUGGCUUGGCCCUUUGCAAUAUGUAUAUUCCCCGAGGAAGGAAGGCUUGACAUGAAUACAGCUUAGUAACUAUCCAUUCUUUCACACUCCGACACACGCCAUAAUCUUUCAUCAGAAGGAGCUUCAUCAUCAUAUCAUAUGGUAAGGGGCAUACGGCGAAUUUGUAGAGGGACGGGUAAGGGGCGCCGACAGUUCUGUGUUGAAAAUUUGCAUAUCUCCAUGAUCAGGAUCUCUGGCCAAAGGAUAAUCACAAAUCACCAGCUGAUAAGCAAGCAAAUAGAGUUGUCUCUUUCGAGUCAGCAUCCUAGUCUCCAUUUCAGAUUGUAACAGAACUGGUUGGUCUCUGGCACAUUGUGAGUGGAGGUCCUCCGAAACACGAAUAGACUGGCACUAGGCGGAAGAGGAAGAGAAACAGAAGCGGAGACUACCUAAUCUAAUAAGUGUCUGGUUUCAUCGAAUAGGGAUGCUCGCUUAAGUCUACUUGUACUUGAAUUCCGCAUAGCCCGUUCUGCUAAGAAAUAUGAGCUGUUGUUCUUAUAUGAGCUGUUGCUCUUAAAAUCAUUCCUUAUGAGCUAUGGCAAGUGAGCUGAGUCUAGUUUACUCGCCUUCUCCAUCACUAGAUGAGUGGGCAGUGCCGGACUCGAGGGAUGGGAUUCCCGACCGAAUUGGAAGCAUAAAAGCGCCAUUCCGAGAUUGAUAGAUAUAUCAAUCUAAAUAGGAAUUGGAAUAGGAGAAGAGCUAAUUGGGAUUGGAGAAGAAGUUCCUUUGGAAUGGAAUUGUAGAACAAGUAGACAGGAUUUCUACGAAACAGGAUAAUCCGUUGAUUGGGAACAAGUCCGGAUUGGAUUCGUGCGUCACGGAUCAGUAGCAGCAAGUAGAUCAAAGCUAGUUCGGUAACAUAAGCUCGGGAACAGGACUAUUUGCCGGGGGAUGAUCACUUGGUUCCGUAGGUUUCUUGAUCUCAUAUCUAUGGGCCAGUCCAAUCCGAAAGGAGGAAUGAUGGUAGAUACCCACUAGAUAGCCGUCUUCCACUGCCUGGAGUCCAAUCUCUCUCUAUUGGCCAGAGGUGUCCAACACCUUCAGUACCAUUCUUUGGACGAGAGAAGCCUUAUCCUUCAUACUUUCUGGACGUGUUGGUUUCCAAUCUGACAUUUUAUCAGAAGGUUCUGCCAAUUUAUCCCUACUGUAAUUUUGUGUCGCUUGCUCUUGUUUGCUGCUGACCUCUAUUUUCUUUCCCUCGAUUAAGAGGCUAAAUGAACUGGGUGCUCGAAAGUUUGUUGUGUCCGACGUCGCUCGGUUGUAUACCGUACGUUCGUGCUCUGGAGUUCAUGCCUACAGGGGAGUGUUCAGCAUCCGCGAAUCGAGUCACUGAAGGUUACAACAAGAAAUUGAAGAGGAUGGUCGAAAAGAUGAACCAGGAGAUGGGUCCAGAGAGCAAAUUUGUGUACGUAAAUACGAAGGAGUUUGGCAGCGCCGAAGCAGAGGAAGGAACCCGAAGCAAUGGAAAUAACGACGACCUAGGAGGUAGUAGUAGUACGAAGCCGUAAGGUGGUUUGAUUUAGAAGUUGAGUGAGGAGGCUUCGACCGUCGCCACAAAGAUUCUUAUGAGGCAUGCUUCUGACGGGCUGCCACGCGGGAGGUACUGGAAGACUUUUCAAAGGGCUAAGUAUAGGCACCGGGAAAGAGUGGGGGGUUGAAGUGGAGUUGCCACGACGAUUUCUGGUAAGUCGAUUGCGGAGGAACUGAGAGGGAGAAGGCCGGGCUUCCCAGAUUGUGCAAAUUAGCCAUUCCACUUCGGGGUCGUGUGCACAUAGCAUGGAGGCGAUGCCUUAUGCCGUGGCGUCAAUUCUAGCUUCUGAUGCGGGGGCUUCUAGCUGUUCGCUUUUAAAUUGGCACUUUGAGUUGAGGGCGGAGCGUGAAUUAAGUAAAGGCUUAUUUGUUCCUGAAUGUUUCAUUUUUAUUAACCAAAACCAACAUUUAUCAUACUUGCAACUAAGACCUCGAAUGUUUGGAAAAGACGAUGUCGACAAAGCGGAGUUUUUUAAUGAAAUAAAAGACAUUUGCAAGUGCUGGCUUACACCCGGGGAAUUGUCAGUAAAUAAGGCGCCAGGAGGUUGUGCAAGCACUAGAAAUGACGAGCAUGGAGAGGUCAAUCUUGGUAGUCAGGUCUGGUAGAGCAAUCUCAAAUUAUCAUAUAGAAAUGUUAUGAUUUCGGUAUUGAUCAAAAGGUGCUAGGACCUUAGGGGAUACAUUAGUGCCAUGUUCUAUUGCGGAACGGUCGUAUCCUGGUAACCUAGCCCCCGUAAGAGCUCUACCUAAUCGUCGACAUAAUGGGUAGAAGGCAGGCUGUGCUUAUUUCUCGGCAAAUAGCUGAGUCGACACCUCGAGGUGCCAACUCAGCUCUUCGUAGAUAAAAACAAGUGUUCAGUGGAUCAAACCCUGUAUUAAUGGUUCUGGCGGGCUGCUGGCGUGGGACUUCUUUCGCUAGAAACACUACAACAAUAGAAGCACCCUUCUAGAGAUAAGAAUAGCAAAUGUUUUGAGGCACUGAUGGAAGCAUGCCAAGGUGAAGUUGACGAUCUCUUUAGCGUUUAUCCUUCUCUUUAUCUUGCCCUAUGUGCUCAUGCUGUGAGUGCCGCAGGAUGGUUUAGUUCUGAUCGAGUGCUUGACCCCUUGAGGAGGGCAUAUUCUUCAGCAUCUCUCUUGUCGGAUCGUAUCCCCGUGACCACGUCGUUAAAGAGACAGUUUUCUUUGGCCUGGCCUGGCCCACCGACGUCGUUGGUGACACUCUUCUGAGCCCCUAGAUUCACCGAAGGAUGAGAUCUUGCCUAUGCUGUAGUGUAGGAUGAACAGGAAAGUUCUCCUCCAUUGAGACCCGGAAAACUACAACUUUUUCUUAUUGAAAAAAAGAGCUUUGUUAUCUUACUUGCUGGCUAGUAAACGCUACCCCUACCCUUGAAAACUUGUUUACUUUUGAGGGCCGGAGUUUACUUAAAUUCAAGAGGGACUUAAAGGAUUUCUAACUUCACUGUCCUGCUUACUCAUUGGAUGAAUUGACAGAGUCUCUUGCCCUUUACCUUGGAUAUACACAAGAUUGCUCAUUCGCUGUAACCACUAGUUCUAGAACUGAAUAGGAAAAGCUAUAUGGCACUCAAACAGAACAGAAUGGAUAGCAACUGAAACUCCAAGAGGUAGUAUACUAAUAUACUUUUUUCCCUAAAAACCUAAGAUGCCUAUUGGUCUAAGCUUUAUAUCUAUCCUAUCGCUCUCUUGCUUAAAUUCACUUCCUUCCUUAACUCAGAUCUAAAUGGCUUCCUUUGGAUCGACAUGCGUAGAAAGAGGUAAAAGCACGGGCAUGGAAAAGGGAUUAUAUGGCGUGCUGGGCUGGAUGAAAGAAGCAACUACGCCUACAAUGAGAAUAGCGGGACUCCCACUAGCUGACAGAGAACUCCCAGCCAAAAUGAAACUGGACUUCCAGCAAUAGCAGCAAUGUCACUAGAACCUUUCAUACUGGAGAAUAACUAGAAGUUUAUGGGGAAUACAACCCUUAAGGUUUGGCUAUGAUUCUAAAUCAACCAUGCUUACUAAACAACUCAAUCAUGCACUCGUAAUGCUCCAUUCGAGGCGUAAUACCAGAAUCUUCACUCAUCGAGAACAAGUAUCUUUGACCUAGAUUAACAUAUCCUUCACAAAUACAAGCUAGCAAGGCAUCUGGAUAACUUACAAGAUAAGUUUAUGCGUGCCACCUAUCAUUUGAUACUGCCUGAUCAAGUCUUUGGAUCAAGUAUGUUUAGAAAAAGGAAUAUGCACAGGAAAUCAAGCAAGAGGAUGCGGACAGUAACGAUCGCGUAAAGGAGGGCCCGCUUACUAAUACGGAGAGGGUUCCGCAUGAAAAAGACAAUCCUAAACUUCUUCGUUUCGUUGGUUUUUCCAAGGUCUUUUAAAUUAUCUUUUUUUUGAACAUGAACGGAAGUAGCGUAGGACACCCAAUCCUCGGUCAAACCUCUACUUCAAUGAACCACGUCGCGUUCUUUAUCUUUCUCACUCGUCGUUUCGUUGGAAAAACUCACGCCCAAUAUCAUAUUGACUCUCUCUCGUCCAAUAAGAGUUUCUGAGAGUUACUUUAUUCAAAUUCUCUCCUUUCCAAAGCUCCACAAGGCUGACAAAAAGAGUAAUAGGACAACAAGCAAUCUUGCUUUCAUUUAUUUUGAGUUCUUUCUUUGUUGAGAUGGAAAUCGACGUUCUUUUGAAAAGGGCUAGGUAGUUUGCACGCAGGCUUCUUCAUGAAAGGUCAAAAAUAGACUUUGAUUUCAUCAUCAAAAAUGACUAGUCGUUCGUUUGAAGCCUUAAGAAACCAAAGCGGCAAUUUUUUUCCGAAUGACCUGAUUUCGAGAAUCAACUAACCAACAAAUCCGUAGCCCAGGUGAUUCGCUGCCUCCCUCUCGCUAAACCAAAAUGGGAUGAAUCUUCUCAUGCAGCUUUUUUCUUAUUCAGGGCGCUGUGAAGCAUCAAGGCGAGGGGGUAAAUAAAAUAAGGGGCAAGAGGAGUUGUCACGAUAGAAAAGAGAAAUGACUAUAAGGAACCAACGAUUCUCUCUUCUUAAACAACCUAUAUACUCCACACUUAACCAGCAUUUAAUAGAUUAUCCAACCCCGAGCAAUCUUAGUUAUUGGUGGGGGUUCGGUUCGUUAGCUGGUAUUUGUUUAGUCAUUCAGAUAGUGACUGGCGUUUUUUAGCUAUGCAUUACACACCUCAUGUGGAUCUAGCUUUCAACAGCGUAGAACACAUUAUGAGAGAUGUUGAAGGGGGCUGGUUGCUCCGUUAUAUGCAUGCUAAUGGGGCAAGUAUGUUUCUCAUUGUGGUUCACCUUCAUAUUUUUCGUGGUCUAUAUCAUGCGAGUUAUAGCAGUCCUAGGGAAUUUGUUUGGUGUCUCGGAGUUGUCAUAUUCCUAUUAAUGAUUGUGACAGCUUUUAUAGGAUACGUACCACCUUGGGGUUAGAUGAGCUUUUGGGGAGCAACAGUAAUUACAAGCUUAGCUAGCGCCAUACCAGUAGUAGGAGAUACCAUAGUGACUUGGCUUUGGGGUGGUUUCUCUGUGGACAAUGCCACCUUAAAUCGUUUUUUAGUCUCCAUCAUUUACUCCCCCUUAUUUUAGCAGGCGCCAGUCUUCUUCAUCUGGCUGCAUUGCAUCAAUAUGGAUCAAAUAAUCCAUUGGGUGUACAUUCUGAGAUGGAUAAAAUCGCUUCUUACCCUUAUUUUUAUGUAAAGGAUCUUGUAGGUCGAGUAGCUUCUGCUAUCUUUUUUUCCAUUUGGAUUUUUUUGCUCCAAAUGUUUUGGGGCAUCCCGACAAUUAUAUACCUGCUAAUCCGAUGCCCACCCCGCCUCAUAUUGUGCCGGAAUGGUAUUUCCUACCGAUCCAUGCCAUUCUUCGCAGUAUACCUGACAAAGCGGGGGGUGUAGCUGCAAUAGCACCAGUUUUUAUAUCUCUCUUGGCUUUACCUUUUUUAAAGAAAUGUAUGUGCGUAGUUCAAGUUUUCGACCGAUUCACCAAGGAAUAUUUUGGUUGCUUUUGGCGGAUUGCUUACUACUAGGUUGGAUCGGAUGUCAACCUGUGGAGGCACCAUUUGUUACUAUUGGACAAAUUUCUUCUUUCUUUUUCUUCUUGUUCUUUGCCAUAACGCCCAUUGCGGGACGAGUUGGAAGAGGAAUUCCAAAAUAUUACACGGAAUAGACUCAUCGCACCGGAUCAGUCUCUUAGACGGAUGAGACUGAUCACACCUGAUCAGUGAUCAAUUCUGGCACAAUGAAUUUACGAGUUAUUUUACACAAUGAAUUUACAAGCAGAUGAGGUAGACCUAUCUCCUGAAAAGAGUUCAGUAAACAAGGGAACGAAGCGACCGAUAACGUCCCCUCGGGGAGGAGAAGGGAUUGACUUCGACUCCUAUUAUCUUUGUUUACCAAUCUUCAAAUUGGUGAAUUGGUUAAUAGGAAGUGCGCGCUAGCACGCUUCAUAUUUCUAGUAACAAGGGCCGGGCCAUUGCUUGCUUGUUUGGUCGUUAGAUCAGAGGGCGCUCAUCCCUUGCUCGGUCCCUGAAAAUGAGAUAACAUAGGCUUUUGAUAUCUGCUCUGUCAACAAGCCCUGGUUCAAUCCCUGCUUCUUCCAGGCCUUAUCCCGAAAGAGGUAAACAAUUCUUUUUUGUCAUUUUGUUCACUGGUCUUCACUUCAAGCAAUUCUAUUAGUCCUAGUUUGCUGCAAUUAGUAAUAGGGGAUAAGCAAUUGGUGGUCGUAGGCUCACUCACCUCUUGCUCUUUUUCUUUGCGAUGACCCCGUCCUUGUAUCCGUCCUCUAGCAUCUAUCUUCUCCUGUAUUGUAUGUAGCUGCAGUGGCAUUCGACUUUGAAGUACCAGGAAAGGCAGAUAAGUUUAGCCUCAAUAGAAAUAUCUUUAUAGCCUGAAGUUGGCUUACUUAAUUCCUUUGAGCUUCCCCCACUAUUUAGUUCGUUUUCCGGUAAGCUAAUAUGGGCGUAGGUCUAGUUAACGUUCAAGCAGAAUAGAAUCCCCAUCAGACUCUCGUUUGUUGGUUGGGAUGGGAUCUUAGGAGAGAAAGGAAAGCCCUGAAACAAAGUGAGCCUACGCCUACGGGAGGGUGUAAAAAUGCCUCAAAGCCUGUGAAGCAAGUUCUAAAGAAAGUUUGAAAGCUCACUGCGGAAAGGGUUUUGACCAGCUAGUCAGAUUGCCUCAUUACGGGUGUGUUACGCCAGAAAGUUCCUCAAUCCUGUGCCUGUUCCCGAGCGAGUCAGUCCCAUUUCGAUGAUGAACGACACGAUCCUCCAUAAAGCUUCCCAUUUUACAUUUCUCCAUCGCGAGAGAUUCUCUCCAGCAGGUUCCCCAGUGGUACGUCCGGGGUCGGUACAAUCAGUGCGCUAUCAGUCCAGUACCAUUAGCUCUCCAAGGGUAACAAUCCAUUCUUUCCGGGCAAGCCAGUUCAGUUCCUUUCUAGUAACAAGAGAUCCCAUAUCAGAUUAAGUAAAGGGAUUACCUAGCUAGCGCAUAUCGAAGAGUUGGAGACUUCCUGCCACUAUAGAAAAAAGCCGUUGAUGGAUCAAUUUCUGUAGGUGGGUCUCAACUCGGAUCGAGACAUUCGGAUUUGCCGAUGAAGAGUACUGCCUUGGAGGGGUAGGGGUUGUAGGGGAAGAACCAACCUUUUCGGGUUACGGGAAGUCCUAUCGAUUAAAGCAAGAAGAAAAAAGUAAAAAACAACAACGUACCGACCCAGCGCAGUGCCUAUGAAGAAUAGUGAAUGUAGACCGGAUAGGAAUAGGACUCUUUAGGCGGAGUGGCUUUCUUGGAGGCCUGUCUUCUUCGAAACUCGAAAUUCGUUUUUUCAAAAGAAACAGGGCUAUAGCCUUUUUAAGGCCAAUUGACAUUGACUUUUGUUUUGAUAGUUCCAGUUGCUUACGAAGAUCCAAGUCCAGCUACUUACGAAGAAGGGCAGACAGACUACGCCACUCCCAUCCCUGCGGACAGACUAACUAAGCGUGGUAGUCGAGUGAACGGGCUAUCAAAAAGCUCUCGUUUUGUUGCGAGCUCCUGGCAAGAUAGUCAAGUAAUAAAAUAGACCAUAAGCCAUACUUUAUCUUGUAGCCUGUCUAAGAAAGUAACAAUAAAUAGCUCAUAGUUUCCUUGCUACUGCCCUAAGAGUUGUUCUUCUAUCAUCAGCGAGAGUUUACUUUGCUGUCGAUGCAGGCCAUGCAAUAAUAGAUAGAUUUUUGUACAUAGUUGGGAUAAACAAAUAAUAAAUGGAUUCCUCCCCUCUUUUUAGCCUUAUCCGCUCUUGAAUGUUGGUAUCGAUUUGAUCAUGCCGGAAUAAGAGCUAGGUAAUGGAUCUUCUCCAGAUAGAAGUAAAGGUUACGUGGGAAAUAAAGGAAUCAGUAGCAGUCGCUGGAAAAAAAGUAGGUAAAGCAAGCAAGGAGGGAAUCCAGCUUAUUGGCCAUUCUCCAGCGACUCUCAGAAUGGUUGUCGGGCCUUUGCACUGGUCAACAAAGCCACAGGCCAAGCCAUCAAGCAUGGCGUAGGGUAUUGGAUAGGCUGGUCCCCUGGUCGAAGUCAUUGCAAGGUGUGCUACAGACAGCUAUUGUUCAAGGUCAUUUCCUUUCUCUCGUCAUCACGCCAACAUACACAAGGCUUGCCUUCACAGGGCCCCACCUUGACUUGCCAUCAUGGCUACACUCUUUUCAUCAAAGCAACUCUUCUUAUCUUAAGAAGACCCCUAUCGCUUCUUCUUUGAUCAAUAAGCUUUGGACUUUCCGCCUUGAUCGUAGUAGUAUAGUAUGCUGAAGCAGCUCAAGAUAAAAGCCCUGUUUAGCCAUGGUCAGAUUUCGGUAGACUAACUUGGACACGGGAUUAGGAAAUUCCACCCUUUUCCACCGGCUCCAGGACAAGAGGGUACCGACGAGUAUCGGCGACCCUGCACGAGAAUAGAACCAAUACCAAUAGUUUUGCUUAUUUGAAUUCUUCCAUUAUCUAUCAAAAUAGGAAAUCUAAAUAGAUACGCGAAGUGGUGCCCUUGCUUCUGGAUUCAAAUCCAUAGGGGUAGGCAGGAGGGGAGCGAAAAGAUAGAUACGUUAAUGUUUCCACCUACUCUCGAGUAUAGCACAGGGCUGAGUUAAGUAUAGUAUAGGGAUGAUCCACUCGUCGUAAGAUCCUGAUGGGCCAUCACAUCCCUUGAUGAGUAGAUCAUUCGUGUCUUACUGGUCAAAGGUAAGUAAGAACCUCUUGAUAUCGGGAAGUGCAAAUAAAUAAUAGGUCAGUCUUGCUGUCUCAAAUAGGGAUUGAGUGCCUGUGGAGAAGAGAUGGGUUGGUUUGAUUGAGGAAAGAAUAGGAAAAGAAGGAAGAAGGAUAGCAUAUUGACCGUGCUCUGCGAAGUUCGGUGGAAGUCAGCUGGAAUCGUACCCAGCAAGGUUCUAUUAAUUGGUAAACUACUUAGUAGCCGUAGCCAACCCCUGAUUAUAGCAAGCCCUGCUCUUGUAUAUCGAUAAAGAAGGGAGAGUUUACUGAUGGCACAUUUGCGUCCAGCGGAAUCGAUCAUCGUCCCCCCACGACCAAGACCCAAUUCAAUAUAUUAAUAGGAAGAAUGUCUUGAUCCGCCUCGUAUAUCUAUCAUUUGUGUUGAUCUGGAAUCGAGAUUGGAAUGCCUUGCUCUGCCUAAUCGUGAAUAGUAUAUGCCUCAUCCCGCUAGCCAGAUCUCUACCGUCUUAUUGAUCGAAAGCUAGGGAUACUUAUUUAUUUUCUUGAUGAUUGAAAAGCUAGUUUGAAUUCGUUGAUCUGCCGAUACCGGGCCCCAUUUCACUGGCCAGCGAGCUUGUGUAUUACUUUGCAAAUGAAGCGUAUCUCUUUGAUUUACUUCUGUUGAUGUCUCGAACCGCUUAGCGGUUAGUUUUAGUUAAGGAUAGCAAUGCUAUUGUCCAUUCCGUCUAGCCGCUAUUGUCCAAUUAUAGUACAGUGUCAGUUAGGACGGGCCUGCCCCUGCUUGCUUCCUCGAGAGUGAGAGAAGGAAGUCCUAGAGAGGGGCACUAUUUCUUCCGAGAAGUGCAAGAUGGGGAAUAACCUAUUGUAUUGAUAUCGCUGAGUCAAGAUAGAAAGGAACCUUAUUUUCUAUCAGCUAGUGCAAGCUAGGUUGUUUGUUUUGGGCACAAAGCCUUGCUCUCCCCAAUCAAGGUAUAAUAGUUGGGCGGCUAGUGCUGCAAGCAUGCAAUCAGCAUUUCGUUCACUUACACUUACACUUAGUGAAUAUAGAACUGUGAUCAGUGACGCUAAGUCAGAUAGUUAUUGUCUCUUCUCCCUAUUUAUUUUAUUAAAGACCCUAAGGAAGUGAAGGAUUGCGGACCACCUAUUUUCAUCAAAGCCCCUUACCCUUGCUUCUUUCCCUUUAAACUCUUUGGUACACGCUUUAUCGAGACUAGGAUUUCUGUCUUACGCCGGGUGAAACCUAUACUCUUUGACCUACCCAACAAGCAUUUUAGGCGAAUUCUUUUCCUUUCUACUCAAGGAAAUUGAUAGCUAGGAUCCUAUCCUAUCCUAUCUAUUUGAUCGAUCGCUCAGCCUCUGUAGUCCACUCCUUCAAUAUAGGAAAGGAAGUAGAGAAAAGGAUGCAAGCCCAAAGUCUAGGAAAAGCAUCUCAUUUCCUGGCAAAAAAGCAAUCCACUGUGUCGAGGAAGGGAAGAAAGGCUCUGCUUUUGGUAUUUAUUUAUCAAAGAAAGACACAUUUAAGCGAGCGUGGCAAGGGACUAAGUUUUUGUUGUCGCGGGCGCUAAAAAGCAUUGGCGGAUGCUAGCUAGGCAUAUUUAUUUGUUUCGUUUGUUUACAAGUUGGAAUUCCAAAGAUAGCUAUUUUAGAGAAAGACCGGAAUAGGCAGUCACAGAUGUAAGUAGAAGUUUUAGAAGCAGGUAAGGUUUAUGCACGAUGAGAUAUGCUAGCUAGAGCUACUUGGUAUUGGUAGUAGAAGAGGAAUAGCUUGUGCUUUUCGCGGGAUAGCUUCUAAGUAUAGACAUUCACAGUAGGCACGAAUGGGAUAGUUUGAGUUGGUUUCUCGCCAAAUAGAUUCAAGGAUAACUCGAUUUGAUACUAAACUUAGUACGAGAAGGUGCUUAGAACACAUACGGGAUCAGAUAAGGCUAGCAGCUCUAGUAUUGGUAAUAAAUCUUACAAGGGAAUACUAGAUACACCAGUUGUGGUAAGUCAAUUCAUUCAGGAUGCUCGUAAGUCUCGUGAAUCCAAUAAUAAAUAGGGCUUAGUAGAGGCGCGAAGCGUGGAGAUUGAUAAAUAAAAAGGACACACAGUACCAGACCAAGUAACAAGAUCAGCCUUACCAAACUGGAUUUUCCAAAGAAAGAGGGUGAUGAGUGGGUGAUUCAAUGUAACCAUUACUUUUCUCUCUGCCCAGUUCCUGAUACAAACAAGACCCAUAUGGUAGUGUUGCACUUUAGUGGGAAAGCCAGUUCAUGGUAUAGAGGCUAGAAUCUGACCCAUGAUCACCCCUGAUCUAAUUGAACUGGUUCAGAGGGUAUUCCCAGAUGCUAGCAGCCUCACCUCACUGCUGUGAGGAAUGGAAGAGAUUGUACCAAGUCCAUAAUGGUCAAGAUUCCACACAGAAGGGUUAGGUCAAAUCAAGGGCCUUAACUUGGGAUCUCCUGACUUACCUGAGCACUAUUUUAUCACUGCAUGCUUGAGUUGAGGGAAGACAUCAAAGACCUUGUAUGGCAAUGAAGGCAGUAAGCUUGAUGCAUUUUAUCCAAAGACAUGGAGGUGGCAAUUUCUUAUCAAAAGAAAAGAAGAAAAGCAGUUUCAAGCCUAACAACCUUCUUACAUACCCUAGCCAGAAUAAGGGAAUUAUGGUCAAGGGAAAAAUGAAAGAGCAUAAGCCAGAAAAUGGAAACUCUCAGAAUAGGAAUGAAGUAUGGGAAGAAAUAAGAGCCUUAGGCCUGUGCUUGACAUGUGUUGAGCUACCAUGGUCAUCAGUGCAAGGUGAAGAUGAACAUAUAAUAGGUGACAGUGAAGAGAAGGAAGAUGAGAGAUACGUUCCUUAGAAUUAGAAGUCUCUCAACUUUCUUCCAGAAAGCCUUUCACCGAGCGAGCAGCUAAGCCUAUGCCCUCAACAAUUGAUUGCUAUACAGAAUUUAGCAUAAANNNNNNNNNNNNNNNNNNNNNNNNNNNNNNNNNNNNNNNNNNNNNNNNNNNNNNNNNNNNNNNNNNNNNNNNNNNNNNNNNNNNNNNNNNNNNNNNNNNNUACAGCACUGACUUCGGUGCCCGCUUACUACCCAUAAGACCUUAGAAAUGACUAGCAGGAGAGCAGUCACGGAAAGAAAGAUUCUGCCUAUUGAGAGAAAGCAAGAUCAGGGAAGUCUUAGUCACUAACACACCAUAGUACUAGUCAAGUCACAAGCAAAGCAUCAAGUCCCAAGCAGUGCCAGGUUGAAGAAAGAAGACUCUAUAAAAAAGCAAGUGAGCUCUGGCACCCAGAUAUUAAGAAGUUAGGAUGCGCCUAACUAAAACUAUUUAGAAAGGCUAGUGAGCAAGUGCCACGGAUCCGGUGUACGGAACGGAUCCAGAGUUAGGAUGCAGCAAGAAAACGGCUGCGCUUCAGCGCAACGGAUCUAGAAGUUAGGAUGCGCGUGGACUAACGCGCAAAGGCUUUCGCGCUAGAAAUAGAAAAAAAGAGCGCUAGAAAGAAAUCAAAUCGUUGCUUUACUUUAAAGUAAAGUUACGAACAAAGGCUUCACUCUUUCCGUUCUGAGGCUAAAAAGGCCAAACGAGCCUACUCACAUCCAUUAGAAUUUUGGAAUUAUAUGACUCUGGGGUCAGUCCAGCAGCUAUAGGUGUACGCAGACAAGAAGAGAGCUUUCCUAUUAAUAAAUACUCUCCUCGCCAAUCCGAUCUCCAGAACUUGACCCUUUUCCCUGCGCGCCUCUUCUUACUUUCACUAAAGAAUGAACAAUCGCGCAGGAGGUAGGAGAUCCAAGUCCAGAAAACAGACGUAAUACAAUACUAAACUAAUGAUGAUCAAAACUUCUAAAUAGAGUCAGAACUCCCCUUCCUGUUUGGUAGAAUUCACACCUAGAAGAAGUAGCCCUGCCGCGGCCUUUUACUCUCUCCACAUUCGGGCUGGAUAAAGAAAAAUGAGAAGGUGUCCAGAAUAUCAACGAAUAAACAGGGAAGGCGUUUUUCAAGCAUCUCAUGCUCCAAAUGAGAAGAUGCAGCGAGGCACCUUCUAGAUAUUCAGUUAUAGUGUUGAUCAUAGACUCAAAUAAGAUAAUGAAAUAUUAAGCAGAAGUGUCUCAUCUCAAGCAUCUGAUUCCGGUGAUCGCAAAUAGCUUGUCAUAGCUAGUUCUUACCUGAAUCGCAGUAGGUUAUUUCUGCUGACAAAGGCCGCUAAGGUUCCACUCGAGAGGAUUCUAUUCCCUCACCGCUGCGCGCCUUGAAGAUCAUAUAAGUGAGUGCUCAAUUGUUAUACUGCUAUGGGAAGAAGCGGAAGAUGAAUCGGAACAGCAGGAAGCCGCUACCUAGAACGGCGCAUACUCUUGACCGCUAACCCUCAAUCAAACGUUGAUAGUUGUGCUUUCCCUACUCGACUUUUGGGUACAUAACCUAAUCAAUCCCUUCCUUCGGUUUCCCUGGACUAUCGAUCUAGAGACGGCACCUUUAGACCAGACCUGGAGACAUCACAAAAAGAGUUCUGAGGAUGACUGCUGGAUAGCGAGCACCUGACCUUGGUUGACUUGCCUAGAACCUGACCAGGCACCGGCACUGAAUUCUACUUGAAAUACCAGGCUCUUCUCUUAGAUAGGAAUCAUAUACUUUAAGCCAUAGGAAUCAUAUACGAAGAACACAUAUGGCCUAGACUCAUGAGCCAAAAUCUAAUCAAUAGUUCGGUACGCGCGCUCAAGACGAACAUCACCACGCUGGGCCCCUUCCCACUUCCCCUCGGAUUUCCUAUCAUUCGGAAUGAAUUCUUUCCAUUAAAGAAAGUAGAAUAAAUAUACGAAAAAAAUACACAACCCUGAAAUCAAUGAUUCAUAAAUACAAUAGCCUAUGAAGGAAGGCGCGGAUCGGCACACCGGAAGCAAGCUGCCGUAAUAGUAGAACCUCAAAAAGAGACCAACAGUUGAGAAUAUGACAUGGAAGUCUCGCAAUCUAUCCCUCCCCGAGAAACGCCCAUUCAUCCCUGGAGUCCGUACUCCGUACUCUUACUAUCCCUAACUCCUCCAUAGCCAUCUAAGAAUAAGUCCAAUCUUACAAGUUGCGUUCAAUGCACCACUUCAGAUAUCUGAGACUCUUAAGACAAUCGUCUAUUUAAGAAACCAGACCAGGAUGAACACCAAAUCAGUGAACCAAAGCGCAUUCUAUUCUAACUCCGGCACAAAAUAGUUCUAAUCAAAAUCGUUUCUGUCCUGGAUGCCUUAUUGUUCAUUGUAAUUUCGGCAGCAAGCGCGAAAUUAAUUGGAAGCAGGCUAUGUACUAGAAAGUAAAAGAGGCACGGAAAGCCUUCACAGAUCGGAGUGCUAACUGGAAAAUACUUUCUCUAUAUACCGGCUACUCAUUUCUCUUUUUAUCGAACGCGGCUAAUAAUAUCAUAAUUAGCAUAACAACCAUUGCAAAGAGUGAUUCAACUUUGUUUUUGCAUUGAGGAGAAAUAGAAAAGAAAGACAACCUCGGUUCGUGCUCGUGCGUAUCAGCUUUCUGGCUGUUCAAAGUGCAUAUUAAAAGGUAAUCUGCUUCUCGUUGACAAAUCGAAAGAGGCCCUCACAUAAUCUGCCAUAAAAGAUUGAAAUUACUUAUUUGAACUACGUUGGCAGGCCUAAAGCUGUUCCACUCAUAUCAUCCUCCAGGUCUAGUAGCUUGGAAGGGUCAGCCUCUUUUAUUCAAGAGGUACACCUCUUUCUAACAGGGCCCUACCUUGAAUGCGCAGAGCAGCAAAGUUCCUUUAGAGACUUAAGCACAGAGCAUUAGGGAAAUCUAGCCAAGGUAUGUAACCAUACUCGAUGUGGCAACUGUAUUCUUCCUCGAAAACUAAAGAUUCUAUUCUGCUUUGGCUCCUCAAAUCUGCCGGCUAUAGAAAAGUGCCCGUUCCUUCGAACUGUAGAUAUGCUCCUGAAGUGACUAGUCUAGUGCCGCUCUUUGAAAUUAAUAGACCAUACAGUUAGAGCAGAUCAUUAGCAUUUAAUGAAUGAGCCCUAGUCAACACGAUCUCAGUAAGAUCAAAGGUCUGCGACAGCCGUACUUGUCUUUUAUUGUCGUGCACAAGCGCCUCUUCUCUCUUAUGGUUGGGUCGGAGCUAGAGUUUCCCCAUUGUUGAUCCUGUUGCAAGUCAAGAUUGCGUUGGGUAGGCCAGAGCGGCAGGGCUUAUCUGUUUUUAUUGCUUUUGUUGUUUGGCAAUGCAGAAACAGAUAAGCGGAUUUCAUCUCAUGAAUCUCCUCUCCAUAGACAAGUCGAUUUCACUUUCACUUUCACAGAGGGCGGAAGGGAGAGGUUGGCUUUUAUUGUGAUGGCCAGUAAAAGAUUCUCCGCGUUCUUUGAUUUGGUGUGACAGAUCAAAGUCAAGUCAACAAGCAUUUGGGUGCUUUUGGCCAAGAGGAGAGCCAAUUGAAUCACUGACUUCAACGCUAGCCCCUUCCCUUAGUCAAGUGACCCAAUAAAGGAGUGAGUGAGAGCAGCUACAAGCUAGGGUAGGCAGGUUGUCCGACAAAUGGCUUUCCAAUCACUGAAAUUCUAUUUAAGAAAGGAAAGAAGAAUGCGGUAGGCAGACACUUUUCAAAGCAGAACCAACGGAGUGGAGUAAAGAAAAGCACGGCGGAUUCGGCCCCAAAAGAUAGACAAAUAGCAAAGAUCACCAACACAAAUUACACAUAAGUAUUUUAGAUUCUAGAAAAUAUGACUUCUUCACUUCACUUCGACGAAAGAUGAGCCAUUAAAAAUACUCAAAACCAACUAGCAUGAAAAUCCAACUAUUAUCUAACUCAUUAACUACUAGGUAAGCUCCCUCAGUAAACAGUCUCAGCUGAUAAGUGUAGUAUCCCUCCAUCAUACGGAGUACUAGGCGGCGGUGCUGAGACAGAUGUUACCAAUUCCCCAACUCCAAGUGCAUGCCAAUUUGAUCUACGUGGCGCCGACCAACGCAGAACCAUACUUGGCUUGGCCCUUUGCAAUAUGUAUAUUCCCCGAGGAAGGAAGGCUUGACAUGAAUACAGCUUAGUAACUAUCCAUUCUUUCACACUCCGACACACGCCAUAAUCUUUCAUCAGAAGGAGCUUCAUCAUCAUAUCAUAUGGUAAGGGGCAUACGGCGAAUUUGUAGAGGACGGGUAACGCCGCAGUUCUGUGUUGAAAAUUUGCAUAUCUCCAUGAUCAGGAUCUCUGGCCAAAGGAUAAUCACAAUCACCAGCUGAUAAGCAAGCAAAUAGAGUUGUCUCUUCGAGUCAGCAUCCUAGUCUCCAUUUCAGAUUGUAACAGAACUGGUUGGUCUCUGGCACUUGUGAGUGGAGGUCCUCCGAAACACGAAUAGACUGGCACUAGGCGGAAGAGAAGAGAAACAGAAGCGGAGACUACCUAAUCUAAUAAGUGUCUGGUUUCAUCGAAUAGGGAUGCUCGCUUAAGUCUACUUGUACUUGAAUUCCGCAUAGCCCGUUCUGCUAAGAAAUAUGAGCUGUUGUUCUUAUAUGAGCUGUUGCUCUUAAAAUCAUUCCUUAUGAGCUAUGGCAAGUGAGCUGAGUCUAGUUUACUCGCCUUCUCCAUCACUAGAUGAGUGGGCAGUGCCGGACUCGAGGAUGGGAUUCCCGACCGAAUUGGAAGCAUAAAAGCGCCAUUCCGAGAUUGAUAGAUAAUCAAUCUAAAUAGGAAUUGAAUAGGAGAAGAGCUAAUUGGGAUUGGAGAAGAAGUUCCUUUGGAAUGGAAUUGUAGAACAAGUAGACAGGAUUUCUACGAAACAGGAUAAUCCGUUGAUUGGGAACAAGUCCGGAUUGGAUUCGUGCGUCACGGAUCAGUAGCAGCAAGUAGAUCAAAGCUAGUUCGGUAACAUAAGCUCGGGAACAGGACUAUUUGCCGGGGGAUGAUCACUUGGUUCCGUAGGUUUCUUGAUCUCAUAUCUAUGGGCCAGUCCAAUCCGAAAGGAGGAAUGAUGGUAGAUACCCACUAGAUAGCCGUCUUCCACUGCCUGGAGUCCAAUCUCUCUCUAUUGGCCAGAGGUGUCCAACACCUUCAGUACCAUUCUUUGGACGAGAGAAGCCUUAUCCUUCAUACUUUCUGGACGUGUUGGUUUCCAAUCUGACAUUUUAUCAGAAGGUUCUGCCAAUUUAUCCCUACUGUAAUUUUGUGUCGCUUGCUCUUGUUGCUGCUGACCUCUAUUUUCUUUCCCUCGAUUAAGAGGCUAAUGAACUGGGUGCUCGAAAGUUUGUUGUGUCCGACGUCGCUCGGUUGUAUACCGUACGUUCGUGCUCUGGAGUUCAUGCCUACAGGGAGUGUUCAGCAUCCGCGAAUCGAGUCACUGAAGUUACAACAAGAAAUUGAAGAGGAUGGUCGAAAAGAUGAACCAGGAGAUGGGUCCAGAGAGCAAAUUUGUGUACGUAAAUACGAAGGAUUUGGCAGCGCCGAAGCAGAGGAAGGAACCCGAAGCAAUGGAAAUAACGACGACCUAGGAGGUAGUAGUAGUACGAAGCCGUAAGGUGGUUUGAUUUAGAAGUUGAGUGAGGAGGCUUCGACCGUCGCCACAAAGAUUCUUAUGAGGCAUGCUUCUGACGGGCUGCCACGCGGGAGUACUGGAAGACUUUUCAAAGGGCUAAGUAUAGGCACCGGGAAAGAGUGGGGGUUGAAGUGGAGUUGCCACGACGAUUUCUGGUAAGUCGAUUGCGGAGGAACUGAGAGGGAGAAGGCCGGGCUUCCCAGAUUGUGCAAAUUAGCCAUUCCACUUCGGGUCGUGUGCACAUAGCAUGGAGGCGAUGCCUUAUGCCGUGGCGUCAAUUCUAGCUUCUGAUGCGGGGCUUCUAGCUGUUCGCUUUUAAAUUGGCACUUUGAGUUGAGGGCGGAGCGUGAAUUAAGUAAAGGCUUAUUUGUUCCUGAAUGUUUCAUUUUUAUUAACCAAAACCAACAUUUAUCAUACUUGCAACUAAGACCUCGAAUGUUUGGAAAAGACGAUGUCGACAAAGCGGAGUUUUUUAAUGAAAUAAAAGACAUUUGCAAGUGCUGGCUUACACCCGGGGAAUUGUCAGUAAAUAAGGCGCCAGGAGGUUGUGCAAGCACUAGAAAUGACGAGCAUGGAGAGGUCAAUCUUGGUAGUCAGGUCUGGUAGAGCAAUCUCAAAUUAUCAUAUAGAAAUGUUAUGAUUUCGGUAUUGAUCAAAAGGUGCUAGGACCUUAGGGGAUACAUUAGUGCCAUGUUCUAUUGCGGAACGGUCGUAUCCUGGUAACCUAGCCCCCGUAAGAGCUCUACCUAAUCGUCGACAUAAUGGGUAGAAGGCAGGCUGUGCUUAUUUCUCGGCAAAUAGCUGAGUCGACACCUCGAGGUGCCAACUCAGCUCUUCGUAGAUAAAAACAAGUGUUCAGUGGAUCAAACCCUGUAUUAAUGGUUCUGGCGGGCUGCUGGCGUGGGACUUCUUUCGCUAGAAACACUACAACAAUAGAAGCACCCUUCUAGAGAUAAGAAUAGCAAAUGUUUUGAGGCACUGAUGGAAGCAUGCCAAGGUGAAGUUGACGAUCUCUUUAGCGUUUAUCCUUCUCUUUAUCUUGCCCUAUGUGCUCAUGCUGUGAGUGCCGCAGGAUGGUUUAGUUCUGAUCGAGUGCUUGACCCCUUGAGGAGGGCAUAUUCUUCAGCAUCUCUCUUGUCGGAUCGUAUCCCCGUGACCACGUCGUUAAAGAGACAGUUUUCUUUGGCCUGGCCUGGCCCACCGACGUCGUUGGUGACACUCUUCUGAGCCCCUAGAUUCACCGAAGGAUGAGAUCUUGCCUAUGCUGUAGUGUAGGAUGAACAGGAAAGUUCUCCUCCAUUGAGACCCGGAAAACUACAACUUUUUCUUAUUGAAAAAAAGAGCUUUGUUAUCUUACUUGCUGGCUAGUAAACGCUACCCCUACCCUUGAAAACUUGUUUACUUUUGAGGGCCGGAGUUUACUUAAAUUCAAGAGGACUUAAAGGAUUUCUAACUUCACUGUCCUGCUUACUCAUUGGAUGAAUUGACAGAGUCUCUUGCCCUUUACCUUGGAUAUACACAAGAUUGCUCAUUCGCUGUAACCACUAGUUCUAGAACUGAAUAGGAAAAGCUAUAUGGCACUCAAACAGAACAGAAUGGAUAGCAACUGAAACUCCAAGAGGUAGUAUACUAAUAUACUUUUUUCCCUAAAAACCUAAGAUGCCUAUUGGUCUAAGCUUUAUAUCUAUCCUAUCGCUCUCUUGCUUAAAUUCACUUCCUUCCUUAACUCAGAUCUAAAUGGCUUCCUUUGGAUCGACAUGCGUAGAAAGAGGUAAAAGCACGGGCAUGGAAAAGGGAUUAUAUGGCGUGCUGGGCUGGAUGAAAGAAGCAACUACGCCUACAAUGAGAAUAGCGGGACUCCCACUAGCUGACAGAGAACUCCCAGCCAAAAUGAAACUGGACUUCCAGCAAUAGCAGCAAUGUCACUAGAACCUUUCAUACUGGAGAAUAACUAGAAGUUUAUGGGGAAUACAACCCUUAAGGUUUGGCUAUGAUUCUAAAUCAACCAUGCUUACUAAACAACUCAAUCAUGCACUCGUAAUGCUCCAUUCGAGGCGUAAUACCAGAAUCUUCACUCAUCGAGAACAAGUAUCUUUGACCUAGAUUAACAUAUCCUUCACAAAUACAAGCUAGCAAGGCAUCUGGAUAACUUACAAGAUAAGUUUAUGCGUGCCACCUAUCAUUUGAUACUGCCUGAUCAAGUCUUUGGAUCAAGUAUGUUUAGAAAAAGGAAUAUGCACAGGAAAUCAAGCAAGAGGAUGCGGACAGUAACGAUCGCGUAAAGGAGGGCCCGCUUACUAAUACGGAGAGGGUUCCGCAUGAAAAAGACAAUCCUAAACUUCUUCGUUUCGUUGGUUUUUCCAAGGUCUUUUAAAUUAUCUUUUUUUUGAACAUGAACGGAAGUAGCGUAGGACACCCAAUCCUCGGUCAAACCUCUACUUCAAUGAACCACGUCGCGUUCUUUAUCUUUCUCACUCGUCGUUUCGUUGGAAAAACUCACGCCCAAUAUCAUAUUGACUCUCUCUCGUCCAAUAAGAGUUUCUGAGAGUUACUUUAUUCAAAUUCUCUCCUUUCCAAAGCUCCACAAGGCUGACAAAAAGAGUAAUAGGACAACAAGCAAUCUUGCUUUCAUUUAUUUUGAGUUCUUUCUUUGUUGAGAUGGAAAUCGACGUUCUUUUGAAAAGGGCUAGGUAGUUUGCACGCAGGCUUCUUCAUGAAAGGUCAAAAAUAGACUUUGAUUUCAUCAUCAAAAAUGACUAGUCGUUCGUUUGAAGCCUUAAGAAACCAAAGCGGCAAUUUUUUUCCGAAUGACCUGAUUUCGAGAAUCAACUAACCAACAAAUCCGUAGCCCAGGUGAUUCGCUGCCUCCCUCUCGCUAAACCAAAAUGGGAUGAAUCUUCUCAUGCAGCUUUUUUCUUAUUCAGGGCGCUGUGAAGCAUCAAGGCGAGGGGGUAAAUAAAAUAAGGGGCAAGAGGAGUUGUCACGAUAGAAAAGAGAAAUGACUAUAAGGAACCAACGAUUCUCUCUUCUUAAACAACCUAUAUACUCCACACUUAACCAGCAUUUAAUAGAUUAUCCAACCCCGAGCAAUCUUAGUUAUUGGUGGGGGUUCGGUUCGUUAGCUGGUAUUUGUUUAGUCAUUCAGAUAGUGACUGGCGUUUUUUAGCUAUGCAUUACACACCUCAUGUGGAUCUAGCUUUCAACAGCGUAGAACACAUUAUGAGAGAUGUUGAAGGGGGCUGGUUGCUCCGUUAUAUGCAUGCUAAUGGGGCAAGUAUGUUUCUCAUUGUGGUUCACCUUCAUAUUUUUCGUGGUCUAUAUCAUGCGAGUUAUAGCAGUCCUAGGGAAUUUGUUUGGUGUCUCGGAGUUGUCAUAUUCCUAUUAAUGAUUGUGACAGCUUUUAUAGGAUACGUACCACCUUGGGGUUAGAUGAGCUUUUGGGGAGCAACAGUAAUUACAAGCUUAGCUAGCGCCAUACCAGUAGUAGGAGAUACCAUAGUGACUUGGCUUUGGGGUGGUUUCUCUGUGGACAAUGCCACCUUAAAUCGUUUUUUAGUCUCCAUCAUUUACUCCCCUUAUUUUAGCAGGCGCCAGUCUUCUUCAUCUGGCUGCAUUGCAUCAAUAUGGAUCAAAUAAUCCAUUGGGUGUACAUUCUGAGAUGGAUAAAAUCGCUUCUUACCCUUAUUUUUAUGUAAAGGAUCUUGUAGGUCGAGUAGCUUCUGCUAUCUUUUUUUCCAUUUGGAUUUUUUUGCUCCAAAUGUUUUGGGGCAUCCCGACAAUUAUAUACCUGCUAAUCCGAUGCCCACCCCGCCUCAUAUUGUGCCGGAAUGGUAUUUCCUACCGAUCCAUGCCAUUCUUCGCAGUAUACCUGACAAAGCGGGGGGUGUAGCUGCAAUAGCACCAGUUUUUAUAUCUCUCUUGGCUUUACCUUUUUUAAAGAAAUGUAUGUGCGUAGUUCAAGUUUUCGACCGAUUCACCAAGGAAUAUUUUGGUUGCUUUUGGCGGAUUGCUUACUACUAGGUUGGAUCGGAUGUCAACCUGUGGAGGCACCAUUUGUUACUAUUGGACAAAUUUCUUCUUUCUUUUUCUUCUUGUUCUUUGCCAUAACGCCCAUUGCGGGACGAGUUGGAAGAGGAAUUCCAAAAUAUUACACGGAAUAGACUCAUCGCACCGGAUCAGUCUCUUAGACGGAUGAGACUGAUCACACCUGAUCAGUGAUCAAUUCUGGCACAAUGAAUUUACGAGUUAUUUUACACAAUGAAUUUACAAGCAGAUGAGGUAGACCUAUCUCCUGAAAAGAGUUCAGUAAACAAGGGAACGAAGCGACCGAUAACGUCCCCUCGGGGAGGAGAAGGGAUUGACUUCGACUCCUAUUAUCUUUGUUUACCAAUCUUCAAAUUGGUGAAUUGGUUAAUAGGAAGUGCGCGCUAGCACGCUUCAUAUUUCUAGUAACAAGGGCCGGGCCAUUGCUUGCUUGUUUGGUCGUUAGAUCAGAGGGCGCUCAUCCCUUGCUCGGUCCCUGAAAAUGAGAUAACAUAGGCUUUUGAUAUCUGCUCUGUCAACAAGCCCUGGUUCAAUCCCUGCUUCUUCCAGGCCUUAUCCCGAAAGAGGUAAACAAUUCUUUUUUGUCAUUUUGUUCACUGGUCUUCACUUCAAGCAAUUCUAUUAGUCCUAGUUUGCUGCAAUUAGUAAUAGGGGAUAAGCAAUUGGUGGUCGUAGGCUCACUCACCUCUUGCUCUUUUUCUUUGCGAUGACCCCGUCCUUGUAUCCGUCCUCUAGCAUCUAUCUUCUCCUGUAUUGUAUGUAGCUGCAGUGGCAUUCGACUUUGAAGUACCAGGAAAGGCAGAUAAGUUUAGCCUCAAUAGAAAUAUCUUUAUAGCCUGAAGUUGGCUUACUUAAUUCCUUUGAGCUUCCCCCACUAUUUAGUUCGUUUUCCGGUAAGCUAAUAUGGGCGUAGGUCUAGUUAACGUUCAAGCAGAAUAGAAUCCCCAUCAGACUCUCGUUUGUUGGUUGGGAUGGGAUCUUAGGAGAGAAAGGAAAGCCCUGAAACAAAGUGAGCCUACGCCUACGGGAGGGUGUAAAAAUGCCUCAAAGCCUGUGAAGCAAGUUCUAAAGAAAGUUUGAAAGCUCACUGCGGAAAGGGUUUUGACCAGCUAGUCAGAUUGCCUCAUUACGGGUGUGUUACGCCAGAAAGUUCCUCAAUCCUGUGCCUGUUCCCGAGCGAGUCAGUCCCAUUUCGAUGAUGAACGACACGAUCCUCCAUAAAGCUUCCCAUUUUACAUUUCUCCAUCGCGAGAGAUUCUCUCCAGCAGGUUCCCCAGUGGUACGUCCGGGGUCGGUACAAUCAGUGCGCUAUCAGUCCAGUACCAUUAGCUCUCCAAGGGUAACAAUCCAUUCUUUCCGGGCAAGCCAGUUCAGUUCCUUUCUAGUAACAAGAGAUCCCAUAUCAGAUUAAGUAAAGGGAUUACCUAGCUAGCGCAUAUCGAAGAGUUGGAGACUUCCUGCCACUAUAGAAAAAAGCCGUUGAUGGAUCAAUUUCUGUAGGUGGGUCUCAACUCGGAUCGAGACAUUCGGAUUUGCCGAUGAAGAGUACUGCCUUGGAGGGGUAGGGGUUGUAGGGGAAGAACCAACCUUUUCGGGUUACGGGAAGUCCUAUCGAUUAAAGCAAGAAGAAAAAAGUAAAAACAACAACGUACCGACCCAGCGCAGUGCCUAUGAAGAAUAGUGAAUGUAGACCGGAUAGGAAUAGGACUCUUUAGGCGGAGUGGCUUUCUUGGAGGCCUGUCUUCUUCGAAACUCGAAAUUCGUUUUUUCAAAAGAAACAGGGCUAUAGCCUUUUUAAGGCCAAUUGACAUUGACUUUUGUUUUGAUAGUUCCAGUUGCUUACGAAGAUCCAAGUCCAGCUACUUACGAAGAAGGGCAGACAGACUACGCCACUCCCAUCCCUGCGGACAGACUAACUAAGCGUGGUAGUCGAGUGAACGGGCUAUCAAAAAGCUCUCGUUUUGUUGCGAGCUCCUGGCAAGAUAGUCAAGUAAUAAAAUAGACCAUAAGCCAUACUUUAUCUUGUAGCCUGUCUAAGAAAGUAACAAUAAAUAGCUCAUAGUUUCCUUGCUACUGCCCUAAGAGUUGUUCUUCUAUCAUCAGCGAGAGUUUACUUUGCUGUCGAUGCAGGCCAUGCAAUAAUAGAUAGAUUUUUGUACAUAGUUGGGAUAAACAAAUAAUAAAUGGAUUCCUCCCCUCUUUUUAGCCUUAUCCGCUCUUGAAUGUUGGUAUCGAUUUGAUCAUGCCGGAAUAAGAGCUAGGUAAUGGAUCUUCUCCAGAUAGAAGUAAAGGUUACGUGGGAAAUAAAGGAAUCAGUAGCAGUCGCUGGAAAAAAAGUAGGUAAAGCAAGCAAGGAGGGAAUCCAGCUUAUUGGCCAUUCUCCAGCGACUCUCAGAAUGGUUGUCGGGCCUUUGCACUGGUCAACAAAGCCACAGGCCAAGCCAUCAAGCAUGGCGUAGGGUAUUGGAUAGGCUGGUCCCCUGGUCGAAGUCAUUGCAAGGUGUGCUACAGACAGCUAUUGUUCAAGGUCAUUUCCUUUCUCUCGUCAUCACGCCAACAUACACAAGGCUUGCCUUCACAGGGCCCCACCUUGACUUGCCAUCAUGGCUACACUCUUUUCAUCAAAGCAACUCUUCUUAUCUUAAGAAGACCCCUAUCGCUUCUUCUUUGAUCAAUAAGCUUUGGACUUUCCGCCUUGAUCGUAGUAGUAUAGUAUGCUGAAGCAGCUCAAGAUAAAAGCCCUGUUUAGCCAUGGUCAGAUUUCGGUAGACUAACUUGGACACGGGAUUAGGAAAUUCCACCCUUUUCCACCGGCUCCAGGACAAGAGGGUACCGACGAGUAUCGGCGACCCUGCACGAGAAUAGAACCAAUACCAAUAGUUUUGCUUAUUUGAAUUCUUCCAUUAUCUAUCAAAAUAGGAAAUCUAAAUAGAUACGCGAAGUGGUGCCCUUGCUUCUGGAUUCAAAUCCAUAGGGGUAGGCAGGAGGGGAGCGAAAAGAUAGAUACGUUAAUGUUUCCACCUACUCUCGAGUAUAGCACAGGGCUGAGUUAAGUAUAGUAUAGGGAUGAUCCACUCGUCGUAAGAUCCUGAUGGGCCAUCACAUCCCUUGAUGAGUAGAUCAUUCGUGUCUUACUGGUCAAAGGUAAGUAAGAACCUCUUGAUAUCGGGAAGUGCAAAUAAAUAAUAGGUCAGUCUUGCUGUCUCAAAUAGGGAUUGAGUGCCUGUGGAGAAGAGAUGGGUUGGUUUGAUUGAGGAAAGAAUAGGAAAAGAAGGAAGAAGGAUAGCAUAUUGACCGUGCUCUGCGAAGUUCGGUGGAAGUCAGCUGGAAUCGUACCCAGCAAGGUUCUAUUAAUUGGUAAACUACUUAGUAGCCGUAGCCAACCCCUGAUUAUAGGCAAGCCCUGCUCUUGUAUAUCGAUAAAGAAAGGGAGAGUUUACUGAUGGCACAUUUGCGUCCAGCGGAAUCGAUCAUCGUCCCCCACGACCAAGACCCAAUUCAAUAUAUUAAUAGGAAGAAUGUCUUGAUCCGCCUCGUAUAUCUAUCAUUUGUGUUGAUCUGGAAUCGAGAUUGGAAUGCCUUGCUCUGCCUAAUCGUGAAUAGUAUAUGCCUCAUCCCGCUAGCCAGAUCUCUACCGUCUUAUUGAUCGAAAGCUAGGGAUACUUAUUUAUUUUCUUGAUGAUUGAAAAGCUAGUUUGAAUUCGUUGAUCUGCCGAUACCGGGCCCCAUUUCACUGGCCAGCGAGCUUGUGUAUUACUUUGCAAAUGAAGCGUAUCUCUUUGAUUUACUUCUGUUGAUGUCUCGAACCGCUUAGCGGUUAGUUUUAGUUAAGGAUAGCAAUGCUAUUGUCCAUUCCGUCUAGCCGCUAUUGUCCAAUUAUAGUACAGUGUCAGUUAGGACGGGCCUGCCCCUGCUUGCUUCCUCGAGAGUGAGAGAAGGAAGUCCUAGAGAGGGGCACUAUUUCUUCCGAGAAGUGCAAGAUGGGGAAUAACCUAUUGUAUUGAUAUCGCUGAGUCAAGAUAGAAAGGAACCUUAUUUCUAUCAGCUAGUGCAAGCUAGGUUGUUUGUUUUGGGCACAAAGCCUUGCUCUCCCCAAUCAAGGUAUAAUAGUUGGGCGGCUAGUGCUGCAAGCAUGCAAUCAGCAUUUCGUUCACUUACACUUACACUUAGUGAAUAUAGAACUGUGAUCAGUGACGCUAAGUCAGAUAGUUAUUGUCUCUUCUCCCUAUUUAUUUUAUUAAAGACCCUAAGGAAGUGAAGGAUUGCGGACCACCUAUUUUUCAUCAAAGCCCCUUACCCUUGCUUCUUUCCCUUUAAACUCUUUGGUACACGCUUUAUCGAGACUAGGAUUUCUGUCUUACGCCGGGUGAAACCUAUACUCUUUGACCUACCCCAACAAGCAUUUUAGGCGAAUUCUUUUCCUUUCUACUCAAGGAAAUUGAUAGCUAGGAUCCUAUCCUAUCCUAUCCUAUUUGAUCGAUCGCUCAGCCUCUGUAGUCCACUCCUUCAAUAUAGGAAAGGAAGUAGAGAAAAGGAUGCAAGCCCAAAGUCUAGGAAAAGCAUCUCAUUUCCUGGCAAAAAAGCAAUCCACUGUGUCGAGGAAGGGAAGAAAGGCUCUGCUUUUGGUAUUUAUUUAUCAAAGAAAGACACAUUUAAGCGAGCGUGGCAAGGGACUAAGUUUUUGUUGUCGCGGGCGCUAAAAAGCAUUGGCGGAUGCUAGCUAGGCAUAUUUAUUUGUUUCGUUUGUUUACAAGUUGGAAUUCAAAGAUAGCUAUUUUAGAGAAAGACCGGAAUAGGCAGUCACAGAUGUAAGUAGAAGUUUUAGAAGCAGGUAAGGUUUAUGCACGAUGAGAUAUGCUAGCUAGAGCUACUUGGUAUUGGUAGUAGAAGAGGAAUAGCUUGUGCUUUUCGCGGGAUAGCUUCUAAGUAUAGACAUUCACAGUAGGCACGAAUGGGAUAGUUUGAGUUGGUUUCUCGCCAAAUAGAUUCAAGGAUAACUCGAUUUGAUACUAAACUUAGUACGAGAAGGUGCUUAGAACACAUACGGGAUCAGAUAAGGCUAGCAGCUCUAGUAUUGGUAAUAAAUCUUACAAGGGAAUACUAGAUACACCAGUUGUGGUAAGUCAAUUCAUUCAGGAUGCUCGUAAGUCUCGUGAAUCCAAUAAUAAAUAGGGCUUUAGUAGAGGCGCGAAGCGUGGAGAUUGAUAAAUAAAAAGGACACACAGUACCAGACCAAGUAACAAGAUCAGCCUUACCAAAACUGGAUUUUCCAAAGAAAGAGGGUGAUGAGUGGGUGAUUCAAUGUAACCAUUACUUUUCUCUCUGCCCAGUUCCUGAUACAAACAAGACCCAUAUGGUAGUGUUGCACUUUAGUGGGAAAGCCAGUUCAUGGUAUAGAGGCUAGAAUCUGACCCAUGAUCACCCCUGAUCUAAUUGAACUGGUUCAGAGGGUAUUCCCAGAUGCUAGCAGCCUCACCUCACUGCUGCUGAGGAAUGGAAGAGAUUGUACCAAGUCCAUAAUGGUCAAGAUUCCACACAGAAGGGUUAGGUCAAAUCAAGGGCCUUAACUUGGGAUCUCCUGACUUACCUGAGCACUAUUUUAUCACUGCAUGCUUGAGUUGAGGGAAGACAUCAAAGACCUUGUCAUGGCAAUGAAGGCAGUAAGCUUGAUGCAUUUUAUCCAAAGACAUGGAGGUGGCAAUUUCUUAUCAAAAGAAAAGAAAGAAAAGCAGUUUCAAGCCUAACAACCUUCUUACAUACCCUAGCCAGAAUAAGGGAAUUAUGGUCAAGGGAAAAAUGAAAGAGCAUAAGCCAGAAAAUGGAAACUCUCAGAAUAGGAAUGAAGUAUGGGAAGAAAUAAGAGCCUUAGGCCUGUGCUUGACAUGUGUUGAGCUACCAUGGUCAUCAGUGCAAGGUGAAGAUGAACAUAGUAAUAGGUGACAGUGAAGAGAAGGAAGAUGAGAGAUACGUUCCUUAGAAUUAGAAGUCGUCUUCAACUUUCUUCCAGGAAAGCCUUUCACCGAGCGAGCAGCUAAGCCUAUGCCCUCAGACAUUGAUUGCUAUACAGAAUUUAGCAUAAAGUACUUGAAUAUUGAUUAUUAUUCUGAGGCUGAGAGAGCAAGUAACUUAAUGAAGCAAGACUUCGAAGAAAAGGAGAGAAUAAGUGUUGUGUUUCAAGUAGUAAUUGAUAAAGUAUCAAGUAGAGAAGUUCUUCCUAGCUUCUUUUCCAGCAAGAAAACGUAUUGUUCAUACGAAAAGCAAAGUACUUUCUCCAAUCCAACAGAAGAGGAAUUCAGCAAUCAAGUCUACUAAUACAAGUCUAUAGUUUGAGUAGUUGUUUUUUCAGCCGAUUCUCCGAAAUUGAAGACAAUUAUCCUCACUCAAACUUCAAAAAGUCCCUUUUUCUUUUUCUGAUGUAAAUUCUGUCUGUCUCCUUUGUCCUUCCUAACGCUAGUCUAGUCUCCUUCGUUCCACUCGUCCUUGCUUUUUUUUCUUCUUCCUAUCGUCAAAGAAAUAGGUUCAGUUGUUCGACCUCCCAAAGGUUAAAGAAAGACAUCGAUAUUAACCCUCCGGAUGAUGAUAUGCCCCAACCAUCUAUACCCCAUGGUUCGUUACUCGGGAAUUCGGAGAGGUCAGAUGAGAUAGAUGGGUGUGUUCAAAAUGGAUUGAUCCCCUUUCUCAUGUUUUCAUUUAUGUUGUCCACAAACGAAUAAAGAGUCUGAAAAGACGUACGCAUAACAGACUCGGUACCUAGGUCAAUGGGUUCAGUGGAGAAUUGCGCAUAGAAAGGAGCAAGAAAACGUAUGCGCUUUAGCAACAAAGCGCUCAUCCCUUGUUCUUUCGCUUGGAAGCUCAAUCCCCUCGCUUCUUCUUUCGCUUCUACGCUUCUUCUUUCGCUUCUACGCUCGUGCUUUCAGCAAGUUCGUACCAGUCGUCAGUCAAGGAGGGAGCUCCAACCUCCGUGCCUAGCCACAACCUAAACGCUGGUUCUAUCCCGGCCAAGCAAGGGGAACCCGGUGGGAAGAGGGAAAGAAAGAUCAGGGGAAGAAGCAGGGUAGAGGAAUUGGUCGACUCAUCAGGCUCAUGACCUGAAGACUGCAGGUUCGAAUCCUGUCCCCGCCUAAUCACGUCAGAUACUUGUACGAGUCCUGAUCACCUUGGUAAAAGAAUCUAUGUUCAAGUCGCCUGCCUAACAAAUAGACGACUACGUACUGUAGUUAGUCUGUUCCGUUGGUCCGAUCCGAAAGUGUUGCUGUGUAAAAUAGAGAUUGUGUGGGUGUUCAGUCUCACAAUCUCCUCCUUUUUUGUUCUGGCUAGUUAGAGCAGAGGACUUAAAAUCCUCUUUUGCUUAGGACUAAAAAUCCUAACAGAGUGGUUCGAAUCCACCUCAGAACAAGAGCGAGCCUGAACGAAACCUAACGCUGCGCUUGACUGGGAAGACUGUUGCGCUCCGUGCGGGUAAUAGCAAGAGAGUGAAGAACGAACGAUACUAAAAAAAGUAAGCAGUGAAUGAGUCCGACUCGAGUUCGUGGGUCAAAGGCGAAAGGUAGAUUCGGAAAGGAUAGGAUCCUCCUAUCAUGAUGAUUAAGGGAAGAGUGAGUUGAAAGAGAUAGAGAUGGUUCUUUUGUUCGGGAGACAACCAUUGUAGAUUCCAGCCGAGAAGACCAGGAAAAGAGAAGGAUAAAGAAUGUCAUAUAUCUCAGGAGCUAGAUCACUUCCCGAUGAACAAGUAAGAAUUGCCUCAACAAAAAUGGAUGGAAUUGGACCGAAAAAAGCCAUUCAGCUUUGUUAUCGAUUAGGUAUCAGUGGGAACAUCAAGAUUCAUGAGUUAACUAAGUAUCAGAUCGACCAAAUUGAACAAAUGAUAGCUCAAGAUCAUGUUGUUCAUUGGGAAUUGAAGAGGGGAGAACGAGCAGACAUCGAACGAUUAAUUUCUAUUUCUCGUUAUCGUGGAAUUCGUCAACAAGAUGAAUCGCCAUUACGUAGUCAACGAACUCAUACUAAUGCAAGGACUGCUCGCAAGCAAAUUCGGAAAUGAAAGAAGGCUACCGAAAGAACAAGCAACGGAUUGAGCGCUCAUCCCUUGCGCCUGCGCAUACGUUUUCUUGCUCCUUGCAAGUCAAGUAGAGUAGUACUUGUCUGAUCAAUCACACUGUUCAAUUCAAUAGUUCUUUUUUUAUUUUUCGUUCGAUGUCUUGAAUCGCUUACUAAUCACGUAUACGUUUAGUAGGCCCCCUUCGCCACUCCACGUCUGGCACGUCUUGGUCUCGCUCACUUCGCCCGCCUAUCGUAUCGGUUCGGCUUCGUCCGUCAAGUGACAGCUUCACUAUCGCUCAUGACUGGUAGUUGUCUCUAUCUCUAUGUAUAUGUAGUAGUCGUAGUCGGCCUUUGUUAAGCUUCGCCAGAAGCGACUAGUCGCUUCCCGAAUGCCUCUUUCUUGUACUAAUUAAUGUGUAUGGUCUAGUCUUUCCAAUGCCUCUUUCCUUGCCGCCAACGCACGCUAGAUGGAGAGUAAGCAAGCUACCUUGCUUGCAUUCGUUAAACGGUAGCUCCCACGCCCUUCCUGCCUGCAGAAAUUUAUGUGAAUGAUCGUGUCUUCGACAUCAAUUUCAGUCUGAUUAGAUAUGUCAUUGAAACAAAUCUGUUUUGUCUUUGUUUUAUUUUCGGAUGAUAAGGAUGAGCCAGCCGAUCCUAACAUAAUUUUGGAGGAGCCGGGCGACGAAGCCUCCAAAUCUGAUAAGGAUGUCUCCGACGCGACCGGACUGCAACUAUAUAUGGGGUCCGGAGGGAAAAAAAGAUAUGCUAUUUCCUAUCAGUCCCAAGCGGAUACCCCCCAGCUUCCACGGUCCGCUUACCGAGGAAGAGAUGCAGGAGGACCCAGGGCCAGAGCAAGUUGGGUUGGGGUAUAGAGCCGUAAGCGCGGUGGGGGUGACAGAGGAUGUGCUCGUACGGUUCAUAGUUGGGUAUGAUAUUCUCGUGGAUUGUUGGGAACGUCCUCUAUAUUCGAAAUAUGCCUUUCUAGGAGCAUUACGAUCUGCAGCUCAAAUGGUCUCUUAUGAAGUCUCUAUUGGUCUUAUUCUUAUUGUGCGCCUUGUGAGCACGUUUGGAUCCGCGAAGGCAAUCGCUCGGAUCUUCCCCUAACCCAACCCGGGAACGGACCGGAGGGAACCGCAGCAUGAGGAAUGUCCGCGUCUCAUCGCAAGGCUCGUUUUGAGUUUUGGGUCAUAGGGCGGGCAGUCCGGGGCACAAGGGUCCUGGUACUACCCAGGUGCGAAGAACCCCGGAGGUGACUGCAAUGAGAAAAAAUGUCACUCACCGGCCUAAACGACAAGCAAACACUCGAACGUGAGAGCAAGGGAUCACCCAACGAAUGGACGAGCUCCAAGGAGGGAGGCAAGAACCAUGCUUUCAGAGAAGUGGCGGUCUGAAUCCACUCUGACAAAAGAAAAUAACUGACAAAGCCGUAAGGGGGGCUCCACACGGGACGGGGCCAAGGCCUUCAUGUAUGGGUGACAGAUCGGCCAUAGGAGUACUCCGGGAUAUACACCAGGGCAACUAAUGUCGAGCAUACGAUGAUGCCACCCGUUUUCAUUUCGUGAAAGUCCCCGGCAGAGGAAAGGGCUGUAGGUGAUGGCGCGUUCUGCUUCUUAGGGAUAGGGCGAUGAAAUCGUUCCUAUGGGAUCGUGCGUGGCAGCUGGUAUAGAUGAUGAUGAAAGGCGGGCCGCUUGAACCGGGACCUAUUCUCAUAAUAGGCAGCAAGCAAAGCUAAAUAGGAAAGGGUGCGACGCUGCCUUUUUCGUCAAAAUAAAAAAGGGUGGAAUGUGGAGCUAAUAUGGCUGGCUACAAGUAUAGCCAAAGAAAGAUGAGACGAGACGGACUGUCAGAGGACACAGCGGGACUACCAGGGGAAAGCCCGCCCUCGCUAGCUAACAUAGAUAUCUAUUCUCGGUGCGCAUAUUAGAGAUUUAGAAUCUCUUUCCGACCAGGCCAGGCCGAAUCGGGCCACCACUUGGGAUGGGAAUGGCUCAGCCCACAUGCAUCAUUUGAUGAAAGCACUCCAGUCCAGUCGCCUUCGAUCAGUGGCUUGUCAACCACCAGACCGUACCUCCUCACCAAAUGCCCCUGCGUUGGGGCAACACAGCACAUGACUAGUUCGCUCAAGGACCACACCCUCUCGAGAGUAGGAUGCCGGCCGAGAUGGAGCACCAACCUAGACUUUCCUUGGGCUUGCCCUAAUACAAUAAAGGGCGGGCGCCGAAAAGGAAGCAGUGACGCCUUUUCGACGAAAGCUUAGCUUGCUUGGUAGGCGUUGCUUACUCACCCUACUCCCUUAGACAAUGCAAUGCUCUGAACACGAAAGUUUGCAGUUCAGCCCUCUUCUCCCAUGCAGAGUCGUAGGCAGCGCCUAGGAUAAAAGCACGGACGAGCCACAUGCAGGGAAACUUGCACGUGUGGUUCUGGCCGGGGACCCCGGUAUACUGUACUAAUAUGUGUAGGUCCCUGUAAUUCGAGUGAGAUUGUCAUGGCGCAAAAGCAGAUAUGGUCCGGUAUUCCCUUGUUCCCCGUAUUGGUUAUGUUCCUUAUUCCUCGUCUAGCAGAAACUAAUAGAGCUCCGUCUGAUCUCCCAGAAGCGGAAGCUGAAUCAGUUGCAGGCUAUAAUGUAGAAUAUGCGCGGGAUGCGAUCCUUAAUAGUUCACUGUUGGCGGAAGCCAAUGUCUUGGGACUCAUUCUGACUUAAACAAGGGGUGGGUCUUUACCAAACCAACUUCCAAAUCCAAGAUUUAGGGAAAAAAAGAGGGGCACUCUUCAUUCGAAACUCAUGAAGAGGUUUUUGCCUUUUUAUCAAAAAGGGGAGUUGGGUAAAGCAAACUCCCUCCUUGGACGAGCACGGGGCUUAGUCAAGUAGAACCGGGUUGCGCUGCUUGAUGCUCCGAUCGAAAACAAAUCAGUGGGGCCAUGCCGGUACGACGGAAUAUGCGUUAGAAAGGUCAAUCCCUCCCCCCUUUCUUUUUUUUAAUGAAAAACCGGGCCGAACUUAUAUUAUAAAAAGCAGCCCACCCGCUUCCAUAGAACAAUAUCGCCGCAACGUAGACCUAAGUGGAUUUAUUGGAUCCUAGGGAACCAUCACAAGUACGGCCGGCCGGCCUGCCUAUAGAACGAGAAUGCCGUGUCGUCCAGCGGAGCUUAGAAGAAGGUGACUCGGAGCCUAAGGAAGGUGACUCGCGCAGACAGCUGACUCCUUUUCAAUAGAAAGGAAUAGCCAAACCUACCCAGCUGGCUGGUCAAUCUCAGUGAUCUUAUCGGCCGGCAAAGCGGAGACGGACGACCACGGUCCCGACCUUACCAGCACCGUAGGUUUACUAAUCAAUGAAGCCCCUCAACUUACUAUCUUUUCUUACAAACUCAACCAAGCCUAACCAAACCCCAUGCUAACGACAUGUUCUUGAUAUUGAUUGAGUUGGAGGCAGUCAGAGACUACCACGGAAUCCUUCCAUAGUCACCCCGGUGACCUUCGUCACCAAAGCGUCACGAUAGUUUCAAAGACCCCUCAUCUCCAGUGGGGAUCAGUCGGAGCACGUAGGAAUGCCGACCACUACAUAAGCCACGUCUGGCUGAGGCGAGCAACAAGCGGGGGGGAGUCUUUUGAAGUACAAGAACGUUGGGGUGGGACGCUAGUACUUAAACUAGGGUUGCUUCUUAGCGCUAAUCUUGCGUUUUCAGCAGUUAGUUGUAGCGCGCCUUCCCUCCUUCUCUCAUUUCGGAAAGAUUUGGCAGUAUUUUCUUAUGAUGACUGUAAUACCCACUUUGUACCAAAAACAUGGUAUUCCUUUAUAUAUGGGUGUUAUCUAUAUUUAACAUUUCAUGAGAACAUCACAUGAAAACAAAUAAAUAAAUAACGAAAGACACCAAAAUAAAUCUAGCAUCAUGCCGAGUUUUACUUGAUUGUGCAUUUGUGGUUAAUAAAAUAAACGUGUCAUUAAUAGCAUAACAAUGAACCCAUAGAAUUUAAACCCUAACUUGAAAAUAAAACCAUGAAAAUGGAGAAGGAGAGAAAGAAAUAUCAUAUAACACAAAAUAAAUUUUAAACAUAUAACUUUAUCACAUUUUGGUAUAACCAAGUGGAACAAUUAGACUAAGUACAAACGUGCUGCAAAGUUGGAUUUAAAUUGAGGUUUUGAAUUUAGAAUUCAAAAUAAAUAGAGAACAAAAUAGAAAAUAAAAAAAAAGAAAACAGAGAGCCGCCACUUGGGCCAGGAAAGCAUUUUGAGCCCACUGUCCAUUUCCUUGCGCGCGGCCCGGGAUGGAAAACCAGCGCCGACACCCCUACCCCACGCGGCAGCCACCCCAUCGCGUGCCUCUUCUGUUAGCCACUGAACAGCGGGGCCCCCGGUCAGCUCCUUCUCCUUCCUACCCGCACGCGCAGACGAAACAGAACCCGCCGUUCUCCCCGCUGGUUGUUCGCAACAGACGAUGUGCAUAGCUCACGUGCCUUCGACUGAUCCUUCUUCCCCUGCUUUCUCGGCAACAAAUUAGGUGCCCAGUAACCGUCGUCUUAACUAAAUGAGCGCAAAACCCGGUCAGAUAGGUCCUUGCCGUCGGCACGAUAUUGGCGGGGACUUUGAUCGUGGGCUUCAAAUGGAUGCCGCAUUGCCCUCCGCGUGAGUCGCACUUAGAUUAGCUCCAGUUCACGAAUUCCCAUACGCCACUGGAUUGAGAGAAGAAGAAAGCGUCGGAGGGAAAACGCGAGAGAAAUAGGUGAGGGAGGGAGAGUAGAUCCGUCGUUGGCGCGCGCAGUCGUAGUAGCCCUGGCCUCGUCAUGAUGCUCUAGUGCGGCGGCGCUGUGCUCUGGUGCUCCAACCGCUUUCGAUUCCGUCGAGGGGGGACGCAUGGGUCGGCUUGGUCAUCUCUUAAUUGCUCGUCGGACUUUGGAGAUCACCUUCUCACCACCAUGCGUCGACACCGGGACUUACGCUCCACCUGUGCCGGUAAGGACCGCUUCAUGUGUUUCGUUUCUACCUUCAUAUCAUGUUGCGUCUCGCCGAUGUCCAUUUCGAGCACUAGUGCGCUGGGGCGGAGAUCGCUGGUGAGCUCGCCUGGUGGCGAUGGCGGCGCCGUCGUCUGCGAGCUGGGUAUGGAGGGCGAUGGCUAUGCAGCCUUUCGAUUAGAUACGUGCGGCCCUGAUCACCUCAAACACAUCCCCUUUGCCUCAUCGAAGCUGGGCCAUUGAUUCUUGAUCCGUCCACCGUGAACACUCGCGAUGGUAUGUUAACCGGGGAACGUUAGAUCGGGAUCCAACGGUUGUGAUUGUGUCCGGUUCGGGGUGAUGAAGAUCUAAUCUAGGCCAUCAACGCUGAUCCAACGGCCGUGAUCCCGCGAUACCCCUUCGCGGGCGCAGAUUAACACAAAGGCCCCUGUGUUUUAGAGAAAUGAACCCGCCAUCCUGCGCUGUAUGGCUUAGUGCCUUAGGAAGAAUUACCCUGUGACCCCUGCGUUUCUCUGUUUUAGUGCACGCAGUCCAGAGAGCAGGUGGUUCAGGAGGAGCCACAAGGCGAGGAGUAUGAUCUGAUCUAGGUGGCGUUUCUCAGUCGACAUUUGCGCCGGCGAUCCUUAGUUCGUUUUAUAUUUACUCUUUUAUUUUGUAAUAAGUCUUCCGCUAUGUAAUAAAUACUCUGAUGUUAUUGUGACAUUUAUCUCUAUACACUCUGUUAUUAUAUAUGAUGUCUUCUUUGGCGCAUGUAUGAGACGCACCCGGCUUUGUCCUUUAAAAUCGAGUGUUACAGAAGUGGUAUCAGAGGAAAUGUUGACCGUAGGACGAAACCUAGAUAGAAAUGGACAACCCUUACCUACUUAUCUCAUUCUGAUUCAUUCUAUACUUACCUUACUCUGGAUCUCUCUAUACUUAUCUUGAGCCCGUCUCACCUUCUACUGUUCUACUCUGAUCAUUCUUACCUUUUCUAAUCUGGGACAAGAUGGAUUUCACACCUUGGAAUCCUACAUUUAUGACCUUCUUAGAAUAUAGGAGGCCUAAGACAAAAUCAAAACUAUUUUCUCUAUUUAAAAAUGUUGGUUGAUUGUUCUGAUGAUCAAUGCUUGAUUUGCUUCUUUGAUUGAUUGAAAUAGUAUAGACGGACAUCUUAGCAUGUUCCACCAUAAGGUAAUGAAUUAGCUAUGGUAGGUAAAACAUUAAUCUGCUUAGCUAAUAUAUCCCCCAAAGUAACAUGCCUCGUGAUUACAUGCCUUGUCUACAAUUCUUCCUUUCUUACCCUAUGUUUCUAACCCAGAUGGGCUACCCCUAUAUUGUUAGAAGAGAAACAAUAUAGACGUGAUCCUUGGUAUGUCAUGGUUAAGAAAGGAAAAGGCUAUUUAUACACUGUGCUAAAGGAACCAUAGAACUCACCAGUUCUAAAGGAGAAAGAUUUGAAGUUGGAAUUGCAGUAACUACCGCCACCAGACUAGCGGCAUUCUUAGUAGAUGGGAAGUUUGUUGGUGUCAACAUCCGUGUGGUUAUAGAUUUUCCGGAUGUCCUCCCAGAAGAGUUACCACGGAUGCCACCAUAUACGAAAGUUGAGUUUGUCAUAGAUCUCUUACCUGGAACUGCUCCUAUUUCUAAAUGGACAUGGACAUAUAGGAUGUCUGUAGAAGAGUUAAAAGAACUCAAGAAGCACUUAACGGAGUUGGAAGAGGCUGGGUACAUUCAUCCGAGUCUUCACCUUGGAGAGCACCAGUUUUGUUUGUAAAGAAGAAAGAUGGAUCGCAAGGGAUGUGCGUGGAUUAUAGGUUCCUUAACGAUGUCACUGUGAAGAACAAGUUUCUGUUACCCCGCAUUAAGGAUUUAUUUAAUCGGAUGAGAGGUGCAAGUGUAUUCUCGAAGAUUGAUCUUCGAUCGGGUUACCAUCAAAUGAAGAUUAGGCCAUCGGAUAUUCCCAAGACGGAUUUCUCAACCCGAUAUGGAUUAUACGAGUUUACGGUUAUGUCAUUUGGAUUAACUAAUGUACCAGCCUAUUUUAUGGAUCUGAAGAAUAAGAUGCUCAUGGUUUGGACAGAUUCAUCGUGGUUUUCAUCGAUAAUAUUUUUUUAUUCCAAGAGAGAUAGCGAUCAUGAGGAAUAUCUGAUAUUGGUGCUACAAGAAGCUACGAGAUAAUCAACUCUACGCCAAGUUUAGCAAAUGCGAGUUUUGGAUUGACGAGGUGCCAUUCCUAGGACAUAUCAUUUCUAAUGGCGGAAUAUCAGUGGAUCCUGCUAAAGUCAAGAAGAUAGUGGUGUGGAGCAUACCCACUACAUUUACGAAGAUUCAGAGUUUCUUGGAACUUGCAGGAUAUUAUCGGAGAUUUAUUGAAUGAUUUUCUAAGAUUGCUAAACCUAUGACUUCGCUUUUGGAGAAAGGAAGAGAAUUUAAGUGGGACGAGAAGUGCCAAGACAGCUUUGAGCAAUUGAAAAAGAGGUUGAUGUCGCCGCCAGUAUUGGUUAUGCCAGAUCUACAGAAGGGAUUUGACAUUUAUUGUGAUGCAUGUGGCCAAGGCUUAGGAUGUGUGCUCAUGCAAGAAGGACAUGUGAUCGCCUACGCAUCUCGUCAGUUGCAGAAACAAGAGUUAAACUACCCCACUCAUGACUUGGAACUAGCAGCCGUUGUGCAUGCGCUUAAGAUAUGGAGACAUUACAUUAUGGGAACAAAGUGCCAAGUGUACAUGGAUCAUAAGAGUUGGAAGUAUAUAUUCACUCAGAAGGAUCUCAACCUUAGGCAACGCCGUUGGUUGGAGCUCAUUAAGGAUUAUGAUUUGGAGAUUCACUAUCACCCAGGCAAGGCAAAUUUGGUUGCAGAUGCCUUGAGUCGAAAGGAGCACGUUCAUUCAGCUGUUGUUGCCCAGCUACUCAAUGAGAUUGUUGAGGAUUUUAGGAGACUUAACCUGGGGAUAGUUGCUCACACUGAAGGAGUUAUUAUUGAUAUGGAAUCUACCUUGGAGCAAGAAAUCCGCAAAGGACAAAUUGGUGAUGCAAAGAUACAAGAGAUCAAGGAUCUGAUUACUAAAGGUCGAGGUCCAGAAUUCACAAAAGAUGAGCAAGGCACAGUAUGGUUCAAGGAUCGGAUAUGUGUUCCUGAGGUUGAUAGUUUUUGUGAGACUAUUUUAAAGGAAGCCCAUGACUUGGAUUAUUCUAUUCAUCCUGGUAGUACCAAGAUGUAUCAGGACUUAAAGCAGAAGUGCUGGUGAUAUGGACUGGAGAGAGAUAUGGCUGCACAUGUGGUUAUGUGCGAUGUGUGCCAAAGAGUUAAGACCGAUCACCAAAGACUAGCUGGACUAUUACACCCACCAAAGAUGUCCAAGUGGAAGUGGGAAGAGAUUGGCAGGGACUUCAUUGUUGGAUUACCCCGCACAUCUGCUGGGUAUGAUUCUAUAUGGGUUAUUGUGGAUAGACUGACCAAAGUGGCUCAUUUCAUUCCGGUCAAGACUACUUAUAAGUGAUCUACAUUGGUUGAGUUAUAUAUGGCUCGGAUUAUGUCCCUACACAGUGUACCGAAAAAAGAUCAUUUUGGAUAGAGGAUCACAGUUUACCUCCAGAUUUUGGAAAAGUUUUCAUGAGAAAAUGGGUGUGAAGUUGAAUUUUAGUUUGGCCUACCAUCCUCAGACUGAUGGACAGACUGAAAGGACUAAUCAAGUAUUGGAGGACAUAUUGAGAGCUUGUGCCCUUCAGCAUGGUAGUAGUUGGACAAGAGUCUACCUUAUGCUGAGUUCUUAUAUAAUAAUAGUUACCAGGCCAGUCUGAAGAUGUCACUGUUCGAGACUCUAUAUGGCAGGAAAUGCAGGAUUUCUCUACAUUGGAUCAGACUAGAGGAAGACAGUUCUUUGGACCUGAACUUAUUCAAGAGGCAGAAGAACAAGUCCGUAUAAUUCAGGAAGAAUUUGAGGGUAGCUCAGACCAGGCAAAAGAGCUACGCUGAUGAUAGAAGAAGACCACCGGAGUUUGAGGAAGGUGAUCAUGUGUACCUCAAGGUGUCACCACUUCGUGGAAUGAGGAGAUUUAAGGUUAAGGGCAAAUUGUCCCCUUGCUUUAUUGGACCAUUCUGAGUUUUUAGGCGAGUUGGAAAGAUGGCCUAUCAACUUGAACUACCUGAUAAUCUAUAUGAUGGGCAUAAUGUAUUCCAUGUGUAUUAACUUAAGAAGUGUCCUAGUGUCCCGAGAAAUAAGGUUAUAAAGAUGUGUAAAGUACAAUGGAACCAUCAUGGAGAAGAUGAAGCUACUUGGGAGAGAGAGAAAAGGAGCUUCGCAUAGAUUUUUCCCAUCUUUCCACUAGACUUUCCUAAAUCUCGAGGACGAGAUUCUUUUUAAGGGGGGUAGGAUUUGUAAUACCCACUUUGUACCAAAAACAUGGUAUUCUUUUAUAUAUGGGUGUUAUCUAUAUUUAACAUUUCAUGAGAACAUCACAUGAAAACAAAUAAAUAAAUAACGAAAGACACCAAAAUAAAUCUAGCAUCAUGCCGAGUUUUACUUGAUUGUGCAUUUGUGGUUAAUAAAAUAAACGUGUCAUUAAUAGCAUAACAAUGAACCCAUAGAAUUUAAACCCUAACUUGAAAAUAAAACCAUGAAAAUGGAGAAGGAGAGAAAGAAAUAUCAUAUAACACAAAAUAAAUUUUAAACAUAUAACUUUAUCACAUUUUGGUAUAACCAAGUGGAACAAUUAGACUAAGUACAAACGUGCUGCAAAGUUGGAUUUAAAUUGAGGUUUUGAAUUUAGAAUUCAAAAUAAAUAGAGAACAAAAUAGAAAAUAAAAAAAAAGAAAACAGAGAGCCGCCACUUGGGCCAGGAAAGCAUUUUGAGCCCACUGUCCAUUUCCUUGCGCGCGGCCCGGGAUGGAAAACCAGCGCCGACACCCCUACCCCACGCGGCAGCCACCCCAUCGCGUGCCUCUUCUGUUAGCCACUGAACAGCGGGGCCCCCGGUCAGCUCCUUCUCCUUCCUACCCGCACGCGCAGACGAAACAGAACCCGCCGUUCUCCCCGCUGGUCGUUCGCAACAGACGAUGUGCAUAGCUCACGUGCCUUCGACUGAUCCUUCUUCCCCUGCUUUCUCGGCAACAAAUUAGGUGCCCAGUAACCGUCGUCUUAACUAAAUGAGCGCAAAACCCGGUCAGAUAGGUCCUUGCCGUCGGCACGAUAUUGGCGGGGACUUUGAUCGUGGGCUUCAAAUGGAUGCCGCAUUGCCCUCCGCGUGAGCCGCACUUAGAUUAGCUCCAGUUCACGAAUUCCCAUACGCCACUGGAUUGAGAGAAGAAGAAAGCGUCGGAGGCAAAACGCGAGAGAAAUAGGUGAGGGAGGGAGAGUAGAUCCGUCGUUGGCGCGCGCAGUCGUAGUAGCCCUGCCUCGUCAUGAUGCUCUAGUGCGGCGGCGCUGUGCUCUGGUGCUCCAACCGCUUUCGAUUCCGCCGAGGGGGGACGCAUGGGUCGGCUUGGUCAUCUCUUAAUUGCUCGUCGGACUUUGGAGAUCACCUUCUCGCCGCCAUGCGUCGACACCGGGACUUACGCUCCACCUGUGCCGGUAAGGACCGCUUCAUGUGUUUCGUUUCUACCUUCAUAUCAUGUUGCGUCUCGCCGAUGUCCAUUUCGAGCACUAGUGCGCUGGGGCAGAGAUCACUGGUGAGCUCGCCUGGUGGCGAUGGCGGCGCCGCCGUCUGCGAGCUGGGUAUGGAGGGCGAUGGCUAUGCAGCCUUUCGAUUAGAUACGUGCGGCCCUGAUCACCUCAAACACAUCCCCUUUGCCUCAUCGAAGCUGGGCCAUUGAUUCUUGAUCCCUCCACCGUGAACACUCGUGAUGGUAUGUUAACCGGGGAACGUUAGAUCGGGAUCCAACGGUUGUGAUUGUGUCCGGUUCGGGGUGAUGAAGAUCUAAUCUAGGCCAUCAACGCUGAUCCAACGGCCGUGAUCCCGCGAUACCCCUUCGCGGGCGCAGAUUAACACAAAGGCCCCUGUGUUUUAGAGAAAUGAACCCGCCAUCCUGCGCUGUAUGGCUUAGUGCCUUAGGAAGAAUUACCCUGUGACCCCUGCGUUUCUCUGUUUUAGUGCACGCAGUCCAGAGAGCAGGUGGUUCAGGAGGAGCCACAAGGCGAGGAGUAUGAUCUGAUCUAGGUGGCGUUUCUCAGUCGACAUUUGCGCCGGCGAUCCUUAGUUCGUUUUAUAUUUACUCUUUUAUUUUGUAAUAAGUCUUCCGCUAUGUAAUAAAUACUCUGAUGUUAUUGUGACAUUUAUCUCUAUACACUCUGUUAUUAUAUAUGAUGUCUUCUUUGGCGCAUGUAUGAGACGCACCCGGCUUUGUCCUUUAAAACCGGGUGUUACAAUGACCUGGUCGAGAGAGUACAAAACAUCGGUGUAAAAGAUUGAGUGGGAUGGUUAUGGUUAUAGUAAGGGGCGAACCAAGUGCUUGCGCGAAGAAGCGAAUCAAUUAGAAUGGAGACAAGGAGAGGCGAAACUCAACUAAAAUGGAAAAGGGAACUCGACUAUCAUGAGCGAAGUGAGGGAAUUCCUUCUGAUUGGGUCCCUUAGGGGAGAGACAGAAGGUAUUAUUAAAUAGAAUCAGAUCUUUGACGAUCCAGUAUUAGCUAGUGAGUGUAUGGACUCAGACUUUGGUGACUCCCUAGUGGCCAGGGAAGCGUUAGCUUCACCCUUUGAACGUCUCAUUUACUCUCUCUAGCUCUCGACUUUACGUAUAGGAAUUUAAGGUACAUUGGUCGAUGAAAGUGAACAUCUAUCUUAUCUUACGCCACUUACUCUACCUUUACUUUGUGGAAGACGUCCGAUUGAAUGAUCUCCAGUGGGUUCUAUUACCAUGUGUACCCAGCCUGCUUCCUUCUUUUUUACCAGCCUCUCUGCUUCUGUCAGUAUAGAGGAAAGUCUUCAAUCCAAAUAAAAAAGGAAAAAAAUACCUAGCAUGACACAUCAGCUACACCAUCAGAGCCUGUCCACUUGCUAGUCAGGAAAAAGAACCGCUCCGUUCCGUGGGCUUCUUUCGCAGCUCUCUUCACGCUCGCUUUACGAGUGCAACCAAGUUCAAUAAACUGUGAAUGCUAAUUUAAUUCAUAGACUAUGUUGGUUUCUAUCUAAGAGUCCUGUGAGACGCUUUCCUUCUCAUACACAUCUGAAGGAACGUUUGAUCAUCAGCAUUAGAGAGUUUUGCAGGUCCUUGAGAGAACGUUAUCCAGCCACCAUACCAUGGUCUGAGGUGAAAGAAAUUGGUCCUAGUCCAUAAAACGAAAGGUGCUGGGCAAGCGCAGAGAAGUCGUCUGAAGGGGAGUUCCAUAGGAAUGUUCAACUUCGAUCAACCUUGGUCCCAUGCCUAAAAAAGAAAGAAGGUAAAAAAUAGGGGUGAUAUAAUCCACUGCUCGCCUAAGAAUGUACUGACGUAAUCCCUACUAUGGCUUCCCGAAGGAUCCAGCAGCUAAGAGGGUCCGAGCCAUAACGGAUUGAUGUGACCGUAGCGGUGACUGGAAUCGAUCUGAAUGAGGCAGUUAUGGGACUUAUCUUAUCUAACAUAAAAUAUAUAUAUUAUAUAUGGAGGAAGGAUUCAAAAAAGGUGGGGGUCAAGGUGUAUAAUACGAGCUCCACUUUCAGGCAAUGAGCUAGCUUAACCCUGAUUGCUUAAGGUUUAAUACAGUCAUGUUGGAUCUGCUACUAAUACUAAGAAAGGCAGAGAAAGACUAAUUGCGACAGCUCAACCGGAUGAGACAUCUCUUUCUUAUUUACAGAACUGUGCCAACGUGUGCCUACAUUGUUUGAUUUACCAGUUCCGGGUAUUGGAUUUUGGAAUAGAAAGAAUGAAACUAGUACCAGCUUAUCGCCAACUGUGCUUUCUACCAACUCCGCCAACCCCAGACGGGAAUAUUUCUUUUUUUUAUAGCCGCACCUGAGCCCGCAACUGCUGCCUCUACUCCGCCUACUUCUUGUGCCGACUUCGCCAGCCUCGCAGGGUACCGAUUUCCUCCUGCUUUGUGUGCGUGCCAUUGACUCCUUUAAUGGGUCGAAACCUACUUAGUUCUUUUUUUCGUCUAUACAAGAAAAGAAGGAUUUGUGUUUAGCAAGACAGAGAAUUUAAUAAGUAAAAAAAAGUGUGUACCCUUUACCGAAAAGCAAAUAUGACAGAUAGGGUACGGCAUAUUGCUUUUUCCUGAUUGAUCUAGUUGACGACAGUUGACUUGUUGGACCGAUUGUGGAGUGGAUUGGAAUAGAAGUUUCUUAUAUACAUAUAUUCGUGUUUACUGAUUUCGCAUACUAGGAAUGGAACUUAACUUGAUGUAACCCAUUGGAAACUCUCUUUGAGACUCAUUAUCUGUUAUAUACGACAGGCUAAUUAAGUCCUUAAAUUAUUGAGAAGAAAGGAGUCUUUCCUUACACAAAACUGUUAUGUUAUUAUGCUGCUCGUGCAAUCAAAACUUAGAAUAGAAGAAAAAGAGUUCCCUCGAGACGCAUCCUCUUCUCCUUCGCUUGUGUGACUAUCAUGAGAAGAAUUCCAUUCCAAGAAGUAAAAUAACAAGAAAAAGAACGAGGUCAAGAUCUGUUGUUACCAGUACCGACGAAAUGGAGAAAGUGUCAUCCGGGAACGCAAUCUACUACAUUAGUUGGUGUAGCCAAAGAAGAGGAUAUCCCCUUUUUUUACCUGACCCAUUGGUCUUCAGACCAGACCCAUACCAUAGCUACAAACACUUUUGAGUCGGAGGAGACUGGCCAGAUCGCCUUCUUGAGGCUCUCUGGGCUUAUCGGACGUCAAUCUGUAUAGAGCCACUGGUCAAACACCCUUCUCCUUAGUCAUUGGCAUGGACGCCAUUCUUCCCAGUGAACUCGACGAUUCCUUCCCUGCGCCGUUCUGCUCGACGACGAUAUGACUGAUAAUCAGAAGCGAGAGGCUCUGCUCUCGAAACUUUACCUCCUCGAUUCAGUGGGAGAAAAAAAAGGUUACGAGCGGCAGAGCAUGCACAAGUCUAUAAACGUCAACUCAGCCGCGCUUAUGAAAAAAACUAAUAUAAAUAAAAAAGAUUUCCAACGCACAGCACCCUAAGGGUCAACUUAAGCCCCUUCCUUAAGGAAAGAUCUUUUUUUAUUGUCAUAGCGGUCAACCCCGGGAACGCGUACCGCCUUGCCAAUGAACAUGGGGAUGAACUUCCUGAACCUUGGAAUGACAUGUACUUGAAAAAGUACUACGCCUGACCGGCUUCCCGGUAAGCCCUGAAAAAUGUUUGGCCUAUCUGAUAUUUGUGCGUAAACCAUAAAUCCAAAUCGAUUCUAGACUGUCUUCCAAUCUACAUGCUUGACUGAGUGAGGAUGUGGCAGCUUUUGUUCACAUCAUAUUCCAUUAGAUAGAAAGAGCUACAAAAGGUGUACCAGAUAGAUUCAUAUAGUAGGCUUAGGCUCAAAUAGCGCUUUGACUGAUAUAGGUAAAAAAUUUUCCAAUUUACAUUACAUCCAGGUCUUAUCUACUUAGUUGUGGGCAUUGCCCCCUGAAAUAGAACUUUUCGCGUCCCCCUGCUUUUGCUAUGGGGCUGGCGGGUUCACUCCUUGCCAUGAAUAGGGCUGGCUCCUUCCCUGAGAUAGAUAGAAGCCAAGCCCACUACACGGUGCGAACUCCUAAAGAAGAGACUGAACUUACUUUCUUUCUUGCUUGCUUGUUCCCUAGGAUUAUGAUUCCUGGGGUUGUUGCUUGCUUGGUUUGUUUAUGCUUAGCAGCGGUUCGUUCAAAAUAAAAAAGGUAGAAGCCGCUCAGAAACGAUGUUCUCUUGUCCCCUCGGGACAGCGCUUUCACUCCUUUCCUCUGAGCUAUACCUAGACCUCCCACUCCCACUCUCACAUGUAGGCGGAGAUGGAGACUCGUUCAAACUUAGUCUACUAAAGGAUGGAGGAUGGAACCUUAAGGAAAUGAACCUAAACCUAUAAAAGUGUCGGGACAUUAAAUAGAUAUAAAAUAAAAUAAUCUUUUAGUCCCUCAAAGUCCAAGUUUAAGAGGCCAGUCCCAAAACAUUUCUUGCAGGACCACCUUUCUCCAGGUCUCUUUUUUAUUGACUUUGGCACCCACACGUAUAAUGUGAGGAGAGGAAUCCAAAUUCGAUGCAUAGUUGUCCCUCUCUUCCCUGAAUUCCUCUGGCAGGAUCCCUUACUGGAAGGGGGGUAAAGUAUCUACGCUCUAGUCGUAUGUAUCCUGAGAAGGGAGUGACCUAAAACGGAGGAAUGCUUGUUCGUCUCAUUCGGAUAUGUAUGGCCGGGGUCUGGUAGCUCCCUAUGACUAUUCCUAUUGGGAUGGCAAUCUCAUCUCGAAUCACAUAUCGUGUGUUCGACGUUCCUUUCGUUCGCAUAUCUUUGAAUCGAAUCAGCUUCUGCGGGCGGGGGAUAACCGAAAUAGAAGUGCUGCCGGGGUGAUUGACCAUUAGGAUCUAGUCUUGUUCCUUAGUUUGGUUUUUCCUACCAAGGAUCCAAUCCAGCUAUGCUAUAAAGUUAUGUUAGUGGCAGAUAUGGAUAGAGUAUGGAUAGAGAAAGUAGCAGCUCGCUUUCUUUCGAAGACGGGGUUGAGAAGAAGGUAAGGCAGCUUCUUCGAUCCAAAUCUUAUGAACAGAUUCAUUCAUUUCAAAUUAAGAAUCAUACGCAACCUCAAAGAAAGAUAGCCCUCCUCUUUACGAGCUUAGUAACGGUAAAUCCGUUCCGUUAAUGGAUGGGCACGAGCGAGGGGCGGUGAUUGGAAUAGUGACUCAUUGGCUAUCAGAUAAGUGAAGCCACCCAAAGCUAUUCUAUUAUCAUAAAUAGAGGUAAGAGCUCCUCAGUUUCGUAUAUAGCCCCCUCCAAUCCAUGGUGGAUUGUCUUGCUUUUCAUCAAAUAAGACCUAGCAGCUUACUUAAAGAAAUGAAAUUCUCGCUAGGGUGCUUGCUAUCGGGGCAAAGCUUUUUCUAUUUAUAUAGGCAGCUCCAUUCCUUGAAAGCCAGUCAAUACUAGAGUAGAGCUCAGAAAUCCUUCCUGGGCAGCCUGGUUCCAGCUCCCUUCAUUCCUCUGUGAGAAUAGUUCACGUAUAAUACUUUAGAGCGAGUAACUAGUCUAUCUAUUCGCCUUUCUAUUCUAGUAAUUCUACGUUCCUCAUUCUAUAUACGAUACGUUCCUCAUUCUAAAGCUAAAGUAGUGACUCUAACUAGAAUAUAAAGACUUCACCUUCAACCCAAGCCAAGCUAUGAAAUAGGGAUCAUGGAAAUCGGGCACACCCGAGUAAAUCUAGACUAGAUGAUCUUGCGAGGCGAUGCCAGACCCAGAGUAUAAUGUCUCCGGGACUAGACUGGCUAGAAGGUAGUGCUUAUUAAUAUCGGAGCUGAAGUGCGGAUCAGUCGUGAGAAAAUAAAAUCCUUUGAAUGGAUCAGUGAGUGUAGGAAAGCCGGUUCCGCAGGAUCACUUAUGUUAUGUGAUUUCGUGGGAGAUGCUUCUGAAUCAAAAGAUGCUGUAAAAGCUCAGAAACGAGGCUUCACAAAUUCUUUUUGGCAUGCCCCCUCUACUUCUACCUGUACCGAUUCAUGGAGUUGACACUAAUCCAUUCUUUCUAUAUUUCUUUCAUUCUCUUUGAUUGGUCAACAAAGAACUUUGACUCGGGCUCUUCCCCUCCCUCUUGGAGGAAUAUAGCCAUCCAUCAAGCCUACCCCAACAUAAACAGGAAUCACCUGAUAAGCUGAGUGAUAAAGCUAUCAAUCUAUCCUUUGACUGGCACUUUAGCAGAAAAUCAUGAAAUAAACCUGGGCCCACUAAAAGUCCUUAUUUAGGGAAUCUUACUUACUUAAGAAAAUAAUCAACUGCCACCACCACAUCAUUAAGGCCCGCACCUUCAAGCCCAGUGGAAUUCUCGUUCGGAUGCUAUUCUCGCUCAAAGAUCUCAAAAUGUCGUAUCAAAAGGAGAGCGUCAAUUCUCUUAUUUCAGCAUCAAUCUGAAAGAGUCUUAGUCCCAUAAGGCCGAAACUUGGAAUUGACUUGAUAGAUCUUCUGCUUGUCUCUCGAGAAACUUUGUAUUGGUCUCCACCUCAGCCCAGUCUAACUCUGCUGAUAGACUGUGUUUAUAUUCUUCUACGAGUAGCCUGCCCAGCAAUGGAAACGUAUGAGCGUUAGUUGGCAAUGGAAAUGGGUGCAAUAAAUCAGGUAUCUAAUCUGGCUAGAGAAAGGCUAACUUCAAAACUCAGGGCUUCUCAUUGAUAGCCAUAGUAAGAGGUUUGUCCUGUUGGUGGUUGAUUCAAAACUACUUCCUCUUGCACAACUAUAAUGGGAACUACUAUAAUGGAAUGGGAGAGGAGAAAAUACUCGAGGAGAGGAAUAUCAACUACGUAAGAAGCUUCCUCAAUAAGAGUGGCUGUGCCAAGACACCCUUGUUGGAAUUGAUCUACUGCCAAAGUGGAGUGGGAAUAUAUAAGAAAGUCGAAUGGAUCUGUGGAACUCCCCCGAAUAAAGGAAUCAAAGAGUGACUCGCCAGACUGGCGAUCAAAACAGAAAUUAUCCUCCGGUCAUCCACUUUCCAUCGAGGGAGAGUCGACUAGCUUAAAGAAAGGUGCCGGAAGAAAGAAAAAGAUCCUAGUCUCCAUUUCAGAGAGUAUAAGCACAGGAAGAAGGUAUCAGGAAUGCUGGUUCGGCGGAAUAGGGUGAUUGGUAAGGCUUCAUCCCUAAAGUUAUUCAACACGUGGCUACUAAGAAAAUUGGAUUCCUUUUUCUAAAGUUAUGCUCGUAAAGCUGCAAAACUAGUAAACUUAUCGACCUAUCAUCCGUUCUUACCUGAGCUGAGUCUUGACUUCACUAUCUGUGACUUAGCCCCACAUUCUUGUGCCAAAGAAAGACAGAAGGAAAGAAACCUAGACUUGGAAUCCCGGCGCCUUGACUUUAUAUGACAAUUCUAGAUGAACUGGGCUAGCUAACCAGACAAGAAGGAGGUCCCGGGCCUGGACCGGCACGAUUCUAGUAAUUAUACGUUCCUCAUUGGAUCUCGUGGAGUGUACUCUUCCCUUUGUUUAAGAAGAAGUUGGUUUAAAGAGUAAGAAACACUUAUAUACCAUAAAUACUCUUUCUCACAAAAAGAUCCAACUUUUCGGAGCGUAGCUUAAGGCCACACCUGUAGAGCCAUGGCCCUCAAUAAUUCUAUAUGCAAACUUAUCCUUGCGGAAUGAGCCAUUCUGGGCAUCAACGAAAGAAUCCAUAAUCAUUGACGAAGAAGACAGCUGUUCAAGUAGUAACUGAGGUGUUGCAUUGAAAUAAAGUAGCAUUGCGAGAUACGAAGAAAGAAGCUGGAAGUCUAUAUGGAAUACGCUCUUUAAGGUCGAUUAAGGCUUGUGUGAAUGUUGAACAUCUGCUACCAAUCAAUCCCAUUCCCAUUCCCAUUCGUAUAUGGUAUAUGACACCUUCUUAAUUGAAAGCAUCUCUCGUCGAAACCGCUGAAGAAUACAUAAGAUAGGCCCACUAGAUUGGCACCCCCGUGGAGUAGGCUAGAGGCUCAUUCGCGAACGUGGAAUCAAGAGGGUUUUUUAUGGAUGUGACAAAUAUAUCUCAAGCUGAGGCCGCUAAGGAAGUGCCAGCACAAUCAUGAACUGCGCCCAUCAGAGCUUCUUCUAGCAACCCAAGAACUCUGGCACGUCUGAGAACCCGUGUAUUCCGCCGUGUAUUCCGUGUUUUCUUCCUGCUUUCUGCUUUCUUGAGGAGAAAAGGGGCUCAUAGAAUUAGAUUCAAAUAGAAUAUGAGUGAAUAUCUUUCGUUGCGCACCAGUUUACGAGCAAGCAUCCUUCGUUUGGUACGGAACAGGAAAGGGAAUUCGAAGAAAUCGUAUCUUUCAUAAGCAUCGUUGGUCCGAUCUGCUCAAAAAUAGAAAUGAAAUGGUGAACUUGCCUUAGAGAAAGAGGAAUUCUUACUUCCAAUCGGAAUCGUUUUUAGGCAAUACAGGGAACCGUCCCAAAGGGGCUAAAGUAUGUGUGGGUCUCUCUCGUCGAGUAGACCUUUUCUCGCUCUCUUUUUCUUGCAAGAGUUGUACCAGCGUUGAGUGAGGGGUUGGAUCAAAUCAAGAAGCUCAGCAUUGAGGGAUCAAGUCUUGCUUGAAUCGAUUUUCUUUGACUGCCUGAGUGCAUAUCCUCACUCUGUCUCCAGCUUUUCCGAAGGAUUGCUUAUCCCAUGCUUUGAGCGCUAGUUUGGUCUAAAACAGUUUCUUCUUUUUUCAGAAACAUUGGAUUUCCUGUGACCGGGAGCUUUCUUCACUACGGGGUGGGUUUCCACAUGCUCAAUUCAUGGCUUUGGUCCAGAGCUGGCAGCCGGAAUAAGAUGAGGAUUGGGGCAUGAUCACUGCAGCCCCGCGUAAGAUAUUCAGCACAGGAAAGGAAGCUUCAUGCUUUUGGAUCCACUCAGGAUUCACUAAGGCUCGCUCUAGUCUGCCGACGAUGCGUCUGGCCCCACCGGAUGGAUUGCUCCAAUAGAGUAAGUGCCCCGAGGAACGAGAUCGGUCAGGUUCGCAUUCUGCAGACAGUCAAGAAAUCCAUGUUUCUGGCACCUUCUACCGGAGAAAUAAGAGAUUCUUGAAUCGAAAUCAAUGAAUCAGAUUUUACCUUUGGGAUGGGAAGUAGAUUGCUGGAGAAAAAACUUCUAGAGUGAAAUGAACAACUAACACCUAGGUUCUUUUACCUUACCUCCUAGGCUGCGCUGCGAAAAGCUUAGAGAAUCAAGAAUCAUCCUCUGAGACUAGUUCUGUACACGCGCUAAAGUGGCGCUUGCUUCAAACUAGGUUGCCAGAGCUGGCACUUAUCGAUAUAGAAACAAGAGCAGGGCUUGAUAUGAUACAAACACAAUCAACUUCCGCAUUCGAGGGCAGAGGUAUCGGCACUUGUGGAGUAAACCUGACUCCGUUCGUGUUAGGACAUCCAUCCUUCCACUCACAGCUAUCAAUCCGGUAUUGGAAGCUCAAAUCCUCUUCUCUUCCACUCCACAUGUCGAGAUUGCAUUGCAGUAAUAAGCUUGUCUAUGAAGAGCUAAUCUAAUUGUAUUAGUUUCUAUAAUGGAUUUCUUAUGUGGAAUACUAAUGGAUAGGGCCUCGUUGCUAAGUGCUACAAGAUCUAGUGCACUGGAACUCGUGGUUAUGGACCCGAAUCCUUUAGUAUGGAACAUUGUCUUUUCCAAGUAAAAACCCCUAGUAUAUGAAAGAAUGAAAAGGUGCUUUCGUUCUUGUGGAAUAAGAAGCCCUCGUACCUUAAUGAAAGGAAAAUAGGAAUUUUACUAUAGGAAUUCGAUAGGAAUUGAGUUGUUGUUAUGGUAAGUUAACACGGUUCGUUAUUAAACCGUGGAUUUGAUUCACCAAAUCCAUCAUUAUUGUAUACUCUUUGAUAGAUAUAGCGCAACCCAAACCCUAAUCUUUAUUUUACAAUUUUUAAAGUUCUUCCCCUUUGAUAUUUUGAAAUUAAAUACCUAAAUACUAAGAAAAUUCUCUGUUGACAGCAAUCUAUGCUUCACAGUAGUAUAUAUUUUGUAUAUCGAAGUCCUAGAUAGGAAAGUAGAGUAGGCACAGCACAGAUCCUUCACAAAAGGUGAAAUUUAUAUGAAAAAAAUGGAUUGAACUUUCCAACGGAUUCAUUCCAUAAGUAAACGAUUGAAUGGGAUUCGAUUCGCUUGGGCAACGAAAUCAAGUGCGAGCCCCCUUUUCUUUUUUAUUGAAUUAACUAAUUCAUUUCCUUUUGACUUUUGGAUUUUUGGAUAUUUUUUUUGAUUUGGCAUUAUUCAACAAGAAAAAAAAUUUCGACAAAUUCCUUUUUUUAAUUAUGUGAUAAUUAUGAGAACCAAUCCUACUACUUCGCGUCCCGGGAUUUCCACAAUUGAAGAAAAAAGCGUAGGGCAUAUUGAUCAAAUUAUUGGACCCGUGCUGGAUAUCACUUUUCCCCCGGGCAAGUUGCCUUAUAUUUAUAAUGCUUUGAUAGUCAAGAGUCGAGACACUACCGAUAAGCAAAUUAAUGUGACUUGUGAGGUACAACAAUUAUUAGGAAAUAAUCGAGUUAGAGCUGUGGCUAUGAGUGCUACAGAGGGGUUGGGUUGAUGAGAGGAAUGGAAGUGAUUGACACGGGAACUCCUCUCAGUGUUCCAGUCGGUGGAGCUACUCUCGGACGAAUUUUUAACGUUCUUGGGGAGCCUAUUGACAAUUUGGGUCAUGUGGAUACUAGUGCAACAUUUCCUAUUCAUAGAUCUGCGCCUGCCUUUAUCGAGUUAGAUACAAAAUUAUCUAUCUUUGAAACAGGUAUUAAGGUGGUCGAUCUUUUAGCUCCCUAUCGACGUGGAGGAAAAAUCGGACUGUUUGGGGGGCAGGAGUAGGUAAAACAGUACUCAUCAUGGAAUUAAUCAAUAACAUUGCUAAAGCUCAUGGAGGUGUAUCCGUAUUUGGCAGAGUAGGGGAACGGACUCGUGAAGGAAAUGAUCUUUAUAUGGAAAUGAAGGAAUCCGGAGUAAUUAAUGAAAAAAAUAUUGAGGAAUCAAAGGUAGCUCUAGUCUAUGGCCAAAUGAAUGAACCACCGGGAGCUCGUAUGAGAGUUGGUUUAACUGCCCUAACUAUGGCAGAGGCAGAAUAUUUCCGAGAUGUUAAUAAGCAAGACGUGCUUUUAUUCAUCGAUAAUAUCUUUCGUUUUGUUCAAGCAGGAUCGGAAGUAUCCGCCUUAUUAGGCAGAAUGCCCUCCGCAGUGGGUUAUCAACCUACCCUUAGUACAGAAAUGGGUUCUUUGCAAGAAAGAAUUACUUCUACCAAAAAGGGAUCUAUAACUUCGAUCCAAGCAGUUUAUGUACCUGCAGACGAUUUGACCGACCCUGCUCCUGCCACAACAUUUGCACAUUUGGAUGCUACUACCGUACUUUCCAGAGGAUUAGCUUCCAAGGGUAUUUAUCCCGCAGUAGAUCCUUUAGAUUAAACCUCAACUAUGUUACAACCUCGAAUUGUUGGCAACGGACAUUAUGAAACUGCGCUAAGAGUUAAGGAAACUUUACAACGUUACAAAGAACUUCAGGACAUUAUCGCAGUUCUUGGAUUGGAUGAAUUAUCAGAGGAGGAUCGUUUAAUUGUAGCAAGAGCACGAAAAAUCGAGCGGUUCUUAUCACAACCGUUCUUUGUGGCAGAAGUUUUUACCGGUUCUCCAGGAAAGUAUGUUGGUCUUGCAGAAACAAUUAGGGGAUUUCAACUAAUCCUUUCCGGAGAAUUAGACGGCCUACCCGAACAGGCUUUUUAUUUAGUGGGGAACAUCGAUGAAGCUAGCACGAAAGCUAUAAACUUAGAAGAGGAGAGCAAAUUGAAGAAAUGAAAUCUUUAUGUACUGACUCCUAAACUAAACUAAUUAUUUUGGAUUGUGAAGUGAAAGAAAUCAUUUUAUCUACUAAUAGUGGCCAAAUUGGUGUAUUACCAAACCACGCCCCCAUUAACACAGCUGUAGAUAUGGGUCCUUUGAGAAUACGCCUCCUGAGCGACCAAUGGUUAACGGCGGUUCUGUGGAGUGGUUUUGCAAGACAAGAAUAGUUAAUAAUGAGAUCAUCAUUUUAGGAAAUGAUGCAGAACUGGGUAGUGACAUUGAUCCAGAAGAAGCUCAACAGGCACUUGAAAUAGCCGAAGCUAACUUGAGUAAAGCUGAAGGUACGAAAGAAUUGGUUGAAGCGAAGCUAGCUCUCAGACGAGCUAGGAUACGAGUCGAGGCUGUCAAUUGGAUUCCCCCAUCCUAUUGAAGACAAUCUAAAGAUUUCGUUGAUACAAAGAAAAAGGAAAAAAGGGUAGAAAAAGUUAUUAGAUAGCGAAGCGAAGUAAGUCCAAUGCUAUCUAGUAAUUUUUCUACCUACCUACCUACUAUUGGAUUUGAACCAAUGACUCCCGCCGUAUGAAAGCAAUACUCUAACCACUGAGUUAAGUAGGCAAUUUAUCACCACAAAAGAAGCCCCAUUACUUCGAUCGAUUAUAGAUUGAAUCCUUUUUAUAAGCAAUACCGCUCCGUUAUUGGUAUGUUUAUGUUAUGUUAUAUAGUAAACGGAUCAAAGGGAUAUCCUCUGGCAUUAGAGAAUAUUCAUCUUGACAAGAAAUUAUCUAUAUGUUAAGAUAUCUCUGACAAGGGCUAUAGCUCAGUUCGGUAGAGCAACUCGUUUACACGUGCGCCAAUGCUUUUCAAGGGAACUUAUUAUGCAAUGAACAUAAUUGACCUUGUUGCAAAAUCAAUGUCUUACUUCAUGGAUUCGAAAGAAUAGAAGAACAGUAGCCUGACAAUGACAAACAGCUGGUUCAGUCCGAUUCAGGUGCCAAUUAAGGUGCUUACUCAAAUAGAACUCCUAUUGAUUUGCUAGUUGAUAAGGUAAAUAUCCAGCCCACUCAAUGUUAGGCGUAAUGAGGAUAAGGGCCUCCAAAAAACUUCUUUUCGUUCUAUGAACUUUAAGGUGUAUGAAGUCUCAUAGUAAACUCUUGCAGCGGAAUGAUAGAGACUCCAUUUCACUUAGGUUGAUUUAAUUUAGGCCGGAGGCAGACCUAAGUCAAGGUAAUCCUCCUUUGAAACACUUUGGUAUUGUUCCUAGAUAGAUCAUAAGACAAAUAAUCAAUCAGAGCACAGGGAGCCAUCUUAUUAUCUUUCCCUAAAGAAAAACUUUGGCGAAUUAACUGAUCUUUACAUUAGUUGAUGAAAGAGCCCAAUGCAGAAAAAUGCAUGUUGGGUCUUUGAAACAGUUCGAAUCAUUUCGAUAAUAAUCCGUUUGAUCUGUUUUACCGAGAAGGUCUACGGUUCGAAUCCGUCCUAAUAUAUACGUCUUUUUUUCCAUUUUAGGAUGGAUAUCUUAUGUUUCCUUUAGUAUAGUUUUCUUUUCCUUAUUAGUACUUAUUUAUAGACUCGACGGUGCGCCAUAGAAUAGAGAUAAAAGCAUUACCAUACCAUAGGCUCAUUCAUCGAAAAUCAUAGAGACUAUUAAAUAAAGGAUAGAGCAAUUCCUUUUUUCAAAUAGGAAAGUGGAUAGCAAUAAAGCCAUUUCCAAGAAAAUCUUCCCCUAUAAUCGAGAAAGCCGUCCAAUAGCAAACUAACCCCAGCCUAGACAAAUAGAGUAGAGGGGUCUGAAAACCUAUUAUUUUAGAUAACUGAUCAAAGAGACGUAGCUUUUUCUCUCUUUCCUUCUUUCCACCAAGCUUCUUUAUUGGAGUUGACUUAUAGGGGUUGGUUCUUGCCUUGUAGCAAGUUGGGAGGCCUACUGUCCGAAUUCGAACUGGCUGCAACGGAACUCGCUAAGGCUCCAUUCAAAGAAAAAAGAAUGGAAUAGGACGAGGCGGGCAGAUCAUCUAGAAUCUGGUCGGACUAAUGCGCACCGGCAAUCCAUAGUAGAAGUUCUUUACAGGUUUGGUUUUCCUUUCUGAUCAAUCGAAUGGCUUUUACUAAACCUCAAUUCAUUCAAUUAGCCUUGAGGCAUAAAGAAAGCAAGGGCGUAGCGUUCCAUUACCGAUCAUGGUGGUAUCGGAAGCACCCCUACUCCUCUGGUCUGUCCACCUUACCUUCUGGCGCACCUCUCCUAACUAUUGCCCAUUUAUUCUAAUAUAUUUUAUAUUAUUCCAUAUUUCUUUUUUUUUGUGUGAAGUAAAAGAAGAAAAGGUCUAGACUCCGUAUAGACGGAAUCUCAGAUAAGAACCUAUACAGAAGUUUUUGUUUGAAAGUGUGCAGUGAAGGAAAGUGUGUCGGGGUCAAACUGGAAUUGCAAGGUCAUUCAUUUCAGGUAGACCUGAGGGUGAUAGAUUUGGGAACAUAUGAUGUAAUGUAGUUCUUGGGAUGGACUGGAUGAAGACCAUAAGCCCCUUUUAUUGGGACAACAAGUCUUUGACCUUGUCGUUAAAAAGAGGACCAGACCAACUCAUUCUUAAAGGAAGUUGUGGAUUGAGCAUAUGGAAAAGAGAUGCUAUUUGUGUAGACAGAAGGGAAGAAAAUGUAACCUUGCUCACGAAAGCCUUGCAACAACUAUGCGGCUAUAAGUUUCCUUCUUUCCAUUCUGUUUAUUUUCAGCACUAGACUCCACAUCAGGAUAAGCUUCUUUCUAUUAAAGAAAUGUCGAUUUCCCUCUGUUUGAGUAGGCUCGCGAUUAUGAUUUGAUUAUACGCAUGAGGUAGUAAAAGCGAGUUAUAAGCUCUUUUCUCUAAAGAAAGUAGGCUUCUAGCAAGGCCAACUCUAUCCUGCUCAAUCCCAUGCUUAUCAUUUUCACAGAUAUGAAUUCAAUGUCAUAUAUUAAUUGAAAUGGUUUUCUCCUCCGAAUUGACACCCAAAAGGGAUAUAUAUAGCCUUCUAGUACCUCAACCCAGAAAGCCUUACACACACUCUGAUGGGAAUUAACCUAGAGUAGAGUUAUUUUAUUAGAUAUUACAUUUCUAGAUAUAGGCAAAUAUAGGUGUUAUCAAAUCCUAGAGGCAUAUGACCAGCCGCAUGCUAUGCUAUUAGUAUUGGGUCAGCAAUACCUUGUGAGCCAUGGAUUAUUAAGAUUAUAGGGGCCCUAAAGGAUGGAUCAAGCAUUAUUGAAGGAAUAGCUCGCUUAACAACCCCCGGGGGAGAGUAUAGAUGAAUGCCUUAAGCAAGGGCGUCUAAGCGUGCAUGUACACAGUUUUUCAUGCCAUAACACAUCGGUGAAACCGGAGAGAGCUGAAGAGAAGGGGAACCCCAGAGGCAUUGACCAUUUGGUACAGCCACUAAUUCGGCAUUUGGUACUGUUUCUCGAAAGGGAAAAAACAUACUUAACAAUUCGAUUGGCAGGACCAAGGGAU
rnacentral:lncRNA from 1 species